rnacentral:lncRNA from 1 species
AUGACCUGCGUAGAUAAUGGUUCGCAUGUAAUUUUCUAAUUUACAUGUACCGUAAUACAGGGUUCACACAUAUUAAUCAUGGGUUCGCAUGUUUUUCAUAUAGGGUUCACAUGGAUUUACUAGGGGUUCGCAUAAGUAAUUCUAUAUGUUUAUGCAUUUGGGUCAUAGUAGGGGGUUUGCAUAGUAAACCUAUAGGGUUCGCAUAACAUGACUCACAUAUUAUCAUACACAUGGUUCGCGCAAGUAAGCCUAUAUGUUUAUGCAUGGGCGGUUGUAAUAAGGGGUUCGCAUACAAAAGGGUUUACAUGCAUGGGGUUUGCUUACUUAGAGGCUCACACACGUUAGGGACUCAUGCACUUAGUUUCACACGUGGGCUUUGCACCUACAGGGGGUUCUCAUACUACCUCGCACAUGGGUUUCACACACGGUUUCGCACAUAGGGUUUUACCUAGGUUCACCUAUGCUAAGUUCUUUACUUCCUAAUAAUUUCAAUUAUACACAAAGAUUUAUGUUUAGAUCCCACACCUGAUUUGGGAAAACACAAAAAAAACCUUAGUUGGUGGAGGAGGUUGAUGAUUUACUUGAGGGAGAGGGAUGAUUUUUGUAAUGCCCUAAAAUUUUAAUUUUGGGUAUUGUAAAUGUGUGACACAAAAUAUCUGUUUGCUUUAGUGGUUAUGUGUUCUGGGUUUGUUUGGGAGGUUCCAAGUUCAAGCCAGGACUUAGGCAAAAUUUGAUAUUUUUAUGAAUAAACCCUAUCUUUGGUAAGUAGACUUUUAAGUAAAAGUUGACAAAUAGUUAACAGAAUGGGCCUGCUGAUCUGGUGGAUAAGUGGAGUGUUGGUGUGAAGUAAGUCCUGAGUUUGAAUCUUGGUAUGGGCAUUAUUUUUGCUCGUGUGUUCAGGAGAGUUUGAGAUGGACUAAAAAUCUGAGUAAUGGAUUUAGUGGGGAGUUUGAUGGAGAGAAAUAAGGGAUUGGGGUGGUUAUCAAAUAUUCUGUUCAUUUUUUUCCUUUUUUUUACUUUCCCCAAAAUCCCUCCACCUUCUUGCCGUUUUUCUCUUCAUUGCUGUCGAAUUUCUGCUCUCUUUCACCCUUCAUCUUCUUGAUUUUUCUUUUCCCACUCUGCCUCGUGUCGCUCCACGCAGAAAAUGGGAUUCGGUGAAAAGCUGAAAUUGCUUGUUGUUUGGACAGCAGCAGUAGGCUAACUUUGAAAAAUCACCAUAAAUUGGGGAAAUCGAAUUAGAGGAUGAAAAAAAUAUGGAAUUAAAUAUUAUUAAGUCUAGUGUUUAUUAUAAAAGAAACGAUGUAAGUAAUGGAAUUUUAAAUAGUGAGAUAUAAUAAGUUUUGUGAGACAAGGUCAGAAUGAAUUCGGGUUCCCCUGUUCUGACUUUAGAAAAUCAUCAAAAAUUGGAGAAAAAUAAUUAGGGGUUAAAAUUUACAUGUCUAAAUUAUUAAUUUGUCUAUUUUGAAUACAAAUAAAUGGUAACAUCAUCCAAAUUUUGUACUAAGAGAUAAUUACUUUUUAGUAAAGAAAGUUCAAAAUUGUCAGACAGCAGAACAGGGGUAAGAUUGAAGAUUUUACUGUACUUAUUGGCUGAACCAAAAAUUCUGAAAAUUUUAUGGUAGAAAGGUAUUUGAGUCUAGUUUCAAAGGCAUCAAGCUGACCUUAAUUUGGAAUUCUGUAGCUCAAGAUAUAAAUAAUUUAGUAGCAGUGACUCAAGUAGACAUCUUUGAAGGAACAUAUAAGUAAAUAGUGAAAACAUAUUUGAAUAUUUAGCUAGCACGGGUUACAUUAAAAAUGGACCAUGCGGCCAAGGCCAGUUUGGGUCGAGUGGGCCACAUGGGCGUGUGGGCCCACACGGGCAGACCACAUGGGCGUGUGAGCCCAUUUUCACUAAAUUGAUUGCUAAGGUUGAACGGGUCGCCCAAGUCGACAGUGAACCUAUUGUAAGGUCGGUAAGCAUCACUUAGACCCCUAAUUGUACGAACUAACUGUUUGAUUUAUAUAUGUGUUGAGCAUGAUGAUAGUAUGCUUGUAUACUGAACUGGUUAUAUGUACUGAUGUCCUACAAUAGCAUGUCAUGACUUGUAUGUUGCAUUGCAUGGGGUUGGGUUAAUUAUAUUUGGAGGAAGUGUACUGAAAGGCUCUUAAGCCUAACAUACUGGCAGCUCAGCUGCAAAUUAUUAUUUUGUGCCGCAUUUGGUAUUACCUGGAGUGUAGGGAUGGGUGGGUUGAUUUGAUCCCCACAUGGAGUGUAGGGUUGGACGGAGAUGGUGUGUAGAGGCUGGUUGGGUAGGACUUUGUUAUUGAAUACUGCAUUACUGCUACUGAUACUGUGAUGGGCUAAGGCCCUACUGCAUAUUUGAUACUGUACUGAGAUGGGCUAAGGCCCAAACUGUUACUGAUACUGAAAAAGGGCUUAGGCCCAGGACUACUUUAACUGUGCACUGUGAUUUGCUAUUGUUUAUUUUCUGUGAGAUUACACACUGAGUUUUCGUAAACUCGCCCCUUUUGUUUAAAUGUGCACAGGUAAUCCCUAUAUCUAGAAGGAUCGGUGCGACGGAAGACUCAGCGGUGACCACAGUAAUUUUUGGACUUCAUGGUUUUCAAUUUAUGAUCUAUGAUUUGAUUAUUAUUGAUUAUUUGGGUUGUAAUUUAAGGACCCUCUGGGACUUUGGUUUUAAAUUUGGGUUUUUAUUUAUUUAUUUAUUUUACUUUAUGGAUUUAUACCUGCUAGUCGUAGGAAAUUCGGUUUUCAAAAAGUUAAAAUAUUUUCUAAACGCAUGAUCACUUAGAUUGUUUUAUUAAAGCUUCCGCAACGAGGGAUGUUUCAAAACAAAUGUUUUAAACGAAUAAAGACGAGUUCCUAAGUUCUAACAAAUGUUUACUAAAGAUAAUAACAUGGAAUGUUUUCAUCAUAACAACGAGAUUUCAAAAACACUAUCGUGUGACAUUGCCAGAUACAAUCAUAACGUCUAGGUUGGGUUUGGGGUGUUACAAUUUUAAAAACUUUGACUCAUUUUUCUUGAAAGUUGAUUUGAAAAGGGAAGAACUUUGAGGGUGCUUUUCUUGAAAAUUUGCUAGCUGAGAAUUCUAGGGUUUGAAUAAAAUUGGCCAUUUAUAAUAUUUCUUUCCCUAAUUGAAAUAGGUUUUAAGAAUUCGGGUAGAAUUAGGACUAUUUUAAAAUCAGGACUAAAUUGAAAAAAAAUUGGCUGGGUUAAUUUGAAAAUUCGACACUUCCAUAAGGUGAAAAUAGAAAAUUAAAAAUAUUUUAGCUAAAUGCACACACGAGGUUUUGAACUUGGAAGCUAUGGAUAAGCUAAAAUUUUAUCACUAAACUAACAAAUUCAUUCUUAUUAAUUAAUUAACAAAAAUAAUUUUGAAGGCAUUCUAAAUUCUCUUACAUUAUGCUUAAAAAAAUUUAAAAGCUAAAUUUUAUUCCUAUUUCUCCUAGGCCCAAUUUUAGGAUGUGAUAUAUAUAUAUAUAUAUAUAUAUAUAUAUUGGAGUUUUAUAAUUUAUAUAUUUCUUUUUUUUAAUAAUUUUUAAUUUAAAUUUUUAAAAAAAAAUUAAAGAUGAAUUCAUGUGUCGUCCCCUUAUUUCUUCACGUGUCAGCUCUAUGCUAGUCCAUAUCAACAAAUUCUUUAAAAAACAGACGGUGUUAGUAUAGGGACCAAUCUAUAUAACAAAUGCCAACUUUAGGGACCAAUAUAAUUCAAAAAAAGAAUUAGGGGUUAAUUUAGAUACUAAUCCUUUUAAAAAUAAAUGCCAUGUAGGGGAAAAAACCUUAUAUUUAAAAUCACUAAAAUCACGUUCAACCCACUGUUUUCAACCAAAGGAUUCGCGUGAUUUUCUACCAAAUUGUAUAAUUCUGUUUCAUCCCUAUGCAGUUUGCAGUUUAUGUGCAAGUCUUUGAUUCAUACUUUUCUUUUAAUUUGAUUUAGUCCUUAUUUCAAAUUCAAUUUAUUUUUUAAUUUAAUUUAAAAUUUUUAUGUUUUUUAAAUUAUUAUUGUCAUAUUGUAUACUUAAUUAAUUUGAUUAAAUUUUUUUAUCAAAUUUUAUGUUAGAUGCUAUAUUUGCUUAUUUGCGUUGAUAUUUAUAUUUGGGUGAAUAUACUUAAGAGGUCUCUCUAUUUUAGGGACGUGAUCAAUUUAGCCCCUCUAUUAUUAAAUGAAUCAAUUUAACUCUUGUAUUAUUAAAAAACACUUUAAUAUAUUGUGAGACUUCAAUCUUAUAUUCGAAAUUUAAAUUUGUUUAAUCUUUAUCUUUUUAUUAUGAAAUUAUAAAUCCCACUAAGGGAUUAAUAACAUUUGAUCUAUUUAAGAACAUAAAUAAUAAAGAUGGAUGGGUAUAAAAACUAGUUUAUUUUGAAUUUUUUAAAAUUUAAAAAAUUAAUUAAUUGCUAAUGUACACACCAUAUCAGUAAAGUUAACAAAUAUUAACUUUUUCAUAUAUUUUUGAGUGAUUUGAUAAAUAAUACAGGUUUAAAGACUAAAAGAAGCGAAAAAUUAAAUGAAGGGCUAACAUAAUUUUUUUUAUAAAAUUAGAGGCCAGAUAAAUUAUUUUGCCUUGAAAGAAUUUUAAGCUAUAGGUGACAUAAUUUUGAAAUACCACUAAUUGAAAAAAAAAACUGUGAAAUUAAUAUGAAUAAAAAAUUAAGAAAACAAUAUACAAAAGUAGAAAUUAAAAAAUCAUUGCAAAUAUAAAAGUAUUAUUAGGAAGUUGGUUUAGACUAAUAUGACCAACCCCGUCAUUGUUGAAGUCAUUGGUGUAAUUCACCAAUCACCACCAACCCCUAAUCUUUCUUUUCUUCCCAUACCACCAACAAUCCCCCAAGUGUUGCGUUUUCGGUUUUCCUAUCCAUUUCUAACCCGGUAGACAAAAAGGAAAUUUCCUUUCCAUAACUUCACUUCUUAUUUUCUUUUUUUUCCCUAAUAAUAAAACUGUAAAAACUAAGGAAUAAAUGUAUGCAAAUGUUAUGCCUGGAUUUUUUUCUUACAAACUUUUGAGUUUAAGCUUUAAUUAUAUCUGUUUAUGAGACCAAUUAUUUGCUCAGGCUUGAAGGUUUAGGGUCUGUUUGAGUAAAAUAUUUUCCGUAAAAUGAUUUCUGGAAAAUGUUUUACUUUUCUGUAAAAUGAUUUACUGGAAAAUAUUUUCUGGUGUUUGAUUGAAUCUGUGUAAAAUAUUUUCUGCUGCUUGGCAGAUUUUUUGAAAAUAUUUUUCGAAAAAGUUGUUUUUACAUAUAUUAAUAUAUAUUAAUAAAUUUUUAUAUAUUAAAUUAUUUUUACAUAUAUUGCAAUGAUUUAUUUAUAAUAAUACUCAAUUAUUAAGCUACAAUAUUAAUCGUUAUAAAUUGAAAAAAACUAAUAUCAAAUAAAUUAUUUGUAAUUGUGUUAAAAAAAUAAGUAUUGAAUAAUUAAAAAAACAAGUUACUGGAAAAUCGAUAAACAGAAGCAGUUUUCUACCGGAAAUGAAGGAAGGAAUGAAGGAGGUGAUAGAGAGGAGAGCACGGAAAAUGUCUUAUGGAAAUUGAAAGGGUAAGACAUUUUCCCUAAAAUGUAACCCAUUUUGCCUUGUUUUGGAGUUCAUUUUCCAAAUGGAAAAUGUUUUCCGCCAAUCAAACGCUGGAAAAGUUGGAAACGAUUUUCUGGAAAAUCAAUUCCGUCAAUCAAACAGACCCUUAUUUAAAAUUUGAGAGGAUUUAGAUAAAAUAUUAUGCUUAAAAAAUAGAUUAUAAAAUUAGGUCUGUUUAAAAUAUGGGUCGGGCUCAGGCUUAAACAUUUAAGUCCCGAUCCCAACCUGUCAAUUUUUUUAGUUUGUAAUGUCUUAUUUUAUGUUUUUUUUAUAUAUAUUAUGUGAUAUAUAACAUAUAAAAAUGAAAUAUAUAGUAAUAUAUAAUAUCACUAUACUUGAACAUUAAAGAAUUUUAAGAUCACUAUAUAUAAAAUUAUAAUAAAUAAAUAAUAAAAUAAAAUAAAUAUAAAUGUAUUUUUAAAAUUUUGAAAAAAAUAAUUGGGCGGGCCUAGAAUAGACUUGGGUUAGCCUUUAACAAAUAUGGGCGGAUUUGGGCAAGAUUUUAGACUUAUAUUUAGGGUCUGGCCGAGCUUGCAUAAGCACAAAAUGUGUUAAUAUCAUGCUUAAGCUCAGCUCGACUCAUAACACCUCUAUCAUGGGUAAGUUUUGUCUAAUUUUAUUUUGUUUUAUGUUAAAAAAAUAUUCCAAUUUUUAGUCCAUUAAGUUUUCUAUUGAAUUUAUCUUAGUUUUAGUUGAUUUAACAUAUAUUACUUGUGAUUUUGUAUUCAUAAGAUCCUUAGAAAAAAACUAAUGAACAAAUAAUUAGACAAUAAAUAUUAAUUUUUAUUAUUAUUUUAAUUAGUACGGUUCUUGACCUACAUUUCGUGUUAGGUUAACUUUUUCUUGGACCAAAUAAUAGAAAAAAAAUUGGAUGUCAAAAUAUGCACCAAAUCUGUAUACUUUUUGUACAUUUAAAAUUUAAUCCUUGUGCAUUUAUUUUUAAGAAUUUAGUUCAUUUACUUUUUUAUUUUAAAAAUUUAGAUAUUGUUAUGAACACCAUUAAAAUUCUUUUGCUAAGUUCGUUGGUGUAACAUAUUUGAAAUUUUUUUUUAAAUACUCACUUGAUAAUCAUGCAACAAAAAAGUUACAUUGCAAUGGAGCCGAAGUUAACAAAUAAUAUGGUUUUAGUAAUUAAUAAAAAUUCACAUAAACUUUUUAAUUAAAAUAAAGUAUAUCUAACUAAUAAAAUUAAAAUUGAGAAAAAAAAUCAAAAUAUAAAAAUUAAAUUUCAAAUUUAAGCUUAUGAUAGGGACCAAAAAUAAAAUUUGAUUAUUUUUAUAUAAUAAAAAAAGAAAUUAAAAUAUUUUUUAUUCAGGCAUAAAAUAAAAUAUCAAUCUAAGUAAUGAUAUUAUAAAAGUUGAUGAAUGAAAUUAUAUCAGCAAUUAAAGUAUUGAUGUUAAAUUUCAAACUUAAAAAUUUAAGUAUAAUAUAUAAAUCAAAACGAUGAUUACUAUAUAAUUAAAAAUUAAAAAAAUAUUUAAACAUUUUCCUUUUUUUUUUUGGUAAAACUGUUUUUUAAUCAAGUUAUUGGUUUCUAAGUUCUUGGAUAUAUGAUAAUCAGACAGCUAUCAAUUUUUUAUUCAAUUAAUUCAGCAAGUCUAUUAGAUUAGAUUAAAUUUUGGGUUGAUGUAAUUUUUUGCAAUUAAAUUUAUUUCGAUAUUUAUAUAUUUUCUCUGUUCACUUUGAUAAUUGAAUUUAUUUUGCUUAUUAAAUUUAGAUUCCUUCUGUGUAUGAUGAUGUGACACCCUAAAAUUAUAACAUUAUCUGAAAAUUUAAAAAUUUAUAAUUUAUAUAAUUUUAAAAUUUUAAAAUUUUCAAAUGAUGAUUCGAUACAUUAUUAAAGUGUUAGAAAAUUUAAGUUCAGAUAUUAAAGUGGAUUUAGUUGACAAGUUUAAAUAUCAAAAUAUAAAAAAACAACACUAAAAUUGAUUUAGUUGUCAAGUUUAAGUGGAAAAUUUAUAUUAAUGAUUAGAUUUUUUUUAUCAUUCAGUUGAAGAAUGUUUUAAUAGAGGUUUUAAAGUUAUUUUUUAAUAGAUAUGUUUAGUUAUUUUAUUUAUAAUUAUUAUAUAGAGAAACUAAAGAUAUUUUAUAAUAUUAUCUAUUAAUUUAUUGAAAAUCAGUUUUUAUGUCAGGUUUCUAUUUCAUUGGUAUUACUAAAUUCAAUGAGAAUUUAUAUAUGCUAAAUAGCUUCACAUAAUAGAUUAUUGACUAGAAAAAGAAAAGUUGUUGAAUACAAUUAAAUAUCUCAUUCCAUGUCAACUUGUUGAGUAAAAAACAAUUUUGGCGAAAUAUUUUCGUAUUUUUGGAUAUAUAGCAACUUUUAUUUUUAAUAGUUUUGAGAAAUAUUAUUAUUUUUGGUAAAUAAAAUAAUAAAGCUUUAAGCUAGGAUUACAGUAGAAUUAGUCGCCAUCAAACAAUGGAUAUGUAGCGCAAUGGGUAUAAUCAUCUAAUAAACCCCUCACACUCUCUUCGGUGGUUCCUUAUGAGUAAUUAAGUGCUCCAUUUCACCUCGGGCCUCUCUCGCGAUACGAUCUGUCACCCUAUUACUCUGUCUCAGUAUCUGCUGAAAUUUCACUUCCCAAUCCUUAAGACACUAGUCUUGAAUGAGCCUAACUUCGUCGUAGUUAUUGUUUCCUACUAGCCCAUUUUGUAUAACGGCUACCAAAACUGAAUUAUCACUCUCAAUCUCCACUGUAUGGUACCCUUUAGCCCAAGCAAACUUUAAGCCUUCAAGUAAUGCUCGAGCUUCAAUCUAAAAAACAUCUGCUAAUCCUACCACCAUUUCGAAGCCCCCUAUCCAACUACCAUUCAGUCCUCUCACCACUCCACCUAUCGUCGCUUUUGGUUUAAAAGUUGACACUGAACCAUCAACGUUCACCUUCACCAUCCAUGAUUCGGAAAUUGCCACCGAUCCUUCGUCAUGGACUGCUACUACUCACUUGAUUGAAAAUAAAUUCAUUUCGACUCUUCCCAAAGAAAUAUUAUUAUUUUCACAACAAUACAAAUUUCUCAUGAAAUAAUCAAUGUUGUUUAAAUUGGGUUGGGUUGACCAGUUGGAUUGGAAAUCAAUUAAAGUAUCGGUUAAAAGAAAAGAAUUAGACCGAUUGACUCAUGAACUGCUCAGAAUUGGUUGAACUAGAAUACAAAAACCGGUUAAAUCAUUGGUUGAAUCGAUUUAAAUUUUUUUAUGAAUUUUAAUAAUUUAUUUAAUUAAAUUGAAUGAAGUGGUCGGAUCGAUUGAAUCAAACACCAAUGAUCUAAUUGGUUUGACCACCAUCUGCUUCUGAAAACAUUGAAGAUAACCUUACAACGAAAGAUAUUUUAACUAUAUAAAAUACAUAUUUGAAUAAAAUAACAUUACUAUUCAAAAAUCAGUUUCCACGAAAAUAAAUAGACUUGUAUAGGAAAAAAGUGGAUUUUAUGAUGAGUUUAAAUUAUAUUAGGAUGAUCCUAAAAAGUCACUUUUUAGGCAUCCAAUGAAAAUGUGUUACUUCAUUAAAAAAAAAGAAUUUGUAAUUAAUAUCAUACAUUUUCUAACACUAGAUUAAUUUUAUUUAAUAGUAUUUUAAUAUUAAUUAGUGUUGAUUAAUUAAAUACAAUUAAUUUUAAAAAAUUAAAUAAAAUUAACAAAUAGUAAUAGUAAUGUAAGGUUUGUGGUUUUUUAUUCAAUUAGAUUUAUGAUUUAUGGUAUGGUGGGUUAGAUUUUAAAAUUUUAAGAUUUAUAAAUUUAGGGAAAAGAGUUAGAUUAAUAUUUAGGGUCUAAAGGGUCUAGGAUUUAAGAAUUCAAGGUUUAAGGUCUUAAAUUUUUAUAUAAAAAAUAGAUUAAUUUUAGAGUGAAAAAUGAUAAUAAGAGCUAAUUUGAUGUUUCUUAUUCUAUUAUAUUAUUCAUACACUAAAAAAAUAUAAUGUCACAUUAUUAUUAUUAGAUGUUUAAAAAACAUUUUGUAGGAUCAUAUUAAUAUAAAAUUGAGUUGGUUAUAAUAAUUUCUAAGCUUAAACGAGCUAAUAAUUAUUAUGUCAUCAAUACCUAGUACCUACCCAUUGUUUUUACUUUCUUUAAGUCGAUAUAUAUCCAAUUUUUGUUUAGAAAUGUGGGUCAUCAAUUAUCACUAGCUUUCUUGUAUAAAAAACAAAAUUUCACUUGUUUACUAAUUUGUAUGUUUGUAUGAAUAUAGAAAUGGAUAAAUGCAUAAAACCUAAUUAUCUGUAUUGUUUGGAGUUGUUAGGAUUUGAGUAAUCCUCAUGUAGUGCACUUAAAGGAGCCUGUUAGCUCGAAUAAACCCAAUAUUUUAUUUUUGUAUGAGACGUUUGUUCAUUCCAAUAAAAUUCAAUAUUUACGUGUAAUUUUACUGUAAUACCUAAUUUUGCCCAAGGCCCAUAUACUAAUAGAAUAAAAAUAAUGUACAACAAAAUACCAUCCUAAAAUAAAAAAAAAAACUUAGCCCAAAAUUACAAACCCACAACAUAUAAAAAACAAUAACAAAAGAAACCCUAAGCAGAAAAACUCAGCAGUUGCCGCCCUCAACAGCAGCCACACCUCCACGUGUGCCGCCACGUCACUGUACCUGCAAGAGUCCAAUAGCAACAAAAACACAAUGUAAAAAUAGAGAAAAUAGCAGAAAAAAUAGAGAAAAACAUAUAAUUUCUGUAAUUUUAUGCGGCUAUAUAAAGCCGAUUGUGACGCUGUAAAUGGGGGGAAGAAAAAAAUCAAUCGAAAACAGAAAAAAAUUCUGAAGGUUUACUUCUACUUUCAUUUUAAUUUUUUAUUUUUAUUUUACUUUUUUUACAUGCAAAAUAUAUAAAAAAAAAAGAAAGAGAAAAACUUACCAUUGAUUUCACUGGAAAAAAGGCGACUUUUGGCCUUCCGGCCGUCGUGGACGGCGGUGCCGUCGCCGACGACCGGUGGCCGACGCGGCAGCAGCUCAUCGGAGGAUGGCCGGCGUCAGGAGAAGUUGAGAGAGAAUUGAGAGUGUUUUUCUCUAUUUUUUUAAGAGAAGAGAAAAUGAGUUUUUUUUGUAAAAAAUUUUGGCUUAUAUAAAGCUUCAAAACGGCGUCGUUUUGAGCUAGGAUUCCAAUAACCCAAAAUGGCAUCGUUUUCAGGCUGACCAGCGCACCGACCUGAUUCGGUCCCAGAUCCGCAUAUUUUAUAGCGUGUGGGAAGUUUGCGCAAAUGGUCCCUUGAUUUUUAUAUUGCGUUUAGAUUGAUCCUUUUGCCUUCUUUAAAUUUAGCCACGUAUUUUAUUUUUAUUUCAAUUUGGUCCGUGCAAGACGCAGCGUUUUGAAAGUCAGGGAUUAUUUUCCCUUUUAGUCCUUCCCUACUAUUCGCGCGUUUAGUGAGGUCCCUUUCUUUCCAUUUAUUUUCAGAUUUGCCUCAAACUUUUGUUUUUAAGCUUAAUUUAAUCCUUUUUGUUAUUUGUGCUAUUUUAUUUUUUUAGUUUAAUAUUAUUUUAUUUAUUAGUAUUAGUAUUAGUAUUAUUAUUGUUAUGAGUACUAUUACUAUUAUUAUUAUUGGUUUUAUUAUUUUAAUUUUGUUUAUAUUUAUUUACCUAACUUUUUUUUUUGUAUUAUGUACUUUUAUUUUAAGGGUUUUAUAUUGUUAUCAUUAUUUUAUUUUAUUAUGUUAAUCCAAUAGAUUUUUUUUACUGGUUUUAUUUUAUAAAACAUAAUUUAUAUUAAAUUAUUUUCUUUUUGUAUGUUAUGGAUUUCAUAUUAUUAAAGCCAUUAAUUUUAAGUUCUUUCUUUAGCAUAUUUGUAUAUAUAUUGCUUUAAAUCUAUCUUUAUAAAUAUCUAAUUUAUUUCUUUUAUAUAUUUCGCUAAUUUUAACUUUUACAUAUAAUAUUAUAUAUAUUAUAAUUUAUAUUAAGUUUCCACUCCAUAUGUAUUAUUUUUAAAAAAAUUAAUAUAUGUAUAUUAUGUUAUAUAUUUUGAUUCUCUUUCUACAAUAUUUACUUUAAAAUGCAUUUAGAUAAUUUUAUUUUAUGUAGUUUUUUUUCUGAUUUAUUUCGAAUUUACGUAUAUGUAAAUACUAUUUGUUUUAACGCAUAAUUUAUUGAUUAUAAUUUCUUCUCUUGCUAUUAAUUUUUAAGUGCUUUUUUAAAUUUGAUUAUUAAUUCAUUAAAUUUUUGAAUGUUGAUAUUGAUAUUGGCAUAAUGUAUGAUUGAGAUAAUUAUUGCUAUGCUUGUUUGUAUUUAUCUAUUGAUUAUUUGUUAUUCAUUAGUGUAUAUUAUUACAAAUUAUCCUUUACGUUGUACGUUAUCAUUCACUCACAUUUUAUCUCGUUUAGAAGGUUGCAUUUGAUUAAAAUAUCGAAAUCAUUUUAUCCACAAGUUUUCAAAAUAUUCGGUAUCCAAGAUUCUCGAGAAGAUUGUGCCCUAACUUACUGGACUUCAAUUUUCCUCGUUGAAUUUAAAUAACCGAGUAUUUCUUUUUCAAUUAAAGCAUAAAAAUUCCAAAUCAAAGCUUAUCUCGACGAUUCAAAACUUGGUGUCCUAGCUCAUUCGAUAUGACAUUUUGUUAUCUCGAGAUGUGGUUUUUAAAUAAAAGCAAAUUCAUGUGUAGUCUUUGGAACUUCAAAGGAUCGUACCCUAACUUACAGGAUUUCGAUUUCCUCAUCUCAUCGAAGCAAAAUGACUGAUUUUUUAGUUUGCAAAAUAAUAAAUGUCAAUAAAUAUUUUUAAAAAGGGGAAUCACUUUUCAAUUUUUUUUUGACAUUCGACCUUAAGACAUUAAAUAGUCAAUUAGGUACCAAUUUUGGGCGUUACGAGGGGGCUAACCCUUCUUCGUACGUAACUGACUCCCGAACCCACUUUUUCUGAAAUCCGUGGACCAAAAUUAUUUUUAAGGUGAUUCGAUCACACCUUAAUAAAAGAUCGGUGACGACUUGUAACACCCCUUACCCGUAUUCGACACCGAAAUAGGGUACGAGGCAUUACCGGAGUUUACUAAUUAAUUUUAGACAUUUCAUUUUUAUCUAACAUUCAUACUUAUAACCAAUUAAAAUCAAAACAUUAAUGAGCUAACGUUAACCAAUUUAACUUAUACACGCCAUUAUAACAAGAAUCAAAUCAUCCAAAAUUUCCGAUAGAACCAAUGGAUAAUGUGAUAUAUCUCCAACAAGCUUCCGAUAAUCAUUUCAAAGCAUCUAAUAAUUAUACAUAUUACCAAUAAUAAUUCAGUUCCAAUAAUAAAACACACACAUAUAUCAUAUUCAUUACCAAAUAGCAUUCACUUCAAUUGAAAUUAAACAAAAUAUAGUCCAUACAAACUUACCAGACUAAAUUGCAGAAAUACCAAAAUUCAGGGAAAUUUUGGAAAUGUUCUAUUUUUCUCGAAUUUCCACUCAAUCUUGAUCUAAAUUAAUGUUUCAUUCAAUUUAGUAAUUUAAAUAAUAAAACAAUUCAUUUCAUGCAAUUUGGUCACUUUUUGACAUUUUUACAAAUUUACCCUUAAAGUUUCACAUUUGUUCAAUUUUGUCCCUGAAUCUAAAACAUGUAAAUUGGUCAUUUUUAAUGAAAACUCAUGCUAGUUUACUAAUCAUAUAUUUUCUUCCUCCUCCUCUCCAUUCCACAUCCUUAAUGUAUAUAACAUGCUUAUAGGUAACAUUAUCUAUAAUUUCACCAUUUACUUAUAUAUUCAUUCAAAGCUGUCCACUUGAGUCGUAGUCACUAAAUUAUUUAUAUCUUGAGCUACAGAACUAAAAAUUAAGAUCCGUUAAUUUUAUCUGAAACUAGACUCACAUAUCUUCCUACCAUAAAAUUUUCAGAAUUUUUUUUUAGCCAAUAAGUACAGUUUAUUCUUUAAAGUCAUCCCUGUUCUGCUGUAUGACAGUUCCGACCCUUCUUCACUAAAAAUUAACUAUCUCCUCGUACAGAAUUCGAAUGAUGUUACCAUUUAUUUCUAUUAAAAAUAGACUCAGUAAGGAUUUAAACAUACAAAUUUAAGCCUCUAAUUAUUUUUCUCCAAUUUUUGAUGAUUUUCCAAAGUCAAUACAGGGGAACCCGAAAUCAUUCUGACCUUAUCUCACAAAACCUAUUAUAUCUCAUAAUUUACAAUUCCAUUGCUUACACCGUUUCUUCUAUGAGAAACUAGACUCAAUAAGAUUUAAUUUAAUAUUUUUUCCAUCCUAUAAUUCAAUUUAUACUAUUUUUGGUAGAUUUUCAAAGUCAAACUACUGCUGCUGUUUCAAAACUAUUUUAGCGUAAAAUGUUGAUAACUAAAUUUAUAACACUUUCCUUUCCUUUCUCUUCAAUAUUUUCCAUCACUUUCUCUUAUUUCCCUUUACUAACAUAACAAGAAUAUAGAACCUUAUAUAAUGAAACUUUACCUUAACAUUAAUUUCCUACUUUUUCAAUAAUAUCAAACUCAAAAGUAUAUAAAAAUCUUGAUGUUCUUACCUUAUGCCAUUGAUUUCAAUCUUUAACUUGAUUUUCUCCCUCCUCUAGCUUCUAUUUCUUGAAUCUAACUUGAUAUUCUAGCUCCCCAUAGUCUCCUUGUUAUCUUUUUCUCUUGAUGGAUAUGGAAAUUCUUUUGAUUUCUAAGUGAAAAUGGUGGAUUUUUUUAUGAAAGGACCAAAUUGUAAAGAAAGCAAAGCUUUCUUUCUUCCCCUCUUCUUCUUACAUUAAUGCAUGCAAAAAUGGUGGGGAUGGAUGCUUUUCAUCCUUCUUUCCACAUAUAUAUAUACUAAAUAAAUUAAUAAUAAUAAAAUAAUAUCAUUAAAAAAAUCAAAUUAAAAUAUUAAUAAACUAAUAUUUAUUUAUUUAUUAAUCUAAAAUAUCUCCAACAUCAUCAUUAUCUUCUAGAUUUCUCUCUCUUCUAAUUGACCAUUUUGCCCUUCAUGAUCUUUUAAAAUUCCAUCAUUGAGUCAUCACUUAAUUUGGUAAAAUUGUGAUUUAGUCCCUCAAACUUCUUCACCUUUUUCAGUUUGGUCCUAAUCCAUCCAUUUUUCUUAGUUUCUAGAUUAUUCCACCCUUAAAAUAUUUACACUAUUGGUCCUUCAACUUUUUCAUAUUUACACUUUAACCCCUCAAUUUUUGAGUAUUUACUCUUGGGUAACAAAACUUUUCUCACUUUUGCAAUUUAAUCCUUUCUUGGAUUAAUAUGUCAUAAUAUACUUUCCAAUGUUGACAUAACUCAAUUACCCUUUUUAUCACUUUAUUUCCUUAUUUUACCAUAUUAGUAUUUUCAUGCAACCUUCCUAUCAUAAUGCAACCCAUGUCAUAAUUUUAAAAUAAAUUUUUCCUUGUCGGAUUUGUGGUCCCGAAACCACUGUUCCAUCUAGCCCCAAAAUCGGGCUGUUACACGACUCCUAUUUUCAUUUUUAAAAAGUCAAUCCCCUUUUAUCAAAAAAAUGGUUUCGACAUUUGCAAUUUUGUUUUUGUUUUUGUGUGGAUCGCUUAAGUCCUAGUGGUGGGUUAGCUAUGUUUUGGAACUCUUUUGAUGAUAUAUCUAUUUCUGGGUUUUCACAUAAUCACUUGUUGAAUGGGAUGAUGAUUUUAAAUGGAGAUUUAUUUGUUUUUAUGGUAUUCUAUCAAGUCCAAUUGGAGAUGCUUUAUCUUGAGCAUUGGAGCAAAUGACUCCUACAAAAUAAAGACAUGGAUGUGAUUGAUUGGACUGAUAGUAAAUCGGAUUGGACCCAAGUAGAAUAGAUCUUGAAUCUGUUUAUGGAUUUAGUCACUUGUGAUGUUCAUAGUGUGAUAUACCUAAAUCCUGAGUGGAUGGUGGACUAUGUAUGCGUGACUCGUACACUUUGAUGUAAGUAAAAUCAUGAGUUUAAAUAGAUAAGAAACCGAAAGCUAAUGCAUUGGAUGUACGAAUUCUGUAGUAUGCAGCAUCAUUCACAACAGUGGAAUUCAUAGCCCAAAAUAUGAGUAAAUGAUAUCAUCUCAUUGGCAUUAUAUGGUUGAUGGAAAGUAAAUAUGGUCACGAAUCGUCAGUUUUUGUGAUGAAUGACUUGAUCACUAUUUGAUAAUGAUUGACUUUCCAUGAAGGAAGAUGUAAUAGUUACCAUGAGAUAAAAUAAAAUCAUAUUGGGAGAACGAAAAUUAUCCCAAAAAGACAAAGCAUAUCGUAUUAGGGUAACACACUAAUGACAAGGUCAUUGGACGAGCACCGAGUAGUUGCUUUCGUAAUGGUAUGUCGUUGGGAAGAGCUCAGUCACAAUUUUAUAGUGGAAUGGCUUCGUGACUAAAUGGGUUUAUAAUUAAUAGACAAAAAGUUGGAACUUAAUUGUAAAUCAUUUGAGCCUCAACUACAUAUGUCCAAUCGGUCCCUCCACUAGCUCGUUGAAACCAGAAAUGAAUUGCUUGUUUGAAUAUAAAUGAACAGAAUGAAUAGAAAAAGAGAAAUGGGAAACAUUCAGGAAUGAUUACUUAAAAUGGAAAUGAAUAUAGGUUUCUAAAAAUGGAAAUGGAAAUGGAGAUGGAAAUUUGCAAUCCUAUAUGGAUUACUUAAAAAAUGAUCGGAAGAAUGAAUUUAUGUUCUUGAAUUAUUUUGAAACCUAGAAAUAAAAAUAAAUUAUUUGGUCAUAGUGAACAUGUUGAGUUGUGAAAUAUUGAACAUAUUUUCUCGAAAUUUUACCAAGGGUAAAAUUGUCAAAAUUUUACCAGGGUAAAAUCGUCAAAAUUUUGUUGGGGGUAAUAUAGGGAUAAGACAAUUGUUUUAUAUAUAAAUAUUAAGUUUAGUUUUGAAAAUAGAAAAUUUGAAUCGAGUUGGAUCACAUUAUAGAGUACUAGGUCAAAGAAGCCCGAGAAGUACUCGUAAUUAGACUCGAUGUGAGAGAGGCUCAAAACCCCUCAUGUAACAUGAAAGGGGUGACAACCCUAGUAGGAAUACUAAGGUGUGUCAUCCACCCCUCUCCUAUCCUAAGUAGGAUGUUAUUUUUCUAUUUGAAAUAAACCACUACAACUCAACAAUGGUUCUAUCAUCUAUUCCUAUAAAUAGAUGACACCGGUAGAGCUAUUAACACAACUUUGAAGAUUGUCAUUCUGUCAAUAAAUAGAGAGAAUUUAUUCUCUACUAUUACGUAUAUUUUUCUGGAAUUACAAUUUUACCGAUUUCUAUUAAAAAGAGAGAAUUUUCAUUUUCAGCCCAAAAUGAGAGGAAACCUUUUUCUAGUUAUGUGUUUCAAUUCAAUUGGUUCGAGCCCACACUCAAAGUAGCUCGUGGUACGAGAAUAGUGGAGAAGAUCGUUUGGUUGAAAGCCGGAAAAUAUCAAGGAUCCGCUUAUCUAAAAACACAAGUGCGAUUUCGGUCUAAGGUUUCUUGUUAUAAAUAUCACAAACCGGGUCGGUUUUCAAAAUUUUUAUUUUUCGCUGUGCAAGAAAACCAUUUUCAAACUGGAUUUUUUCCAACAAUCGGAUAGGCAACAAUUGUGAAGGAUGAUACGAGUGCUUUUAUUUGCUAAUUAUCCAGUUUCUUACGUGAAGCGUUGGAUCCUUUUAUGGCUGAGGCCGUUGCAGUAUGUGAAGCGCUUUCAUGGGUUUGUUCUUGGCAAGUCUAUGGUAUUGUUUUAAAGAUUGAUAGCCAAUAGAUCUGGUAUGCACUUUCACAUGGUAAGGCGGAAAAUAGGUUUAAAGGAAAACCAGAGUUUUAAAAAUUUUUCCAAAAUGAGAACUUGGUUGUUUUAUCCAAAACUAGAGUUUUAACAUUUUUUGAUUCGUCUAGGAUGAAUGCUUCGACCAAGUGGUCUUCUCUACUAUCCUCAAGCUCACUUCUACUGAGUGUGGGCUCAUUUCGAAUCAGAAUUUUUUUUCACAAAAUUACCAGUAGGGUAAUUUUGCGAUUUCUCUAAACUUUUGGAAUCAAGUUGUAAAUUCAAAAAAUAUCUCUAGAAAUUUUCUUGAAUAAUUUCUUUAGAGAAAUUAUAUUAAAUUAAUAAAAUAUUAUCCAGAUAAAUAUUAAAUUAAAUUAAAUAUUAAAUUCAUUAAAACAAUAUUAUCUUUGAAAAAUUAAUUUGAAAUCAAGUUACCCUGUAGAGUCCCACUAGGAAUCUAAUUUUUCCACUACUCUACCACCGAAUAACAAUCGCCGCCGACCAUCCAUCGAUCGUCGGAUUGCCGCUGUCGUACCUGGUGGUGCCAUCGCCGACGCGACUCCUCCGGCACCCCAAACCGUCGCUACUUUGCCCAAAUGGGCCUACUCAACUCGACUGUUGUCGGUUCAGUCUGGGCUAGUGAUAGCCCGACCAGUCCGAUCAAUUUCAUACACAGGGCCUGGUUCAACCAAUUUUUGAGUUUUGAUCUUGGGUUUUGGUUCUCGGGUUUAAUUUUUGAUCUUGGGUCCAAUUUUCAAGUUCAAUUACCUAUUGAGGCUAAUUGUCUAACUUAAAGAUUAAUUUCCAAAAAUAUCAUAUUUGUUUUAAUUAAUUUGAUUAAGUUACUUUUUAGUUGAUAAAAUUAAUUUUCCUAAUUAUCAUUGGGAUUUUCCAAAUUAAUUUUUCAAAAAAAUUCUUUAAUCAAAUCUCUAGUUGAACAAAUUCUCACGACCACCUAAUUUAAUUCUCAGUCGAUUAAAUCAACUCAAUUAAAUUAUUUCCAAAGUCGUAGAAUUUUUAAAUAUAUGUACACAUAUAUCUGUGUAUGUAUAUAUAUUAUAAAAAUGUAUAUAACGUAUGUAUAUAAAUUAUAAAGUAUAUGAAAUACGAAAGUAUACGUAUAUAAAAAUGUGCAUAAUCAUGUAUAGUUAAAUCUAAGAGUUAAAAAUGAGCAAAUACUAAUAGCGAUAGUAAUAAUAAUAAUAAUUUGAAAAAACGAAGAGCAAGAAAUAAAUAACGAUUAAUAAAAUGAUACGAUAUGAUAAAUAUGCAUAUAUAUGACAAAAAACAAAUAAAAUAAAAAAUUAAAAGGUAGUGCAAAACUAAUUUACACAAGAAAAUAAUAAUAAUGAAUAAAUAAAUAAAUAAAAGGGAAAAUAAAAACUAAUAAUAAAUAAUACCAUAUUUAUUAAUAAUAAAACAAACAAAAUAACAAAAUGACUAAACUAAACCUUAAGACAAAAUUCGAGGUUUAAACCCGUAAAUAAAUAAAAGUAAAGCUUCGGGACUGAAAUAAAGCACUGGAAGGACGAGGGACCAAAAUGGAAUACGGAGAAAAUUACAUGGUAAAAUUUAAAAAAAGCAAAAGGGACCACAUUGCUCAACAGCGCGAAAACAGAAGGGCCUAUCGCACAAAUAUACCAUUCACUGCAGAAACACGCGGAUCCUGAGGGAGGACGGGUCGGGUCAUGGGUCAGGGCCAAAACGACGUCAUUUUGGCACCUGCACCUCACUCGCAAAACGGCGUCGUUCGGUGUCCUUAUUUAAGCCAAAAUUUUCUACCAAAAAUUCAUUUUUACACCCUUUUAAAAAAAAAUUUCAAAACCCUAUUCUCUCAUUCUCUCUAUCCGGCCUAUGGCGUCGGCGGGCUCGUGCGGUGGCUCCGCCACACUCCGGCAUAGAGCCGCCGUGCCGGAAGGCUAAAAUCUAAAAAUUUCCCCUUUUUUAGAUCCAUUUUCUCCCUUUUCUAGAAAAAAAGUAAUAGACCCGAUUUGGGUACUCUGAAAACCAAAAUGGAAAAAGAAAAAAAAUGGCCUUUCGGCCUUAGUCCCCGGUUGCGACCUAUACGAACCCUUGAAGGGUUUUUGUGACCUUGAUGAACGGAGAGGACCUCCGACGACGGCGCACGACCCAACCCCAGGUACGUUUCAAUCCCUUUUCCUUUUUAUAUAUUUAUAAUAAUAUACGAAAAAGAAAAAUAAACAUAAAAAAAAAACAACAGCAGAAAUUUGAAAAUAAAAAAGACUAUCAACCUUUGAUUUUUGAUUGAAUUUUGUUCUCCUCUUUCUAUUCGAUUCUCUCCGUAAAAAAUUCAUGGUUAUAUUUCGUGGCUUUUAUAGCCACGAUUACACUGUUGGUUUACUGUUUGCUAUUUCUCUUGCUCUCUUUGCUUCUGUCUUUUUUGCAGGCGAGGUCAACGGAUGUUGAAGAGAUGACCCUUGCUAUUUUGGUGCAAGGGACGUGCUAGAGGGGCAGACCUCGGGCUGAGGCACGAGCGGUGUGCUCGAGGGAGGGGUGCGGCGCACAUGGGGCUGAUUAGGGUUUUCCUCCUUUUUUUGAAAUGUUAAGUGUUGGGCUUUAGGGUUUGAGUUUGAUUUUGGGCUUUGGGUCUAUUAUUGUAAUGGACUGUUAUUUUAGGUUUUAUUAUUUGUGCCUGGGCCCGGGCAAAGAAAAUUGGGCUUUACAGCUGCCCCUCUUUGCUCAUUGUCGCGUAACGAUAACAAAGCAAAGACUAAGAAAGACCAAUUUUACCCGAUCCCGCUGAGUCUCGACUUAUUUUGACGCUUCGCUUCUUCAAGUAGCCUCAUUCCAGUCCACUGUGCCUUAUUGCUUCGAUCCACUACACUGCACUUCAGAGAGAUUUGACUUAUAGCUUCAAUCUUCUUCGCAGCAACUUCAGGGGGAUGAGAUUCGUAGUUUUAGUCUACUCCACUGCAACGUCAGGGAGAUAAGACUUGUAUCUUCAACCUGCUCUGCUGCAACUUCAGAGUGAUAAGGUUUGACAUGAUGCGAUCCACUAUAUACAGUUUGCUUCACUACAACUUCAGGGAGAUAAGAUCUGAUAUGAUCUACUCUACUGUAACUUCAGAGAGAUAAGAUCGGUAAUUUAUAGCUUUAAUCUGUUCCACUACAACUUCAAGGAAAUAAGAUUCGCAAUCUUCAACCUACUUCACUGCUGCUUAGGGAGAUAAGGCUGGUUAUGAUGACUUCAAUCCAUCCUACUGCAACUUCAGGGGUAUGAGUAACUUCAUUGAUCUAUUCUCUGUGGAACAUGACCUUUAAAAUCCAUUUCAUAGACCUAUUUAUGCCUAGCGUUUAGAACAUUAUGAUCGGAAUGAAUCAAAAUUUCCUAACUAGGUAUGUAUGAAUGAUAUUUUCAUGAAUGCAGAGUGUUAUGAGAAUGGUACAUUUUUAAUGCUUAGGUUGUCAUUGUUCGUUGUUCAUCAAGAGUCUAUCACUGAUGCCAUCUUAUUCAGCCGGUAUCUUUGACAGAAAAACCAAAGAAAUAGUCGCACUUUAGACUAUUCUUUCUCCAAUGCCUCUGAUCCUUAAGUUGGUUAGUUCUAAACAAUAGCCCUAUUUCAGGUCCUCGUACUAUUUAGAAGCUUUCAGAGUAAUAUGCAAAACUUCUUUUGCUUGAAUAUUAUUAGUCCAUUAAUUGUUAUUUCAAUGAAAGAUGCUUGAAAAAGAUUAUCAAAAUGGACACGAUGAAAUUUUGUUAAGAGCAGAUCUCUAAACAAAAUAAAUCAAUCAAGAUAAAAAAUUUUGCUCAGAUACGAAAUAAAUAAGAUAAACAAGGUUAUCGCAAUGGAUAAGAUGAUAAUUUAUUGAGAUCAAAGCUCUAAAUGAACAAAUUAAUCAAGAUAGCAAAUUUUGCUAAGAUACAAAAAUAAAUGAGAUGAAUACAGGUGACCCAGAUAUCGCAGCAUGAGCUUCUCCGCAUGAACUUCUUGAGGCCCCUUUUGAACUUGAUAUAUGUUUAGAAGUCCUAGAAUGCUUUGUCGGUGCCCCAAGAUGUGGAAUCUUUCCUUCUUAUUAAUUCAGAGAGGACAAAACCACCGCACGCCCUUACCUUUGAUCAAGAAUUGAACUGCCCAUUCCUGGGUUUUCAAUUCAAAACCCAUUUGGUCUCAUGGUGCCCUUUUCGGGUUUUCACCUUGGCCUCUCCUCACCCUUUUUUUAGGUGAAAUACUUCUUGACUGAAUCUAAAUUCACGGGAUUAGGCAUGUUCUUGCCAUCCAUCUCGGUUAAAAUCAAUCCUCCAGAAAAUGCCUUUUUUACCUCAUAAGGUCCUUCUCAAUUUGGCAUCCACUUUCCUCUAAAGCCUUUUUGUAUGGGGAAGAUUUUCUUCAGUACCAAGACUACUUCGUGGAAUUCCCUAGGACGAACCUUUUUGUUGUAAGCUCGCAUCAUUCCUCUUUGGUAUAUUUGACCAUGCCAUAUAGCUCAUAGCCUUUUUUCUUCGAUCAAGUUCAGUUGAUCAUAUUGGGAUUGAAUCCAUUCUGCUUCAUCUAAUUUCAGUUCUGAUAAAACUCGGAGGGAAAGAAUCUCUACUUCAAUGGGCAAAACUGCCUCCAUUCCAUAUACCAAUGAGAAAGGUGUUGCCCCAGUAGAAGUUCUGAUAGAUGUUCGAUAGACAAGAAGGGCAAAUGGUAACUUCUCGUGCCAAUCCUUAUAAGUCUCGGUCAUCUUUCCUACGAUCUUCUUGAUGUUUUUAUUGGCCGCUUCUACCGCGCCAUUCAUUUUUGGGCGAUAUGGAUAAGAUUUGUGGUGUUUGAUCUUGAAUUGAUUACAGACCUCCACUAUCGUGCUGUUGUUCAAGUUCAAUGCAUUGUCGGAGAUAAUCCUUUCUGGCAUCCCGUACCGACAUAUGAUUUUCUUUUUUAAGAAUCUGCUGACUGCUGACUUUGUAACAUUAGCAUAAGAGGUAGCCUCUACCCACUUAGUAAAGUAGUCAAUAACCACGAAUAUGAACCGAUGCCCAUUUGAAGCUUUUGGCGAGAUUGGUCCAAUGACGUCCAUGCCCCACAUAGAGAAAGGCUAUGGAAAAGUCAUGACAUGGAGAGGUGAACGGGGCACGUGAAUCUUGUCUCCAUAAAUUUGGCACUUGUAACAUUUCUUGGCAUAUUUGAUGCAAUCUCCUUCCAUGGCGGACCAAUAAUAUCCAAAUCUCAUGAUUUUCCUGGCCAUUGUGAAACCAUUAGCAUGCUUUCCACAAACUUCUUCAUGCACCUCUUCCAAGAUUUGCUUGGCCUCCACAGCAUCUAUACAUCUUAGCAGCACCUGAUCUUUUCCUCUUUUAUACAAGAUCUCUCCAUCUAAGACAUAAUCGUUGGCAAACCUUCUCAAUGUUCUUUUUUCAUUUUCAGUUGCUUGGUCGGGAUACUCGCGAUUCUUUACAUAUCGCAAUAUGUCUUGAUACCAAGGAUGAUCGUCCUUUUCUUCUUCAUCGUCGAUGUUGCAGUAAUGGGCUAGAACCUCAUGAAUACUCAUUUGAAUAGGCUUCAUGUCCUCUUGUUUAUUUACUUUGAUCAUAGAUGCUAAUGUAGCCAAUGUGUCGGCCAUCUGGUUUUUAUCCCGUGGAAGAUAACAGAAGGUAAUGUUAUCAAACUCCUCAAUUAAUUCUAGGACCAGCUUUCAAUAAUUAAUCAACUUGGAGUCUCUUGUCUCCCAUUCGCCUUUGAGCUGAUAAAUUACCAAUGCAGAAUCCCCAUACACCUCUAACACUUUGAUUUUGCGUUCAAUGGCUACACGAAUUCCCAUGAUACAUACUUCAUACUCCACCAUGUUAUUUGUGCAAUCAAAAUCUAAUUUUCUAGCGAAUGGGUAAUGAUCACCGUCGAAAGAUACCAAAACUGCCCCAAUCCCAUUGCCCACAGCAUUCGAGGCUCCGUCAAAAUUCAGUUUCCAAGGAUUAUCCUUUUGAAAGUCUUUUUCUGCUGUUGCAAUACACAUCAAAUCCUCAUGUGGGAAAUCGAAGUUUAGUGGUUCAUAAUCAUCCAGUGCUCUACUGGCCAGAAAGUCUGCUAUUGCACUCCCUUUUAUUGCUUUCUGGUUCACAUAGACUAUAUCAAAUUCAGGCAGUAGAAUUUGCCAUCGGGCCAUUCUUCCAUUCAGAGCAGUUGACUCCAUCAUGUAUUUCAGAGGGUCUAGUUUAGAGAUUAACCAGGUUAUAUGGUACAACAUGUAUUGUCUCAAUCUCCGAGUUGUCCAGAUCAGGGCGCAACAUAGUUUCUCAAUUUGCAACUAUCUCGUUUCACAUUCAGUGAUCUUCUUACUAAGAUAAUAGAUUGCUCUUUCUUUUCGUCCUGACUCGUCAUGUUGGCCAAGCACACACCCCAUGGAAUUUUCAAAUACUGCCAAAUACAGUAUCAAUGGUUUAUUUGGGUAAGGUGGCACUAACACUGGGGCACUGGACAAGUAAUGUUUGACCUUUUCAAAAGUCGUCUGACACUCUUCAUCCCAUACACCUGGAUUGUGUUUCUUAAUGAGACGAAAUAUAAGGUUACAUUUCUCAGUUAAUUGUGAAAUGAACCGAGCGAUGUAGUUUAGUCUCCCUAGAAAACCUCGAACUUCUUUUUGAGUACGCGGUGGAGGUAGUUACUGUAUAGCCUUUAUUUUGUCUGGAUCAAUCUCAAUUCCUCUCUCACUGACUAUGAAUCCCAAUAAUUUUCCUGAUCUGGCUCCAAAGGUACAUUUUGUUGGAUUUAGCUUUAGUUGGAACUUUCUUAACCUUAUGAAUAAUUUUCUAAGGACUUGCACAUGUUCCCCUUCUGUUCUAGACUUUGCAAUCAUGUCAUCGACAUAGACUUCUAUCUUUUUAUGCAUCAUGUCAUGGAACAAGGUUACCAUGGCUCUUUGAUAAGUUGCUCCCGUAUUUUUUAAUCCAAACGAUAUCACUUUGUAGCAGAAUGUUCCCCACAUCGUUAUGAAGGUGGUAUUCUCCAUGUCUUCGGGAUGCAUCCUAAUUUGGUUGUACCCGAAGAAACCAUCCAUAAAGGAGAAUAGUGAGUAACCGACCAUGUUGUCCACUAGGGUAUCAAUAUGAGGCAACGAGAAAUUAUCCUUGGGACUGACUUUGUUCAAAUCUUUAUAGUCCACACACAUUCACUCUUUUCCAUCUUUUUUAGGAACAGGGACUAUGUUGGCUACCCAUUCUGAAUACUUGACCACCUGUAAGAAACCAACAUCAAACUGCUUCUUGACUUCUUCUUUUAUUUUUAACAAAACAUCAGGUCUCAUCUUUCGGAGUUUUUGUUGAACUGGUUUACAUUUUUUAUGGGGAGUCAAUGUACCACUAUAUUGGUAUUUAACCCGGGCAUGUCUUGAUAGGACCAUGCGAAGAUGUCCUUGAAUUCUUGGAGCAACUCAAUAAGAUAUCGUUUCGUCUCUGCGUCAAUGCAGGCUCCAAUUUUCAAUUCUUUUCCUUCCCCUAAGCUCACAACUUCUACGACUCUUUGUAAGGCAUGAUCUGUUUUCCUUCUUGUUCUACCAUUCUUAACAAAUCAAGAGAUAAGUUACUGCCUCUAUCAUCUUCAAAAUCCUGAGAAUCCUCUAUAACCAUGUCUUGCUCAAAAGGGGACUCUGAAUUAGUAGCAGUGUCGCUCAUAUCAUUAAUAUCUGGGGACCUGUUAUUGAGGUGAAAAGUAGAUUCAAAGAGAGAACCUAAGAAUAAUUAUAUGCACAGUAUGUUUAUGAAUGGAAUGGAAAGAAUAAAAGAAUAUUUGCUCAAAUGAGAUUAGAUGAUCUAUUUCAUUGAAAUAAAAUUUUUGGCAUAUGCCUUUUACAAAAGAUUCUUGUUGCUCCUAGGCUCGGAGCAACAAGUGUGUUCUGAAUAUUACUCUGAAUUGACUUUAAAAGUUACAGGGAUCUCUUCGAUAGUCCAAUUAUUCAGAACACUUUCUGGCUCAUAAGGGCGAAUGCCUGGCGAAUUCUCUUAUCCAAUUUCUUCCUCAGAUAUGGCAUUAAUACUUAGAUCUCCUAUCCCUUUUACAGCUUCUUUCCUUGGCGUCUUUCGUUCAGGGUGAAUAGUUCCCCUUGACACAAAUGUCUUGGAUAUGUGGGGGAAUGUCAUGGGUUCCCAUUCUGUUUCCUCCCCACUCAAACGUGCCUUUCUUCUUUCCUGCUUCUUCUCCAACUCUUUCCUCCUUUACUUUGCAUCUAGCCUAUAUCCCAAGCCAAAGCGGUCUCGUUUGUCCAUUAACCUGGGUACCUCCACCCUCCCUUGGAGGUAUUUCCCAAGUCCUUUCCCGGGUAGAGCCCCUCUUCCAACCAUCAUUUUUAAGCCCAUCCUCGUUGUUUUGGAUAUUCUGGGUGUGGGGAUCUUAUUCCCUUCAAAAAUGAAGGUUGCAUUUACAAAUUCCAAAGAUCGGAAUGAACAAUCAACCGUUUCUUCUUCUGUCCCUAUGUAAGGAGCGUCAUUAGUUACAGCCGCAAUGAUGUCCUGCUCUGCAUUGAUUGUCACUAGCCGACCCUCUGUUACCAACUUCAACUUUUGGCGCAGUGAUGAAGGUACUGCUCCUGCCGAAUGAAUCCAAGGCCUUCUUAGUAAACAAUUGUAAGAAGGCUUGAUCUCUAUUACCAAGAAAUCUACCUCGUACGUGCUUGGGCCGAUUAAGAGGGGUAUUUCAAUCCUUCCCAUUACUCUUCUUUCGGUACCAUCAAACGCCCUCACUACAUUUUGUCACUUUUUCAUAUGCGAGCUGUCUACGGGCAACCUAUUUAGGGUGGAUAAGGGUAAAACGUUUAGGGCUGAUCCAUUAUCAAUUAAUACCCCUGGCAACGUAUACCCCUUGCAGCGGAUUGUAAUGUGUAGGGCUUUUACCAAUCCUCUACCUCCCGGUGGUAUUUCAUCGUCAUUAAAGAAAAUAAAGUUAUCAGCGCUUAUGUUACCAACCAGACGAUCUAACUUGUUCACAAAGAUGUCAUUAGCGACGUAAGUUUCAUUUAAUACUUUCAUUAGCGCGCUGCGAUGUGUCUUCGAGCUUAACAGUAACGCUAGUAUCGAGAUACAAGCUGGUUGUUUAUGUAACUGCUUUACGACACUGUAUUCGCUGUGUUUUAAGAACUUUAGAAACUCCCUAGCUUUAUUCUCCGUUACUGGCUCGUUGACAGGUGAUUCAAUUCGGACCGCCUUUUCCUUCUUUCGUUCGACCACCAAGGUUCUUCCCUUUGCAGGCUCUAUUUUUAAAUUUGCUGGAUCAUAAUGCUUUCCACUACGCGUGUAGAAGCCAUCAUCAUUACUCUCUUCUGAAGUAUUUAUCGGAUUCUCCUCUCUUGGAAUUGUCACGUUACAGUCAUAAUUCUAAGGAACCUUUUUGUUAUCCUUAUAGGAAAAUGGUACCGAUUUUUAGAUUAUGACUUUCGGUGGUAUUUGUUUCCCCGCUGCAUUGCUCAUUGGCCGUGAAAUAAUCACCACUGGGUGAUUGACCUUCUGGAACCUUUCUAUGGGUCCUUCCUCUGAGGUGCAGAUCUCUCUUUCUUCAAAUUCCUUGAAUUCUUCAUAAAACUCUAUCUCUUUAUUGUCCAUCAGAUUUUGUACCAUGGUCUUGAACUUUGAACAUUCUUGGAUAUUAUGACCCUUCUCGGCAUGGAAUUCACAGUAUCUUCCUGCCCCUUCAGGCCUUUCAUCUAAAUCUUGAGUGAUUAGACCCCUACAUACCAUCCGUUCCCAAACACAUUUCAAUGGGGUUCUUACCUCCAUCACAUCUGCCUUAAUUCUCUUACUUCCAUCCUCGACUAUCGCAUUUACCCCUUUAUUCGUAUGAUCGGGCAACGGGUUUCCUGCUACAUUUGGUCCGGAGGGGUCAUCUAACUUUACAAUACUUAUUUUGAUAAGUCUUUUGACCACCUUCUUGAACGCAGUACAAUUCUCAAUCGAAUGCCCCGUUAUCCCUGCAUGAUAUUCGUAUUGAGCGUUUGCGUCAUACCACUUAGGGAACGGGGGUUGCAUGGGUUUUAGAUAAAAAAGAGCUAUCACGUGUGCAUUAAAUAGAUUUUGGUACAGCUCCCUAUACAUUAUCGGGAUAGGUGUAAAUGGGGGUCUUUCUGGCCUCGAACUGGACUCCUGCCCCGGUGGGCCUUGAUGACUCGCAGCUAUUGUCCUUGGUGAACCAACGAUAAUUGGCUUUGAAUAUCCCUUGUUGUAUGUACUCACAUUAUUCACUUCGCCUUCCUUCUUCCUUGAAGUCGAUCUUUUAAAGUUUUUCCCCGUAUCUAUUUUACCAUUUCUUACCACAUUUUCAAUCAUUUCACCGGUCAUCACUAUAUCUGAGAAGCUCUUAGUGGCACUUCCCAAUAUAUGAGUGAUGAACGGGGCCUUUAAAGUAUUGAUGAAAAGUAUUGUGGUUUCUUUUUCCAGAAGAGGCGGCUGUACUUGAGUUGCCACUUCUCUCUAUCUCUGUGCAUACUGCCUGAAGCUUUCAUUCUGUUUCUUCUCCAUGUUUUGUAGCGUGAUCCUAUCGGGCGUCAUGUCCGCUACGUGGCUAUAUUGUCUCAUGAAGGCUUGCACCAAAUCUUUCCAUGAGCAAAUUUGGGCACGACCCAACUGGUUAUACCAUUUGGCCGCAGCUCCGAUUAAUCUGUCCUGUAAACAGUGAAUUAACAAUUGAUCAUUAUUGAUAUAUCCCGUCAUUCUCUGACAGAACAUAGUAAUAUGGGCUUCAGGACAGUUAGUUCCGUUAUACUUCUCAAAUUCGAGCAUUUUAAACUUAGGCGGGAGAACUAAAUCAGGGACCAAACUUAGGUCUUUGGCAUCGAUCUUGCAACGGUAAUCAGCAUUUUCCAUUACCUUAAACUUUUCCUCUAACCACCUACACCUAUCUUCAAGUUGUUUUGGUAAAUCCACAUUUGCCUUCUCUACUUCCGCUACAUCGUCUAGAUCAGGGACAACAGGUUUGUUGGAUUAUCUCCUGGGUUGGAACCUGAGCCUGUCUGAAAGUUCAUCGAUGCCGAGGCGCCGACUUGGCAUUGAGGUCUAAUGUGAUCAUGCAUUCCAUGUGGACACAUAUCCGGUUGUGCUUGAGUGUUCGUUGGGGCAAAACCUGGAGGGUAAACAGGGUCCUCCUGAUCAAUUCCUGAACUGAUUACAGGGCUCUUUCCUUUAUCAGCCAAUAAUUGUGCCAGUUGGCUCAUAAUUCUUUAGGAUUCCAGCGCGUCUUGUUGGAUUUUAUCCAAUUGUUCUAGUAUCUUAUCUUGCAUUUAUUUUUGCAUUUGUUCCUACCUUUCUAACCUUCGAUCCAUUGUUUUUGUCUUCUUUCUUGUGCCGUAAGGAUGUUCCAGGAUAACUGUCAUAGUUUUAAUAAAUUAGGGACUUUUUCGAAACUUUAAUGCGUGUGAUGCGAUGUAAAUGAAUGGAUGCAAAAAGGCAUUUAUUCUAAUUCAAUUUCAUUAGAAAUACUCGACUAGAAAGCAAAUUUCUUUACAUAAAAUGGAUUACAUAUACAACUUUUCCUUUAUGCUUAAAGCCUUAACUCUCCUAAGGAGCCAAGCUAACUCUCGACCCUGGCUCGAUUCUGAUUCAUAUUUUAAACUUAGUAUAUCGGCCUGAACCACUAAGGUUUGCAAAUGAUCAGCCACUUCUCGCACUUGAGUCAUAGCUUCGCCCAUAAUGUAAUCUCUAUCUCUAAUUUGACUUUGCAAAUGAUGGAGCUGCUCUUGGCCCUGUUCAUUGUGUCUUUCAAGAAGUUCUACUCGUAAUUUAGAAUUGUGCAAUGCGUCUUCAAGCUCUCCUAUCUUUUUCUUCAAUUCUUCAAUUUUACUCAAACUUACUCUUAGCUCGAUCAUAGAGUUGUGACUACGGCACAAGUGAAGCGACUUUUCCAACUCUGCUACCCGAGCUUUUAAUCUUGCUUCUUCAUUUUGGUAUUCCAACAGACUUUUCUCUAAAGCGCUCUCUCGAGCUUAGGCGUCUUGAAAUUUCUUGUCCCACUGAUCAGCUUUGGUCUUUUCUUCCUUGAUCUCCUGUCGCCAUUGCUCUGACGUUUUACCCAAACCUGCAGUCCUUAUUGACAGACGCAGCUUUUUGUAAUUUGUUUUUAGACUAUCUAAAUCCUCUUCAGCCUUAUUCUUCCCUUUCCUUAAGUUUUCAGCUUCCAUCUUGUGGAUAUCAACAUCUAGUCCCAAAUGCAUCUUUUCCUCUUCCAGCUGCUCUAUCUUCUUUCCAAACUCCGAACUUCUUUUUUUCAAAGUCUUGUUUAAUGAUCUCUAGUUCUGACGGAACUACUCGUAGAUGCUCUUCUAUAGAUUGAACGUGUUCUUCUCUUGGCCUAGGGUUGUUAUCAUUAAUCCUCUUACUCCGCCACCCAUGAUAUUCGGGAGUUGUCGUUGCUCCUACGGUAAUUCUUUUCACCCGGUGAAUUUGUUUCCAAGCAUUAGACAUCUCUUGAAUCUUUCUCCUGUAGUUAUUACUCUUAUAAGAAAAUUCACACUCGACCAGCCCUUGUGUUGCCGGUAUGAACUGUCUUGAUCUAUAUUGUCUUAACACGAGUAGAGGGGUAUAUCCGAUAGCUCCCCAAAUUCCAAGUAAGAGGACCCAGUCAAAGUCCUCGCAACGAUACCAAAUCUCGUCGGGCACCAUCCAAGGAGCUCUCCAUUCAACCUCUUCAUCUUGGACGUUUUGAAGGAUCUUCAUUCAUCUUUCCUCUGUAAUGUCAUCGUGUCUCGGUGUCGCUGCUAGUUCCUUCAAAUAAGAAUAAUUUUCUGAGAAAACUUGAUAAGAAACCUUAUCCACCUUCCAGAAGUGGCUGUGGAACCAAACUAACAGGAGCUGUGCACAACCAAUAAAUCUUCCUUCUCCCGUUCUUCGACACGUGCUCAAAGACCUGCAUGUUUCAGCCAAAAUUACUGGGACGGGUGUGACCCUCCUAUCAAGUUGAUCGAACAAAUCUGUAACUACUUCGUCUAUAUGCCCUAACGCUUUAGGAAAAAUAACCAGCCCGUAGAUACUCAAAGCAAAAACAUUUACCCUCUUCUUCGUAUCAGGGUGUGCCAAAAUCUGAUAUCGCAAACUUUUCCAAGGGAUACAUUUGUUUUCUCCUUUUUGUUUGAUUCGUUCCGCGAACCAUUGUUUGCUCAUUCCGGUGAUUUUCGUUAACUUUUUUUUGUAAAAGUUAGAACAUUGGCAGCUCUAGAAUAAACUUUGUCUACUUGGAUUCUCAGACAAUGAAGUAAAGUUGUAUACUCCUCCAUAGUAGGCACCAUGUCUACUUCUCCGAAGGUGAAGCAGCUAUAAGCAGAAUUCCAAAAUUGGGCCAGUGCUCAAAAUAAAUGCUCAUCCACCUUGAUGUCGAGCAAAUAGGGCAAAUCAUCAUAAUUGUAGUAAAACAACUGUUUGACUUCAUUAUCCCAUUGAGCCCAAAUUUUUUUUAGCUAUUGAAGAUUAUUCUGAGUUAUACUGAUACUAGUGAAAUCUCAUAGUUCUGAUGUGUACCCCCUUGUCAGACUAUCACCUUUCUCGAGUUGCAUUUUUUCUGACCAUAUCCGGAUAACUGCAUUAUCUUCCACUUUAUCGAGAAAUUUACUUUCCAUGAUUGGCGUUUCUAUCUAGUAACCGAAUGUGAAUCAACGCCUUUUAAUGAAAUGCCAUGAAGUUAAAAUGCCAUGCAGUCAAAACAAAACAACAAGUUAGUAUCAAAAAUAAAACCCAAUGCAAGCAAGAAAUAAUAAAUCACCUAUUUGGGUAUCUACUAGGGGUUCGAAGUGGUUCUUACCUAGGGUAGGUUCCUAAGGUUCACUAUAUGUGGUUUGGUUCUAAAGCAAAGGUACCCGAACCAGCAGAUUCCUCGAUCCUCACCCAUUAUAGGCUCAUACGGACCGAGUUCAGUUCAGGGGAAUACAUUUCCCUAUGGCUGCACGGAGCUAAAAAUCUCACGAAGACAUAGGUAUGGAUGUAUCCCGAAAGCGAUUCACUAUCCUGCACGGAGGUGAAAACCUCACAAAGGACUAGUUUCUCACUCCCACUUAAAAAAGGGUGACCAACGGUCAUGCAAUACAAUAUGCAAAAAUUCAUCAAAACUUAAACAAACAUUACAAUUAUAAAACCACAACGAUUAUAAUAAAGAUGAAUGAAAUACAAUGAAAGGAUCGUAAAUUUAAAUCAAAUUCUCGAUUUUCGACAAAAAGAUAAAAAGUAAUCAACACGUGGCUUGACUCUCUUUCUAGAUCCCCGGUGAAGUCGCCAAGCUAUUGACACCAUUUUUUUGAUAAAACGAGGUCGACUUGGGUUUUGAAAAUGAAAAUGAAAAUGCGAGUCGCCACCAAUCCUUUUUGAUAAGCUGUGAUCGAGUCACCUUGAAAAGUGGUUGUUUUUAGUAAACGAUUUGAUUUUAUUAAAACAACGGUUUUGGUCCACGAAAUUCAGAAAAAUAGGUUCGGGAGUCGGUUACACAUGAGGAAGGAUUAGCACCCUCGAUACGCCCAAAAUUGGUACCUAGUUGAUUACUUAAUGUCUUAGUGUCGAAAAACUAAAAACUUUAAAGAGACUUAAAGUACAAUCCUAAAAAACUCGAAUGGCAUAGAUUAAGAUUUAAGAGGGUAUUUGGCCAUUUGAUUGGACGAGAAGUCGAAACCCAACACAUUAGGGCACGUUUUCUUAAAUUUCCAGACGCAAAACAUUGCCUUAUUUUGAAAUUUUUUAAAAGGAUAUUCGGCUAUUUGGUCAAACGAGAAAAAAUCAAAACCCAGCACAUUAGGGCACGUUUUUUCGAAUUUCCAAACGCAAAAUAUUCCCUUACUUAGAAAAAUUUUCUUUUUGAAGUAUGGUGUUAAUAUGCAUAAUGGAAUAGUAAAUAUGAUAAUGUGAAUAAAAAUAAUAUGAGCAGAAACGAAAAAUAAAUAAAAGGAAAAUCAAAUCAAUUAUGUAUUCACAAUAACAAGGAAAUGAAAAAACUAAAACGUUUAAAAAAAAUAAGGACAUAUAAAUAAACAAAUAAAUGAACAAGUAAAACAAUAAUAACAUAAAAAAUAGAUAAAAAUUAUAUAUGUAUAUAUGAAGGAAGUACACAUGUAUGUAUAGAUGCAUAAAAUUUUGAAAAUAUGAGAAAGGUACGUGUAUAUAUAUAUUUUAAAAUCAUUAAAUAUAAAAAAUUUAUGUAAGUAUGUAUAUAUAUACAUGUACAUGAAAAUAUGGUGUGUAUGUAGAUAUAUAUAUUAUAAAAUAUAUGGAAAAUACAAGUAGGCGUAUACGUAAAUAGAUAAAUUAUAAAUAUAUGUACACAUAUAUCUGUGUAUGUAUAUAUAUUAUAAAAAAUGUAUAUAACGUAUGUAUAUAAAUUAUAAAGUAUAUGAAAUACGAAAGUAUACGUAUAUAAAAAUGUGCAUAAUUAUAGUUAAAUCUAAGAGUUAAAAAUGAGCAAAUAAUAAUAGUGAUAGUAAUAAUAAUAAUAAUUUGAAAAUACGAAGAGUAAGAAAUAAAUAACGAUUAAUAAAAUGAUACGAUAAGAUAAAUAUGCAUAUAUAUGACAAAAAAUAAAUAAAAUAAAAAAUUAAAAGGUAAUGCAAAACUAAUUUACACAAUAAAAUAAUAAUAACUAAUAAAUAAAUAAAUGAAAGGGAAAAUAAAAACUAAUAAUAAAUAAUAUCAUAUUUAUUAAUAAUAAAACAAACAAAAUAACAAAAGGACUAAAUUAAACCUUAAGACAAAAUUCGAGGUUUAAACCCGUAAAUAAAGAAAAGUAAAGGCUCAGGACUGAAAUAAAGCACUAGAAGGACGAGGGACCGAAAUGGAAUACGGAGAAAAUUACAUGGUAAAAUUUAAAAAAAGCAAAAAGGACCACAUUGCUCAACAGCGCGAAAACAGAAGGGCCUAUCGCACAAAUAUACCCUUCACUACAGAAACACGCGGAUCCUGAGGGCAGACGGGUCGGGUCAUGGGUCAGGGCCAAAACGACGUCGUUUUGGCACCUGCACCCCACUCGCAAAACGGCGUCGUUCGGUGUCCUUAUUUAAGCCAAUUUUUUUUGCCAAAAAAUCAUUUUUACACCCUUUUUUAAAAAAAAAACUUCAAAACCCUAUUCUCUCAUUCUCUCUAUUCGGCCUAUGGCGUCGGCGGGCUCGUGCGGUGGCUCCGCCACACUCCGCUGUAGUGCCGCCAUGCCGAAAGGCCGAAAUCUAAAAAUUUUCCCUUUUUUAGAUCCGUUUUCUCCAUUUUUUAGAAAAAAAAAGUAAUAGACCCGAUUUGGGUACUCUGAAAACCAAAAUGGAAAAAGAAAAAAAAAUGGCCUUUCGGCCUUCGUCCCCGAUUACGACCCGAACGAACCCUUGAAGGGUUUUCGUGACCUUGACGAACGGAGGGGACCUCCGACGACGGCGCACGGCCCAACCCCAGGUACGUUUCAAUCCCAUUUCCUUUUUAUAUAUUUAUAAUAAUAUACGAAAAAGAAAAAUAAACAUUAAAAAAAACAACAGCAGAAAUUUGAAAAUAAAAAAGACUAUCAACCUUUGAUUUUUGAUUGACUUUUGUUCUCCUUUUUCUAUUCGAUUCUCUCCGUAAAAAAAAAUUACAUGGUUAUAUUUCGUGGCUUUUAUAGCCACAAUUACCCUGUUGGUUUAUUGUUUGCUAUUUCUCUUGCUCUCUUUGCUUCUGUCUUCUUUGCAGGCGAGGUCAACGGACGUUGAAGAGAUGACCCUUGCUAUUUUGGUGCAAGGGACGUGCCAGAGGGGCAGACCUCGAGCCGAGGCACGGGCGGUGUGCCCGAGGGAGGGGUGCGGCGCACGUGGGGCUGAUUAGAGUUUUCCCCCUUUUUUUUUGAAAUGUUGAGUGUUGGGCUUUAGGGUUUGAGUUUGAUUUUGGGCUUUGGGUCUAUUAUUGUAAUGGACUGUUACUUUAGGUUUUAUUAUUUGUGCCUGGGCCCGGGUAAAGAAAAUUGGGCUUUACAACAUGUUUACUACAAUAUGGACACAUUUCCCAAUAGUUUUAGAUUUCGAUAGCCAAUGGCUCUGGUAUGCACUCUCGUAUGGUAAGGUUGAUUUUUGGAAUUUAGAUUUAAUUAUUCAAGAUUGUCUAUAUUUCUGCUCUUAUUUCCAUUCUUGUUUUCUUCUCACUUUUAAUGAAAUUUCAUCUUUACUCGAAAAAUUAUUAAUUUUGGUAAGUUUUGUAGGUUGGACCCAUUUUGAUUUCAUAAUUAAUUUUGGUAAGUUUUGUAUGUUGGACUCAUUUUGAUUUAAUACUACUUUGGUAUUUUGAUCAUGUUUUGAACUAUAGAACUCUGAUUUAAGUCCAUAGUAUACCAUUACUAAGGGAAUUGACAUAUCUAACUAGGUUUCUUUCAUGACUUGAAGCCAAAAAUUGUUGGAAAAGUUCACAAAAACGGCCUAAAAGUUUGCAACAAAAAAAUCUGUAAAAAAUUAAGAAAAACAAUUUAUUUCACUAAGGACAAUUUUUAUUUUCUCACUUACAUGAAUUUUUCUUUAUAGACACAUAGUUUAAGAUUACAAAUAGACAUAGUUGCAUUCUGUAUUAUUUUAUUUUUUUUAUUUUCUUCUCUAUAUAAGUUGCUAAGCCCCUAUAAAUACAAGUUUGAUAUUUGCAUACCAUUUGUUUUAAUUACAAAUAUUUAAGUUUGUUUAAUAUAGCUAUCGUAUUUGAUAGCUUGGAAUAUUUGUCAUGUCCAUUUGGAUUUAAUUGGUUAAUUUAUUCCAAUGCUUGCAACGAAUAGCAUGAUUUGGUAUAAGCUAGAUAUGCAAUUCAUGUUGUGUGAGUAUGUGAUCUAGUCACAAUGAACCUUGUUUGUAUAUUUGUUAUUUAGAAUUGAGUCUAAUUCUUAAUGUUAUUGGUAAAUUGAAUCUUAAGCAUUUGUUAUAGGUUCUAAACAAUUAAUUGUGUUCAUCUUGAUUAUCGAGAAAGUAAGUGAGAUUUGUUGCUAGGUGCUCAUCAGUAACUAUAAUCAAUUUAUCAUGAAAUAUUGAAAUUAUCUUUACGUUUAUGAUAAACCCAUAAAUCAAAAUCAAGAUUUUGCUUUAGAUUAGAUUUUCUUCCUAUUAAUUUCUUAUAUUCUUAUUUUUUAUUUCUUUGCAAAAUUUUAAUUCUACUUUUAGUUUUUAAUUCAAAAUUCUUAUUUAUUUUUAUUUCACUUAUUUUUAUUAAAAAAAUAAAAUAAUAAUUAGUCUCUAUAAAUUCGACCCUAUUCACUAUUGUAUAUAAAUUUUUAUAUUUUUAAAUAGAUAUUUAUUUUUAUUGAUUUCAACGCCAACCAUUAAAGCUACUUAAAUACAUUUUACAUCCAUAUAAAAUUUGGGAAGUUAUAUAUUUAUUUUAAUAAAAUUUUAAUAUGAUAUAAACAUAUGCCUUACUAACCUAUUUGGCAGGACCGUUGAUAUUUCUAUGAUUAUAGUUCAAGGAAGUUUGUUAAAAAUAUAUAUUUGUGGGAGAUGUAAACUAUGAGUUAAAUUGAUAAUAAGUCGUUGUCAAUGACACAACUGAUAAUAACAAUGAACCCAUACAACAACAACAACAAAAGAAAUCCUCCUAAAUCACACUAAAAAAACAUAAAAUAGAAUCUAUAAUAGGACAUAAAAAAUAUAAAUACAAAAUAAAUACAUAACCUUUUAAAAAUUUAUUUAUAAAAUAUCUUAUUGAAAAUAAAAAUUUAUAUAAAUAUAAAAAAAAUAUGAUUUUAGGCGUGCAUACUAAACGUGAUCAUGGGCUGGGUCACUUGCUCAAGCUCGAAGACCCGCUCGAAAAGUAAGAGGGUUUGGAAAAAAAUAUAGGCUCGAAAAAUUGGCUUGGACAAAAAAUAAGGUAAGUUUUUUUGCCCGGGUUUGGCCCGGCCCAAAUUUGCCUAAAUUUUUUUCGUUGUUGUUUGUUGUUGUUUGCCACAAUUUUGAUAUUGUUUUGUUGCCAUUUUGUUAUUAUAUUGCUACUAUUUUGUUAUUAUUGUUUGGGUAUUGUAUAACUCUUAUUUUAUUUGUUUACUAAGUUGCAACUAUCUUAGUGUUAUUUAAGAAUAAAGACUUUUUUAAUGUAUUUUCAAUUUGUUGGGAAACAUUUAUUUUAUUACUUUUAGUGUAUUUGAUGUAUUAUAGUUUUUAAAUUUACUUUUAUAUAAAAAAUAAUAAUAUAAAAAAUAAUAUGGGCGGGUUAGACCGAACUUAAGUUUAGUAUUUUUUUUUAACUGGAUGAGCUUGGGCAAAAUUUUAAACUCAUUUUCGAGUCAGGCUGAACUUGAGCCUAAAUUUUUGCUUUAGUCCAGCCCGAACUUAGCCUGACCCGUGAUCAGGUUUAGUGCGUACAAAUACUAAUACACCAAUUGCCAACUACUUUAAAUCAUUAAAGUGAUGUCUUAUUUGGCUGCUAGUGUAAUAAUAUGUGUAAAAACUCUUGUAAAAAUUCUUAAAAACUAGUUAUUCUUAUAGAGAAUAAGACCUAUUCAAAAUAAAUCAUAGGAAUAAUUAAAUAUUAACAAUUGAAUUAAUUUAUUACUAACUUAUAUACUAAAACAUUAAAAAAAGAUAAUACUCUUACCAAACAUAACAACCAUACUUGAAAUUUAAACUACCUAUUAUAUUAUUUUUUUUCUUUCUCUAAUAUUUUUGUCCAACACAUAUUCAAGCAUAAGCAUGAAAGAUAAUCACUUAAUUAUAUAUUAAAAAAGAGAAUAUAUCCUUAAUCCGUUGUUCCAAUAAAAUACAACUUUAUUGCUUCAACUUACACCAGGAAAUUUAGAUACAAAUCCAUGUCUUCAAGGCCACUACGGAGCAAUUUACACGCAAAUUGCCAACAAUUUCACUUCAUUUCCCUUUGGAAACUCACAUUGAUUUUAUAUAAUAUUUUACGUAUAAAUUCAGGUCAUGGAAUGAACCUUUCUGAUUAAUAAUGAGUUCUAAAAUUUAAUUCUUCGCCAAAAAGAAUCAAUUUAAAGCUCUGUAAGAUAUAUGAUCACCAAGCCACCUAUACGAUUGCCAAUGGCAGCGAUCUAUCGAAGCUACCGCGGACAGCUCUUGCCUUUGCCGGUCUCCGUCUCAUUGGUGCUUUCUUAGUCUCGAUCUCUUUCCCGAUUUUACCGUUUCCGAACGGAACUGAAUCCGGCAUAGCGCUGACUCGUGGCAUGCCACCGGUUGUCGUUGCACCGCCAUGGAUCAAUAUCCUGCUGAUGCCUACAUAAUGUAAUGAAUCCGCAAUUUGCAAGGGUUUAACACCUUUGUUAGUCCUUGAUUCCACAUCUGCGCCUUUUUUUACCAACAAUUCAACUACUUCAGCAUGGCCUGAUUCCACAGCACAAUGCAAAGCCGUGUACCCGUCUUCGUCUCUUGAAUCGAUAUCGAUCCCUUUAUCGAUCAGUAUCUUAAUGGCAUCCGUUCCUCCUUUAAACGAUGCUCGAUGUAAUGCGGUCCAUCCAUGUUGAUCUCUCCCGUUGAUCGCUGCCCCGUUUUCGAUCAGCCUCUGGAUGGCCCUCACUUCACCUUUUCUAGCAGCUAAACACAAAUUGUCACCAAGCUUAAGUGCAUCAAAUAGUCUCAUAUGACCAUGUUCCGCAGCAACAUCGUACGCAGUUUUCCCUGUCUUGUUCCGAAUAUCUUUGUUCACUCCCUUUUGAAGUAACAACUUCACCAUCUGCUCGUCGCCCAAUCCGGCCGCGACAUGCAACGCUGUAUCGCCGUCUCGGGUGUUCCGAACACUGGGGUCGGCACCGUUAGCUAAUAACAAACGCGUGCAAUCUCUUCUUCUAUUCUCAACAGCAAGGUGUAAGGCAGUGUUGCCAUCUUUUGUGAGUGCAUCAACGUUAGCCCCUUUAAGCAAAAGAAGCCUGAGUACCUCAAAAUAGCCACCGAUGAUGGCUAAAUGAAUCGGACCCCGACUCGAGGACUCGGAUCGAUCUGGGCUAGCCUUAUGAGCCAAAAGAAGCUCGACAAUCAGCUCUUCACCGCACCCCGAAGCAGCUUCAAGUGGGGUCGAACCAUACCGGCUUUGAAACUCGAUAUCAGGUUCGAAUUCAAGCAAUAAUUGGACAAUAUCUGGUCUACUGUGAGCAAUGGCGACAUGAAGCAAGCUUUGACCAUGGGAAUCAACUGAGUCAGCUGGCCUCCAUGAUGGGUCACUACGCUCAAGAACUUCACGAAUUUCAUCCAUGGAACCAUCCAUCACAAGCUGAACCAAAACUGGUGAGCCAACAAACAUGAUCUUCACACCACUGUCAAUGAACACUUGCUUCUUCCUCGUGGUGAACCACUCAUUGGGAACCGCAUCGUAACUCGACGUCGAGUCUUUCAUCGCCGCACCGGGAACCACCACACUGUGGAGGAGGAAAGAAUCGUCGGUGAAAGGGAACGAGUCCGGGAGAAACGAACCAGGAGGAAGAAGAUAAACAAUCUCCACCGUUAACGUCCCAAGCGGUACUAUGAUACCCGACUGAGGCUUGACAGAAUACCGGCCCUUUUUCACCGGCUGCAACCGGAAAGCCACCGGCAUGGUGAACAUAACAUUACGUAAAGUAAGCUCGCCGAAACAUUUCUGGCCUAACUCAAUACGAACUGCAACGAGGUUUGAAGGUUCCAAACUAAUAAGCCUAUCCAUAUUUUGUUGUUUGAUACUUCAAAUUAAGAGUAGAGGUGUUUGUGUUGGUGGGUUUUGAAGGAAGAUCGAAAAACCCGCAGAAAGAAGCAUUAAUGUGGCGAAGAGAUGGAAAGCAAAUGAAGAGCGAAGGGGUGUGUGUUGUAGAACUUAAAAGGGGAAGGUCAUCAAUGGCCGGCUGUGAUGAGAGAAUGACAAGUGGUGGGUGUAAAAAACAAUAAUUAUAUAUUAUAUAAUAUUAGGAAAAGAAACAUAUUACAAUAAGCCAAAUACUUUAUAAAAACAUACAUUACCUUCUAGGCAAUUAUAUAUAUAUAUAUAUAUAUAUUACGUUUUAGGUAAAAGGAUUCAUGAAAUAAAAAGCGGAUUGAUUAACUCAGGCAUUAAAUUGAUUUAUUUGGUUAACGGGUCAUAAUUAAAAAAAUAUUAACUUUUUUGAAGGAGAGUUAAACAAUAAUUAUAGUAAAUAAAUAAACUCAAUCUUAAAUAUAAAUAACAUAGAUUAAGUCCAAUAUUGCACCUAUUUGUGCCAUUUCGUGUCAAAGUAAUAAAUAUGAUUACUUAUGGUGAGACUGCAUCAUAAGUUAAAGCAAUUUUAAAUCUUAAUUUCCAUGUUAAGCCUACAUUUGGAUUGUGAAUCUAUAAUUUGAUUGGCUUUGAAAGUUUCCCCAAAAACAUUGGAUACAUCAAAUACAUGACCAUUUCUUUGGCUUUAAUGUGCCAUAGAUUGUCUUCGCUUGCUUCGUGAAUAAUUGUGAGAAAGUGAACAUUAUUGUUAGUUAACCCUUAACUUUUGAGUAGUUUGCCCCUUUAAGUUGUUGUUUGGCCCUCCUUCCAAUUUUAAACAAUAACAAAUAUUUCUUUCUUUUUUUCGGUUAAUUUUUUAGCUUUAAAUAUUUAUGUAAUAUGUUACAACUUCCUUUUUUUAGAUGAUAGUUGGCCACUUUUUAAUUUAAAAUUAAAUGUGUAUUUAGAUUAAAAUUCAAUCUGUUAACUAGUGAAAAAGAACUCUUUUACUACUGCUACUAACGACUAUUGUUAUCAACGUCUGUCCUUCAAAUGCAGCAUCGAGUUCAUUUUCAAAGAUUUUCAUCUUUUUACAAUUUUACUAUUGCUUAUAUUGUGUUUUAACGUUUAUAGUUUAAUUUUAAUUUAUAGUUUUUAAUGUUUUUAUCUUUUAAGAUAUUGUAAUUAUGAAGUCGAAAAUAAUUUAUUCAUUUUUUAAACAGAAAAUUACAGAGACAACACAAUCACAUUCAGAAGCGUCACAAAUUGAGGUAUCACCUUCAUCGUUUGCUCCUUUAAACUCUGAUGUUCGUCCUUCUAAAAUUCUUAGAGUUGAAGAUGCGGCACUUGAUUUGUCUAACUUGGAAUGUGAACCUGGGUUACUAGAAACACAAAAAUAUAUAGACUUUUUCAACACCUUUUGAGCUCUAAUUCAUGCAGUUUCGUUGUAAUUUUUGUCGAAAUUCAUGUUUUAAUUAUAAAAUAAUUAAAUUGCACUCAAAUUAUAAACAUAUUGAAUUUUAAUUAUUUUUUAUAAUAAGUUUACACAAUUUUGAUUCAUUUUCAACAGUUUUGCACAAAAGGUGAAAACCGGCUUGGCAGUCACCUUAAAAAGCUUGAACCGUUGAGGCAAUUUUUGUAUCAAGUGACCCAAGAGUAAAGCUAAUUAUUUUUCCAGCCAUGGACGGUCCGAUAAUAAUUAUUGAAUAUAUUUUAUAAUUAAUUUUGAUCCAACACAAAUUGGGUUAAAUUUAAUUACAAGCCUGAUGAAGAGAAAGGGGGUCCAAUUGUGCUAGGUGAAGAGGACUGCUCCACCAAGAAAUUGGCAGCCCAAACUGUCCCACUGUAGCUGACCCAAUCAGCUUAUUUUAGCUGCUUUUUAUUAUUGCAAAUCGGUCCUUGAACUUGUCAUUAAUUAUGUUCAAACCCUUCCUCUUUUCAAGCUUGUUAUUUUUAGCCACAAGCUAAAAAUAGCAAAUUUAGGUCAAAUCAUCCCUUCUACCAUGCAUGGCUGGCAAAAGGAAGGAAGAUUGGCUGCUAUUUUUAGCAGCCAUCUCCACCUAUAAAAACCCCCCUUCACGCCCUCGUUUUUCAUCCCUCACUUCACACAUCUCUCAAUCACACAUUUUCUCUCUUUUUCUCUUCUAGUUGCUUUCAAAAUUUCUUAUUUCCUUUGUCAAUUUCCCCUAUUGAAAAAGAGCUUGCAUGCCUCUUGGAGUAGAAAUAAUCUAGUGUUCGUGAACGCCUUGGAUCAACAGAACGAGCAAAGAAGAGAGUAGCGCACUAGUUUGACUUCGAAAAACCACCGAGAUUUAUUUUUCUAGUUUCCUUCUCUUAAUUUUUAUUUUUAUUUUCAUUUGUUCAUGAACUUGAAUAUUUUUGUUGUUGUUCUUCAAUUAAUUAAAAUGACUUAAAUUCCUUUCCUGUUAGAUUAAUUGCAUUCUGUCUGCUUAAGAUUAUUAAAAAUGUGUUUGUGUUGUUAUUAGGUCUCAGUAAAUUAUUCAAUUAAAUAAAAUCAUGCUUACGUUAUGCUUGCAUUUUAAUUGUAAGGUAACAAUUGAAUUAAUUAUUUAAACAGAUUGAAAUUGUAAUUAACGGACACAAUAUUUAAUUGGUGCAUGUUUAAUCUUCUAAGGUAGCUAAGGGUUAAAUUAGCGAUGGUAUUAAACAAUACAUUAGCCUUGUAUAACUUGCAGUAUUAUUGUGAUUAAAUUGUUUCAAUAUAGAGAUAUAUUGUUACCUCACUUAAUCAUUUACUUGCUUAUUAAAAUUUGAUUAAUCAUUUGAAUUAACAUAGAGAUACGGUCAAGAGAUUAUUGAAUUUUAGUAGGUAAGCAUGUGCAUUAGUUAGCAAGUUACUGAGUUGUCGUGAAAUUAUUCGUAACAACAAGAACACGAUUUUAAUAAUUCUAAGUUAAAGAAUAAAAUUAAUCUAACACGUUUAUGUCAUAUUGAUUAAACUCAUUUUUAGAACCGUGCAUGAGAAUUUUACUUUUUAUUUUCUUAGUUAGCACUUAGUUAAAUUUUUUUAGUUUUUAUAUCACCACUUCAAAUCAACAUAUUUUCCAUCACCAAAUUGUUUAAAUUUGCAUUUCAUAAAUAUUCUCUUUUACAGUCCCUGUGGGUACGGUAACUUGACAUUACUUGUCACUUUAUUACUUGUUGGGAUUAUGUACACUUGCACAUUUUCGUCAUUCCAAUUACGUAAGAAAAUAUAUAAGUAUCCAGUUAAUAUGCGUGAUGAAAUUCGAAGAGCUUAUAUUAACUUUGGACCAUAUCAACCUAUUAUUUCAGAAUAUCCUACUUCUAAUUCAAAAAAUCAUCCCCGUUAUUUUCAACCAUCAUUGUUUAAACACUUUUCCUAGUUAGAAUAUUCAUCUUUUAAAGAUGCAUUAUUUUGUUUGAUUUUUUUCUUUUUAAUAGAUACCCAAGUAGUUGUUUUGGAUCAACUACAUUUACUCAUAGUGGCUUUAGAAAUUGGAAAAAAGGUAAAUAAUGGAUGCAAUUGUGCUUUUUUGAAACAUAUGGGAAAAGAUCUGAAUUCACUGCAUAACAAUGCACAACGAGCUUAUGUAGAUUUAAUGAAUCAAGCUCAACAUAUUGAAGUAUCACUUGAUAGACAAACAACAUAGCAAAUUGCAGCUAAUCAUCUACGUUUGAAAACUAGUAUAGGUGUUGUUCGAUGGUUGACAUUUCAAGGGUGUGCUUUUAGAGGUCAUGAUGAAAGCUUGGGAUAAAAAAAUUGUGGGAAAUUUCUUGAAUUGUUAUCACUAUUAGCAUCUUAUGAUGAAAAAGUUGAAGAUGUUUUCAACAAUGCUCCACAAAUUGCUAGUUAUACUUCUUCAACAAUACAAAAAGAGAUACUGAAAAUUUAUGCCAGUAGAGUUCGUAAUGAAAUUCAUGAAGAAAUUGGUAAUAGAAAGUUCAACAUUAUUAUGGAUUAAGCGAGAGACGAUCCAAAAAAAGAGUGAAUGGCAAUUGUUUUGAGAUUUGUUGAUAAACAAGGACUGGUAAAAGAAUGAUUUUUUGAUAUAGUCUAUGUUAAAGAUAUUGUAUCAUUAAAUUUGAAGAAUGAUAUUUUGAAUGUUCUCUUGCAAGAUUGUUUUUACAUACAAAAUAUCUGAAGUCAAGGCUAUGAUGGAGCAAGCAAUAUGCGUGGGGAAUUUAACGGCUUGCAAGCUUUAAUUUUGAAUGAUUAUCAAUAUGCUUAUUAUGUUCACUAUUUUUCUCAUCGUAUUCAGUUAGCAUUGGUUACAGAAGCUAGAGAAGUGGUUGAAGUGCUUCAAUUUUUUAAAGACUUGUCUAAUAUUGUUAGUAUUGCUUAUGUUUCUUCCAAGUGACACGAUGAAUUACAAAAAGCCCAAGUAGUUGAAAUAACUCGUGUGGUAUCCAUCGAUGAGUUAGCAAUUGGAAUAGAAAUGAAUCAUAUUGGCACUUUGCAACAUUCUGGUGAGACUCUAUGGGGUUCUCAUUUAAAUUAAGUUACUUGUUUACUAACGAUGUACAAUGCUACUAGCAUAAUUCUUGAAAAUCUAAAAAAUAUCACUCCUAACUAUUCUCAGCGAGGAGAUGCUCAUAACGCAUAUAAUAGAUUGAGAUCUUUUAAGUUUAUUUUCAUUUUGCAUAUGAUGAAGGAAAUUUUAAGGGUUAUUGAUAAUCUUUUUCAAGCUUUGCAAUGUUGUUCUGAAGAUAUAUUAAAUGCCAUGAUUUUAGUUUUGACAACAGAAUACUUAAUUCAAAAGUUGAGAGAUGAUAGAUAGGAUGAAUUGUUGAAAAAUGUGAUAUCUUUUUGUGAAACUUAAGAGUUCGAUUUUCCAAAUAUGAAUGCUCAAUACAUUGUGGGCCAUAGCCAUAACAAGAAAGAAGAUGUUACAGUGGAGCGUCAUUAUCAAGUGGAUAUAUAUUUUUGCUACAAUAGAUACUCAGUUGUAAGAAUUGAAGAGAAUAUUUAAUGAACAUGUUGCCGAGCUUCUUACUCUUACUACAGCUUUAGAUCCCAAGCAGUUUUUCAAGUUAUUUGAUAUUGAUAAAAUUUGCAUUCUUGUAAACAAGUUCUGUAACGAUUCGAAAGUCAGUGGUCUUGAAAAAUGUGGUUUCAAGACCUUGUUUCCAUAAAACGGACCCGUAAAUAUUUUUAUAAGAUAUUUAAUAAGUUAUAUAAUAGGUGAAUUGAAUUUUUGGAAUGACAAUUUUGUUGAAUUAGAGUUUAUUUAUGGUACAAGGAAUAAAUCAUAAAAGAGGUAAAAGUUUGAACACUAAGGAAUCUAAUAAUUAGAAAUAAGGAUAGGGACAAUUAUGGUAAAUAUACCAUCUAAGUAUUAUUGUGGGUGCCUUUUAACUAAAUUAUACUUUUAUAUUGUAAAUUUUAGUUUAAUUAAAAUUAUAAAUAAAAUAUAAAUUAAAAAGGAAUAAAAUAGAGAAAGAGACGAAACAAAACAUUUCCUAUUCAUUUUCAUUCAUGCAAACCAAAAACAAGAAGAAGAAACAAAGAAGUUCGGCCUUAGGGAUUUCAAUUUAAAGCUUCAAAUUGAUUAGUGCAAUUUAAUCAUUUUCUUGUACUUCUUUUGUUUUUGGAAUCCUGAGAGCUUAAACUAGUUGACCCGUGUGUUAUUUUUCAAAACUAUUAAAGUUUUAGAAUGAUGUCAUUGAAGUUUUAAGUAUUAAAUGGAUAGAUUUUAAGCUGAUAGUGAAAAAGAACUAAAAUAUGAAGCUAAUUUGUAGUUUUGUGCAAUAGGGACUAAAAUGCAUAAAUUCCAUAAUUUGUGGUAGAAAUGAGAAAUAUAAGGUCUUAGAAGGACUAUAGUGGAAUCGGCUUGAAUAUUUGAGUUCUAAAUUGAAUAUUUUGUUAGUCUCGAUUUUAAGGACUAAACUAAAUAAAUUUCAAAAUAUAUAUGACUUUACAAUUGAGUUGGAAAGUAAUGUUAUGCAUGGUUGCAUAAUAUUCAUCACUAAAGACGAAAUGGGAGCAUCAAAAGGAACGAGGAAAGCAAAAGUCGACGACAAGUAGUUCAAGUUUCAGUAAGUGUUUUUAUGAUUUAACACUUAUUUAAUUUCUGUUUUUUCUAUGAUAUCAUACAUUGUUUACUAUUACAAUAAACUAUGAAUGGUGAGUAAAGUGAUUUGGAACAAUUGAAAUUCAAUGUUAAGAUAAGUACCAAAAUGAAUAGAUGUAUCAUUAUGGGAUUGAAUUAUAAUUGCUAUUGGGCACGAUUUGGAUAGAAGUGUGAAAAUGUAUGGACUUAAGCUAUUCGUUAAAAGAUGGAUAUGAUCAAUGUGCCAGUGACUAGGCUUGAUAAUGUCAUCGUCGUUAAGCAACCCAGGGUAGAAAGGCAUCAUUGUUAGGAAAUUUGGGAUGACAUAAAUAAAAUAAGAAAUUAUCGUUGUCGGGCAAUCCAGGGUGGUAAGCCAUCGUCGCCGGGCAACCCGAGGUGGCAAGUUAUCAUUGCUGGGCAACCUAGGAUGACAUAAAAGAAUCAAGGAACCAUCAUUGCCAAGCAACCCGGGAUGGUAAGUCAUCGUCGUCGGGCAAUCCAGGGUGGCAAGUCAUCAUUGUAGGGCAAUCCGGGAUAAUAGAUUGAAAGGAGUUAAAUCAAAUUCACAAGUUUGGAAUUUCGGUGGCAGUAUUAUAUAGUAUGAGGUUCCUAAAUAUGAAAGGAAAUGAUAGGUGACUAAAGAUUCACACUGAAACUUAGUAGGAUAAAUUUUAAAUCUUAAUCCAAGAUAAUGUUCUCCAUACUAUUCCGAUCUUAAUAGAAGUACGUUGAAUUACUUGCUCAUCUUGUAACUCACUUUCUAUACGCAUAAUAGGUUUUAACUACGUUCGGGUUUUACUUCAGCAUCCAGCCGAAAUCCUAAACUCCUUAAAGUUUGUACUCCAUCUUCUAUAUAACUUGGCAUGUACCUAGAGAUAUUAUUUUGGACUCUAUGUUGUUUAUGUAUUUUGAAGUUGUCAAUAUGAGUUCUAGUGAAUGGUUACACUUAGUUAAGUAAUGUUGUGUUAGUUUGAAAAAAGUAAAUAAAAUGGGGAAAUGAUUAUGUUUAAGAUGUAGCGACCUAAAGAUUUGGGCAUGGGGCGCUAGUUGAAGUGAUUAUUGAAAAUUUAAAAAUAGUGUCUCGAUUUUAUUUGAAAAGGAGUCGCCACCGAUCUUUUUUUCUAGGUGUGAUCGGACACCUAAUAAAUUCUCUUUUUAGAAGAAAAAUUUAUUUUUAAAUUUUCCUAAAAAAGAGGUAAUUUUAGGUCUACGUGAAAAUCCAGAGAAAAUUAGGGCUCGGGAGUCGGUUACGCGCGAGGAAGGUAUUAGCACCCUCGCGACGCCCAAAACUGGUAUCUUGUUAAACGCGUGUUGUCUUAAUUCCAAAAAUACAAGUUCAAUUUAAUAGUUAAUCGCAAUCUGAUCAAAACACAAGAAUUUUUUUUUAAAACCCGAAGAUUUUUGACACAUUUUUUUAACACACUAAAAUUUUUUAAAACACGAGAAUUUUAGAGACACGAAAAUUCUUAAAAACACGAAAAUUUUUGAAAACACGACAAUUUUGAAAUAGGAGAAAUUUUUUGAAAACACGAAAUUUUUUUGAAAAAACCGGAAAUUUUUUUAAAAAAACACGAAAAUUUUUGAAACACAGAAGUUUUUAGAAAACACGAAAAAUUUCUUUGAUCAUCGGAAUUUUUGAAAACACGAAAAUUUUUUGAAACACGAAAGUUUUAAAAAACACGAGUAUUUUCGAAACACCAAAAUUUUUGAAAACACGGAAAUUUUUAAAACACAUGAAUUUUUUGAAAACAUGAAAAUUUUGAAAACACGAGGAUUUUUGAAAACACGAAAAAAAAAUUUUAAAACCCAAAAAUUUUUAAAACACGAGAAAUUUUUUUUUUUGAAAACAUGAAAAUUUUUGAAACACCGAAAUCUUGAAAACACGAAGAUUUUUGAAAACACGAAGAUUUUUUGAAACACGAGAAUUUUUUGAAAACACGAAAAAUUUUGAAAAAUAGAAAUUUUGUUUUUUUAAAACAUGAGAAUUUUGAAAAACGAAAUCUUUUUUAUUUUUAUUUUGUUAAAACACGAAUAUUUUUUGAAACCACGGAAAGAUUUUUAGAACACAAAUUUUUCGAUUUUUUAAUUGAGCACUAUCGUAUUUAACACGAACCAGUGAUAUUCACUCAACAUAGCAAUGAAAUCAAUAAAUUUGUGUCAAACAGAUUCGUUGCCUUAUUUUUUUGAGAACGCGAAUAUUUUUUGAAACACGAGAAAAAUUUUUGAAGACACGAAAAAUUUUGAAAAUUAUAAUUUUUUUGAAAAUAUGAGACUUUUUGAAUAUUUUCGAUUUUUAAAAGGGUGUAUCGAUUUUAACACGAACCGGUGAUAUUCAUCCAACAUAGCGAUGAAAUCAACGAGUUCAUGUUAAAUCGAUUCGUUGCCUUAUUUAUUAAAAGUAUUUAAAAUUAAAUUAAAUUAAAUUAAAUUAAAAAUAUAAAUGCCAAAAUACAAAAAUGCAUAUAAUACUAAUAAUAUUAAAACGAAAAAAAUACGAGCAUUAAAUUAAAAUUAAAAAAAUGAAAUUACCGAAAAAAAUCUCGAAACACGAGCUUCGCCGAAUGGGUAACACAAAUUGAACCCCCUUUUUAUUUUUUAUUUUUUUCUCUUUUUUCCUCUUUUUUUCUUUUUCUUUUUCUCUCUUUUUUCUUUUUUUUCUCUCUGCUGGGCUGGUGCGCGCGGGCCUGGGCUGCUGGUUUUGGGCUGCGCUGUUGGGCUGCUGUGGCUGUUGGUGGGUCAGCUACUUUCUUCCUUUUGGGCUGCCUUUUUCUUUUGGGCUGAUUUUAUUUGCCUUUUUUUUGUUUUUUUUUUUAAAUCAAUGGGCCUGCUGACUGUGGCUUGCUGCAGUGCGGGUCAGGUCGCGGUAUCCGGGUCGGGUCGCGGGUCGGGUCGGUCUGACCCGACUAUUUUCAUAUUUUUUUUGUUUUUUUCUUUCUUCUUCUUCUUCUUCUUCUUCUUCAAGCCCUAGGUGCCGCCUUCGCUUGCUGCCGUCGUCCUCUCCGUCGAUGAUGCCGUCAGACCCUCUCCUCUUCUUCUCCUUUCUCCUCUCUUUUUUUCUUUUUUCUCUUCUCUUUCUCUUUUUCGCAAGUUUUUUUUUUGUGGGUGUGGGGGGGUCCGAUUUUUUGGAGUUUAAACUCCUUUUAUAGUUGGUUUUGCUUCUUUUUUGCAGGUAGCAGGUGGGGAAGGCCACGCCCUAGGCCGGCGGCCGAAAAUCGUGGGGCAGGUGCACGAAAUCCGCUGGAUUAUUGGGGAUUUUCUGACAGAAUGACCAAUUUCUAAAUGCAGAAAAGUUUUGGGGCCAAAAUGUAAUUUUGAGAAAGUUUAGGGGUUAAAAUGUAAUUUUGAUAAAUUUUCAAUGUCAAAAUGUAAUUUAGAAAAGUUUAGGGCUUGAAAUGUAAUUUUGAAAAAAUUUAGGGGUCAAAAUGUAAUUUUAGAAAAAUUCAGGGGUCAAAAUGCAAAAUUUUAAAAAAAAUUUUAAACACGAAAUUAUUCCCGGACAAAUUUCAGUGAUUACAGCUGCCCCUCUUUGCUCAUCGCUGUGAAACAGGGAUAGAGCAAAGACUUAAAAGCACUGAAUUUUGUUCGACUGUCCAAAAUUUUCUUUUUAUUUGAAAAAUAGAAAUCGAGAAUAGCUCGGCGUAUGGCCCGAGGCUCAACUCACCUCUAGCAUUAUGAGUUGAUUUUUUUUGAAAAACAGAAAUUGAAAAGAUACCUCGGCAUGUGGCCCGAGGCUCAACUCACCUCUCGUAAUAUAAGUUGAUUUUUGAAAAAUAGAAACUUAAAAAAUACCUCAGCGUGACCCGAGGCUCAACUCACCUCUCGUAUUAUGAGUUGAUUUUUGAAAAACAAAAAUUGAAAAAUACCUCAGCGUGACCCGAGGCUCAACUCACCUCUCGUAUUAUGAGUUGAUUUUUGAAACAAACAAAAAUUAAAAAAUACCUCAGCGUGACCCGAGGCUCAACUCACCUCUCGUAUUAUGAGUUGAUUUUUGAAAAACAAAAAUUGAAAAAUACCUCAGCAUGACCCGAGGCUCAACUCACCUCUCGUAUUAUGAGUUGAUUUUUGAAAAAAGACAGAAAUUAAAAAAAUAUUUCUUAAAAGAAACAGGGUUUCAAAAAACAUCUGGUGAAACUAAAAGCCUUCUUCUUCAUUGAUUCUGUGCAGCUUUCUCCCAGUAUUCCUUGCUCUACUGGUAUACCUGUAUAUGUCAUGUAUGAUGUUAUUAUGAUAUGCACAUGUUUGUCCUAAAUGUUUUUAUGUCUACAUGAUUAUGCCAUGCACCCUGGAUUGUUUGUCACGUGCCCCUCUUUUCAUGAGAGAUUGCAUUCAUUCCCCCCAUUCUUGACUUUCUCUCAGGUUCUGUACUCAUCUUCACGUUUUGUAAGUAAUCCACAUUUUCGUAUACCACAUUCCUGCCCCCUUGUUGAACUUUGUUCUUAUUUCAGGGUCCUUAUAUUUAUCAAAUUCUCAUCUAGGUAAUGCUCAACAUUCCUUUUGUUUAGAGUAUGUCAUCUUACUAUUUAUCAUUUAAAUGAAUCAAACACGAGAUGCAUGAAAAAUGGCAAAGUAGGCAUGAAAAAAAGACCUCACAUUCAUUUUUUUUUAAAAGUAACAAACAAAAAAUUGACAAGGAAAGUUUAACAAAUGAAUAGUCAUAAAGAAAAGAAAGCGAAUUCAAUGGCCAGAAAUGCUCUAGAUAUCCAAUGCAUGAACUUCUCUGCAUUCCUGGAUCCUUUCGAGCACGGCUUCUUGUGUAGAAUAUUUCGAGCUUCUGAGAAUGCUUCAAAUAUUGCGACUUCGUCAUUCAACUCCCCAUUCAAGUCACUUUGCUCCUUUAAGCCUGAGCCCACCUUAUUAGGACGCCCUUUUGGGUUUUCAUCCUAAUCCUUUUUGUUAAUCAAUAUGCCUUUUUCGGGUUUUCAUCUUGAUUUUUCUUUUUAUUUUCUUUGUUUUUUUUAUUUUGUUUUUUGUCUUUUUUUUAGACAUAAUAUUUCUUCACAGCAUCUGAGUUCACUGGAUUAGGUAAUUUUUUCCCGUCCAUCUCAGUGAGAAUCAGAGCCCCUCCUGAUAAUGCCUUUUUUACAACGUAUGGCCCUUCCCAAUUUGGUGACCAUUUUCCUUGAAAGUCCUUUUGUAUCGGGAAGAUCUUUCUUAGUACUAGUUCCCUUUCGCGGAAUUCUCUUGGCCGCACCUUUUUAUCAUGGGCCGUGAUCAGUCUUUUUUGAUACAUCUGCCCAUGACAAAUUUCCUUCAAGUGUUUCCCUUCAAUAAGGUUUAGCUAGUCACAUCGAGCUCGAACCCACUCUGAUUCUUCUAAUUUUGUCUCCAUCAAGACGCGCAGGGAUGGGAUCUCUACUUCGAUAGGCAGAACGGCCUCCAUCCCGUAGACUAGAGAAAAAUGAGUUGCCCCUGUAGACGUCCGUACAGAGGUGCGAUAUGCGUACAAAGUGAAUGGUAGCUUCUCGUGCCAGUCUUUAUAUGUCUCAGUCAUCUUCCCGAGAAUCCUCUUAAUGUUCUUAUUAGCCGCUUCUACUGCUUCGUUCAUCUUCGGGCGAUAGGGCGAAGAAUUAUGAUGCUUUAUCUGAAAUUGCUCACACACUUCUUUCAUCAUCUUGUUGUUCAAAUUCAAAGCAUUAUCUGAAAUGAUUCUCUCAGGCAAACUAUAUCGACAUAUGAUCUCCUUUUUUAAGAACCUACAGACUGCAGCUUUUGUCACAUUAGCAAACGAAGUGGCUUCUACCCAUUUUGUGAAGUAGUCUAUAACCACAAAGAUGAAUCGAUGUCCAUUGGAAGCUUUCGGGGAAAUUGGCCCUAUAACAUCCAUACCCCAUAUAGAAAAAGGCCACGGAGAAGUCAUGACAUGAAUGGGCGAUGGAGCUGCGCCAUAAAUUUGACAUUUGUGGCACUUUCGUGCGUAGCCAAUGCAAUCGCUUUCCAUCGUCAGCCAAUAAUAACCAAGUCUCAUAAUCUGCCUGGCCAUGGUGAAACCACUAGCGUGCAUUCCACAAAUUCCUUCAUGAAUCUCCUCAAGUAUCUUUCUGGCUUCAACAGCGUCCACGCAUCUCAAGAGCACUAGAUCUUUCCCUCUUUUGUAUAGAAUAUCCCCAUCAAGAACAAAUCCAAUCGCUAUUCUCCUGAUUGUUCUUUUGUCAUUCUCGUUUGCUUGCUCGGUGUACCUUUGAUUCUUGAUAUACUCCAAGAAAUCAUGGAACCAUGGUUGUCCAUCUGACUCCUCUUCAAUGCUAAAACAAUACGCGGGGGUCUCAUAUAUGCUCAUUUGGAUGGGCAUUAUCUUAGUUUCUCUGUUUGCUUUAAACAUUGAAGUCAAGGUGGCCAGAGCAUCAGCCAAUUGAUUCUCUUCUCGUGAAAAGUAGUUAAAAGUCACUUCUUUGAAUUCUUUGACCAAUUUUGCCAUGAGAUCGUGAUACUUAACUAAUUUUGGGUCUCUCACUUCCCAAUCUCCACGAUUUUGAUAAAUGACUAAUGUUGAGUCCCCGUGUACCUCUAAAAUUUUGAUUUUCCUCCUGAUAGUUGCACGAAGUCCCAUGAUGCAAGCUUCAUACUCCGCUAUAUUAUUGGUACAGAAGAAAUUCAAUCUGGCAGUGAGUGGGUAAUGGUCCCCUUCAGGUGACACUAAGACUGCUCCGAUCUCAAGCCCCAAUGCAUUUGAUGCACCAUCAAAGCUCAUUUUCCAUGAUUUCUCUUUUGAUGACUCGCCCUCUUUUUCUGAAACGCACAUCAAAUCUUCAUCUGGGAAAUCAAAUCUCAAAAAAGGCUCAUAUUCCUCCGUUGUUCGACUUGCCAAUAAGUCAACUAUUGCGCUUCCUUUUAUCGACUUUUGGCUCACAUAUACAAUGUCAUACUCAGUCAAUAGGAUCUGCCAUUGGGCCAUUCUCCCUGAGAGUGCAGGUGACUCCAUCAUGUAUUUUAUUGGGUCCAGUUUUGAAAUUAACCAUGUCGUGUGAUACAACAAGUAUUGUCUGAGCCUUCGAACCGUCCAAAUCAAUGCACAACAAAACUUCUCAAUUGAAGGGUACUUUGCCUCAUAUUCUGUGAACUUCUUGCAGAGGUAGUAAAUUGCCUUUUCUCUUUUCGCUGACUCAUCAUGUUACCCCAGUACGCAACCCAUUGAGUUUUCAAAUACUAUUAGGUACAAUAUUAAGGGUUUUCUAGGGGUCGGCGGUACUAGUACUGGAGGAUUAGAUAAAUACUGUUUUAUCUUGUCAAAUGUCGUUUGGCACUCCUCGUUCCAUUUUCCCGGAUUAUGUUUUCGAAGGAGUCAAAAAAUUGGAUCACACUGAUUGGUAAGUUGAGCGAUGAAUCGAGCAAUGUAAUUCAACCUUCCUAAAAAUCCUCAGACUUCCUUUUGUGUACGCGGAGGUGGCAGUUCUUGUAUGGCCUUUAUCUUGUCUGGAUCAACCUCGAUACCUCUCUCACUGACAAUGAAACCUAGCAAUUUUCCCAAGGUAGCCCCAAACGUACAUUUGGCUGGGUUAAGUUUCAACUGGAACUUUCUUAACCUUUUGAACAGCUUCUUGAGAUUCCCAACAUGCUCUUCUUCUCCCCGGGACUUGGCAAUCAUAUUAUCGGCGUAAACUUCUAUUUCUUUGUGCAUCAUAUCAUGGAACAAUGUCACCAUGGCUCUCUGAUAUGUUGCCCCAGCAUUCUUUAAUCCGAACGGCAUUACCUUAUAGCAGAAGGUCCCCCACAUUGUUAUGAAUGUAGUUUUCUCCAUAUCUUCGAGAGCCAUCUUUAUCUGAUUAUAACCUGAGAAACCAUCCAUGAAAGAAAACAAAGAAUGCUUUGCCGUAUUAUCCACUAAAGUAUCGAUGUGUGGUAAAGGAAAGUUAUCCUUGGGGCUUGCUUGAUUCAUAUCACGAUAAUCUACACACAUUCGUACUUUGCCGUCUUUUUUCAGUACCGGGACUAUAUUAGCCACCCACUCUGGAUAUUUGGAGACUUGUAGGAAGCCAGCGUCGAAUUGUUUCUUGACUUCUUCUUUUAUCUUUAACAACAUUUCAGGUCUCAUCCUUCUUAGCUUCUGUUGAACAGACUUGCAUUCUGGUUUCAGUGGGAGCUUAUGGACCAUAAUGUUUGUGUUCAACCCUGGCAUAUCCUGAUAAGACCAGGCAAACACAUCUUUGUACUCAUGGAGCAAAGUGAUCAAAUUCUGUUUAGUGUUCUCUGAAAUGGAAGUCCCAUUCUUCACCUCUUGUUUCUUUUCUUCACUUCCCAAAUUCACUGUCUCAUCAGAUUCUUGAUGGGGUAGAAUAUGUUUCUCUUCUUGUUCAACCAUUCUCAGUAAGUCAGGAGGCGGGGCACAAUCUUCAGCACUUUCUUCAGCUUCGAAUUCUCCUAAACAAACAGCCUUCUCAAAAUCAAUUUCAGGACUUGUAACGGGAUUGUUCAUGCCGUGGAUAUCUGAGCGCCUGAAAGAUGAAUGAGAAAGAAAACUAUAUAGGAGCAUCAAAGUAUUGGAAUCAACACACACAAUGUUAUGGAAUAAUAUAAAGAGCAAACAUAAGCUCUUACAAAAGGAAUCCCAUUCUUAAGGGCACACAAAAUAAUGGAGAAUUAACAUUGGGCAUUACUCUAGAGAGGACUUAGAAACUACAAUGAGGUCCACAGCAGACCAGUUGUUCAACACAUAUCUUGGAGGACAGGGGGUAUCAUUGAAACAUCCUCAAUUGCAUCACCCUCGCAGUCAACUACAUUUAUACUGAUAUUCUGAAAACCCUUUUCGAUAAGUAACGAGAUUUGUGGAUUGUCUUACCUUGGGUACAUCACUCCUGCUGAUGUGAAUGUUCUUGACAAAGGAGGAUACGCCAACGGCUCCCAUUCUAAUUCCCAGCCUGAAGCUCUCGCGAUUCUUCAUUCUCAAUCCUUCUGCAAUUUUUUUCUUCUUUGAUGUACAUCUAGCUUGAACCCCAAACCGUAUCGACCUUUGUGGUGCGUUGGUUUAAAAGCUCUAACCAUCCCUUAUUGAUAUUUUCCCAAGCAUUUCCUCGCUCGAGCUCCUUUUCCUACAGUCAGCUUAAUUCCCAUCUUGGUAUUCCUUGACAGUUUGGGAAUGGGGAUCUUAUUCCCUUCAGGAACAAAUGCAGCAUUAAUAAAUUCCAAUGAGCGAAAAGAACAUUUUACAGCAUCUUCGCUUAUCUUGAUGUAGGGUGCAUCAGUAGAGAUAGAUGCGACGAAGUCUUCCUCACCAGCGACAGUAAUCAAGCGGCCAUCCAUGAUGAACUUUACUUUUUGAUGGAGAGAUGAAGGAACUGCCCCAGCAGAAUGGAUCCAAGGUUUUCCUAAGAGGUAAUUGUAUGAAUGCGUGAUGUCCAUGACCUGGAACUCGAUAUCAUAUGCACAUGGCCCCAUUUUUAGAGGAAUUUAGAUCUUUCCCAUGACCUCUCGUCGUGUCCCAUCAAAUGCCAUUACUGUAGAAUGACAAGGCCUCAGAUAGGACAUAUCAACCGACAUCCUAGAAAGCGUGGCCAAAGGCAUAACAUUGAGUGCAGAUCCAUUGUCAAUGAGCACAUUUGGUACUAUGUAACCCUUGCAAUUGGUUGUGAUGUGCAAUGCCUUUACGGAGCCCCUACCAUUUGGUGGUAUUUCGUCAUCACUAAAAGAGAUGAAAUUAUCUGCAUUCAGAUUAUUUACCCACCUAUCAAGCUUUUCUACAAAUACAUUGUUCGCCACAUAAGCUUGAUUUAACACUUUUAGCAAGGCAUGAGGUAGAGUGAAUCCCGGAGGAUAAAGUGGAUCUUGAUUAGCUCUUGACUGAGGCGGCUCUACGAUAUCAGGGAUCUGCAUAGGUCUUUUUCCUUUAACCAAAGCCGUCAUCAUUUCCAUCAUUUUGGCCAUUCGAUCCUUUUGCUCGAGUGAUUCCUCUCGAGAUCUCACCAUCAAAUCUCUUGCCUCUUGCUGUGACUUGUCUAGUUACUCUUGCAACUCUCUUUGUGUCAUUUCCAUCCUUUCCAUUCUUUCAUUGAGUUCGGCAUCCAUAGCUCUAGCUCUUAGGCGUGUCUUAUAAGAGUGACGUGAUUCCAGACUCGUAGUGUAGCAACUGUGGAUUAGACGAUUUUAACCUUAGCAAAUGAUUAGGGUGAUAUGUACAUGCAAUGAAUGAAUGAAUGACUAAUGAAUACUGAAUGCAAAAAUAUGCUAAAAAAAUGGGUGUUGAUUUCAAGAUAACCCCAUAUUUGAGCUUUUCAUUAAUCAAAAGAGUCUAUUACAAAAAGUUUCGCCCUCCUAGUUUAGCAGUUACACAAAUUUCCUAGCCAUAUCGCCUUGUUUCUUUAUACGCUUCAGGAACUCCGAUAUGCUUGACUUUUGGUUAGGAGGGUACUGGCAACUGAGAACUUCCGCUUCAUCUGAUAAUUGCACUAUCUGCAUAGCCGCCUUGCGAAUUUCGUUGACCAAAUCACCGAGAUGCAUAUACUUUUCUUGGAGGGCUCUUUCGUAGGCGCGAAUGUCUCUGUCAUGCUGACCAUUCUUCUCUUCUAGAGCUUUCAAGAGGUCAUCCAAAUGUUGCUGAUAAGCUUGCAGUGUACUUUCUAUACCUCGAAUUUUUUCUUUUAGCUCUUGACACUCAGACUGACUAGCCGUUAAUUCUGCAGACACAGUUUCGUAUUCAACAUUCUUCUUUCUCAAUUCUAUCAUAGCACGUGUAGCUCUUUCCUCUUCCUUCUUCGCUUUGGUUUUCCAAAAUUCCAUCCCACCUUUGAUAUUGCUCAGUUCCUCUUUCCAAUCUGCUGAUGAUUUGCCCAAACCACUAUUCCUUAUAGUGCCUCUUAAUUUUUUAUUUUCCAAAUGAAGGUCCCUUAAAUCUUUUCUCGUGACCUCAACUUCUUUUUGGUCUUUCUCGACUUUAGAUUUUUUAAUUUCCACAUCAAUAUUCAGCUGGUAAUUCUCCUCUUGAAGAGAACUAAUAUCUCGUAACAGUUUGGCUUUUUCACGUUCAAAUUCAUGUCUUGCUAUUUCCAACUCGGAAGGCAUUUCCUUUGAGAACGGAUUCUGGCAAGCAACGUCAAUCGGCAAGGUUAGCUGACUCUUCACUCGUUGUUGCCUCCAUAUGUCAUAAUCUGCAAUGAUAGUAUCAGCAUAGAGAGCCAACUCCAUUAGGUAGAUUUUCCUCCAAGAAUUCUCGGUAUCUCGCACCCUUUUCAUGUAACCCUCACCCAUAAAGACAAACUCCGAUUGUGCCAAUCCAUUAGUAACUGGUACAAACUGUCGCGAAACAAACUGUCUCUGAACCAUCAACGGAGCAUAUCCCACUCCUCCCCAUAAUCUUAGCAAAGGCAUCCAGUCUUGGUUCUCACACUUGUAUAACAAGAAAGAGGGACGAAUCUAAGGUGCUCUCCAAGUUAUAUCUUCAGCACGGAGAUUCUGAAAAACUGAGACCCAGUGUUGUUCAGUGACAUCCCUUGGCCAAUCUUUUUCUAAUGUGUGCUUCUAAAGGAGCGAAUGUUUUUGAGAACAUAUGGAAAUGUGUGCGCUCCACUUUCCAAAAGUGGCUAAAAAUCUAAACAUUAAGUAACUGAGCGCAUCCAAUAAAACGCCCUUCCCCUUUCUUCCUACAAUCAUUUAGGGACCUAAAAGUCUCGGCUAAUAUGGUUGGGACGGGGCUGAUUCCUUGCUUUAAUUUUUCAAAGAAAUCCACUACCGCGACUUCAAAGUGCCCGAGAACCUUUGGGAAUAUGACUAGUCCGUAAAUAGCCAAGGCAAACAGAUCUAUCCUUCUCAAAGUAUCUGGAUGAUUCUGAACUAACUUUCGAAGAGAAAACCAUGGAAUACAACUGACUUCAUUCUUCUUCUUUAUCUAUUUUUCAGCCCAUGUAUCAGUCAUCCCCGUCAACUUCAUUAAUUUUUUCUUGAAGGUCAUUGGUUUAGGCUCCUUCACAUAUAUCUUAUUGAAUUGUACAUUGUCGAUGCGAAGUAGGGCAACAUACUCUUCUAUAGUCAGAGUCAUAUCUUCUUGAUUGAAAGUGAAACACUGAUAGGCAGGGUCCCAGAAUCGAACCAUGGCUUGGAUCAACUGCUCGUUCACAUUGAUUGCUACCAAGUGAGCUAUAUCCCCGUAUUUUUCAGUAAAGAUGCUUCUAGUAUCUGAGUCCCACUGCUUCCAAAUCCCAAUCAAGUCUUCAAGAUCAUUCUGACGCACAUUCAAGGUCACACGCUCGGGAAGAUCAGAGGUGUAUCCUUCCUUCAAACUGUCCCCUUUCUUUUUUUGAGACCUCAAAGACCAAUCUCGGACUACAGCAUUUUUCUCAGUUACUCGUGUAAUUGACUCCUCCAUCAGAAACCCAUUUUUGGCAACCAAUCUCUAAUUAACACCUUCUUAAUGAGAUGCCUAUGAUGCAUGAUGACAAAUAGAAUAAAAAAAGAAUAACCUCGGUUAGUGAUAACAACAGAUGUAAACAGAAAAAAGAAAAAUAAGAACUAUGGAAAGUUUAACAAAUUAAGCUAAUCAAUCAUGCAAUUUGGUGGAACAGACCCACAUUUUUUUUUUGCCUAAACAAGCUUUACAAAAACCUACCCCACUACCGUCAGACAAUCUAUCCUACCCAAUUUAUUAAACAGACUCAAUUCAUUUGCAAAUAAGUGUAAAUGUAAAAGAAAUAAAAGGUCAGAGGCAUUUCUCCCGUGUACUUAUUUUGGUAACUAUCAAACGGACAAAGGUUCGACAUGGCUCUAAUUGGGUGGCUCGUACGGUUCACUAUAUGUGGUUUUGGUUCUAGAAAGGUACUCAAAUUGUCCAUACUGUCACCUACUAAGGUUAGUAUGGAGCCUCGGUCAUCACCCAUCACAGGCUCACGAGCUCAAUUCGAGGGAUUACAUUUACUUAUGCCUAUGCAGAGGGACGAGUUAACUCACGAAAGCAUAAGUCAUAUGUAACCCGGAAGUAUUUCACUAGCCUGUGCGGAGGGACAAGUUAACUCUCGAAGGCAUAACGUUUACUUCCACUUAAUCGGACGGAACCCGGGUAGAGAGCUCAUGUUAUGCAAAAAUGCAAGUGCACUGUGUGUGGGGAGAAACUCACAAACCUUUUUAUUUUUAUUUUACUAAAAACAAAGUAAAAACCGUAAAACUUAAAGCUGAAAAACAACAGAAAAAAUAAAACAAGUUAGAAAAAUAUUAAUUUAAAAAUCGAAUGCGGAUGCGCGACUUUCAAAAAUAAAAUUCACGGAUCACGAUUAAAAAUUAGUUUGGACAAGAAAUUUUGAAAAUUUUGACAACACGCAUUUAACAUCAGACUCGACUCUAAAAAAAAGUCCCCAACGGAGUCGCCAGCUGUAGCGACCUCAAAAUUUGGCGAUGGGCGCUAGUCGAAGUGAUUAUUGAAAAUUUAAAAAUAGUGUCUCGAUUUUAUUUGAAAAGGAGUCGCCACCGAUCUUUUUUUUCUAGGUGUGAUCGGACACCUAAUAAAUUCUCUUUUUAGAAGAAAAAUUUAUUUUUAAAUUUCCCUAAAAAAGAGGUAAUUUUAGGUCUGCGUGAAAAUUCAGAGAAAAUUAGGGCUCGGGAGUCGGUUACGCGCGAGGAAGGUAUUAGCACCCUCGCGACGCUCAAAAUUGGUAUCUUGUUAAACGCGUGUUGUCUUAAUUCCAAAAAUACAAGUUCAAUUUAAUAGUUAAUCGCGAUCUGAUCACAACACGAGAAUUUUUUUUUUAAACACGAAGAUUUUUGAAACAUUUUUUUUGAACACACUAAAAUUUUUUAAAACACGAGAAUUUUAGAGACACGAAAAUUCUUAAAAACAUGAAAUUUUUUGAAAACACGACAAUUUUGAAACAGGAAAAUUUUUUGAAAACACGAAAUUUUUUUAAAAAAACUGGAUUUUUUUUAAAAAAACACGAAAAUUUUUGAAACAAAGCAGUUUUUAGAAAACACGAAAAAUUUCUUUGAUCAUCGGAAUUUUUGAAAACACGAAAAUUUUUUGAAACACGAAAGUUUUAAAAAACACUAGUAUUUUCGAAACACGAAAAUUUUUAAAACACGGGAAUUUUUUGAAAACAUGAAAAUUUUGAAAACAUGAGGAUUUUUGAAAACACAAAUUUUUUUUUAAAACGCAAAAAUUUUUAAACACGAAUUUUUUUUUUUUGAAAACAGGAAAAUUUUUGAAACACCGAAAUCUUGAAAACACGAAGAUUUUUGAAAACACGAAGAUUUUUUGAAACACGAGAAUUUUUUGAAAACACGAAAAAUUUUGAAAAAUAGAAUUUUUUUUAAACAUGAAAAUUUUGAAAAACGAAAUCUUUUUUAUUUUUAUUUUGUUAAAACACAAAUAUUUUUUGAAACCACGGAAAGAUUUUUAGAACACAAAUUUUUCGAUUUUUUAAUUGAGCACUAUCGUAUUUAACACGAACCAGUGAUAUUCACUUAACAUAGCAAUGAAAUCAACAAAUUUGUGUCAAACCGAUUCGUUGCCUUAUUUUUUUGAAAACGCGAAUAUUUUUUGAAACACGAGAAAAAUUUUUGAAGACACGAAAAAUUUUGAAAAAUAUAAUUUUUUUGAAAAUAUGAGACUUUUUGAAUAUUUUUUAUUUUUAAAAGGGCGUAUCGAUUUUAACACGAACCGGUGAUAUUCAUCCAACCUAGCGAUGAAAUCAACGAGUUCAUGUUAAAUCGAUUCGUUGCCUUAUUUAUUAAAAGUAUUUAAAAUAAAAUUAAAUUAAAAAUAUAAAUGCCAAAAUACAAAAAUGCAUAUAAUACUAAUAAUAUUAAAACGAAAAAAAUACGAGGAUUAAAUUAAAAUUAGAAAAACAAAAUUACCGAAAAAAAUCUUGAAACACGAGCUUCGCCGAAUGGGUAACACAAAUUGAACCCUCUUUUUUUAUUUUUUAUUUUUUCUCUUUUUUCCUCUUUUUUUCUUAUUCUUUUUUUCUCUCUUUUUUCUUUUUUUUCUCUCUGCUGGGCUGGUGCGCGCGGGCCUGGGCUGCUGGUUUUGGGCUGCGCUGGGCUUGUGCUGUUGGGCUGCUGUGGCUGCUGGUGGGUCAGCUUCUUUCUUCCUUUUGGGCUGCCUUUUUCUUUUGGGCUGAUUUUAUUUGCCUUUUUAUUUGUUUUUUUUUUGUUGUUUUUUUUUUAAAUCAAUGGGCUUGCUGACUGUGGCCUGCUGCAGUGCGGGUCGGGUCGCGGUAUCCUGUCGGGUCGGUCUGACCCGACUAUUUUCAGAUUUUUUUUGGUUUUUUUUCUUUUUUUCUUCUUCUUUCUUCUUCUUUUCCUUCUUCUUCUUCUUCGUCUUCUUCUUCAAGCCCUAGGUGUCGCCGUCCUCUCCGUCGAUGAUGCCGUCGGACCCUCUCCUCUUCUUCUCCUUUCUCCUCUCUUUCUUUCUUUUUUCUCUUCUCUUUCGCUUUUUCGCAAGUUUUUUUUUUAUUUUUUCGUGGGUGUGGGGGGGUCCGAUUUUUUGGAGUUUAAACUCCUUUUUAUAGUUGGUUUUGCUUCUUUUUUGCAGGUAGCAGGUGGGGAAGGCCAUGCCCUAGGCCGGCGGCCGGAAAUCGUAGGGCAGGUGCACGAAAUCUGCCGGAUUAUUGGGGAUUUUCUGAUAGAAUGACCAAUUUGUAAAUGCAGCAAAAGUUUUGGGGCCGAAACGUGAUUUUGAGGAAGUUUAGGGGUCAAAAUGUAAUUUUGAGAAAGUUUCGAGGUUAAAAUGUAAUUUAGAAAAGUUUAGGGUUAAAACGUAAUUUUGAGAAAAUUUAGGGGUCAAAAUGUAAAUUUAGAAAAAUUUAGGGGUCAAAAUGCAAAAUUUUUUAAUUUUUUUUAACACGAAAUUAUUCUCGGACAAAAUUCAGUGAUUACACAAGAUAUGUGUUUAUGAAAUUGUAUGCGUAUAUAUCUUGAAAUAGUGUUUUGACUAUGUUUUGUUUGUGAAGUGGUGCCACUAUUUGAUAUAUUGGUUAGAAGAUUAGGGAUGUAUUAAAUGGCAUAUUGUUAGCAUGUUUUUGACAGGGUUUUUAGCAAGAACUAAAUGGCCAAUAUUUUCACUUAGGUUCAUUUUUAAAGGUAGGAUUGUAUCAUGCAUAAAUGACAUAUUUUUGCAUUACAUGGUUUAGAACAUGGUCGUGUGUCACAGACGGACAAGUGACAUGAUCGUGUGAGCUCUGUAAAUAAUAAACCAAUUGUAUACAUGGUCUCCAAUUAUCACAUGGCUGGCCACUCGCCCGUGUGAUUACUAUAGCUUUGGUCAUUUGGGUUUCUACACAGUUUCAGUUUAUUACAUGGCCCAUCCACAUGGCCGUGUGAAUUUAUUUGAAGGCUUGUAAAUUCGACGCACACGGCCACAGUGAGUUACACGGUCAUGUCACAUGGUCGUGUGGCUCUAGUUUUACACGAUUACAAUUUGAUUCACGAUCCGAUCACACAGUUGUGCGACAUUCGUUGAAAUUUUGUAUCUUGAUGCACAUGGCUUCAGAGAGUUACACGGCCCGGAUACACAAUUGUGUAACCCCUAUUUUUACAUGUUUGCCUUUAUCUUUUGGAAAUGUUCCAAUUUAAUCCCUAUUUUUUUCGAGUCAACUUUAAAGCUUUCGUAAGCUCGAUUAAGAUUCGAAUUAAUUUUAAUUUAUAUUGUGCAUGGGUUAUGCAAUGUUUUAUCAUUUAAUUAAAUUUUAAAGCCUGAAAUGUUUGUGUACUACUCUAUUAAUUGUUGUAGCACGUUAUAGCUCGAGUCCAGCGACUAAACCAAGUGAGGGGUGUUACAAGUUCUAUCCAGAUGAGUUGUAACACCCUAAAAUUUCUAAUUUCGUUAUUUUGAAAAUAUAACACAAAUAUCUAUCAGCUUUAGUGGUUAUGUGUUCUGAGAGGUUUGGGAGGUCCUAAGUUCAAACCUUUGCUUGGGCAAAUUUUGGUAGUUUGAAUGAAUUAUGCCUUACUCUUGAUCAGUAUGCUUUUAUUUGAUUGUUGGGUAAAUUACAUCAGAAUGGGUCUGCUGGUUUGGUGGGUAAAUGAUGUGUUAUUAUGGUAGAGGUCUUGUGUUCGAAUCCCUAUGCAUGUAAGGGUAAUAUUUUUUUGCUCAGAUUUCAAGAUCUGAGUAGUGGAUGUGUAGUGGGAAUUAGGGGGAGAAGAUUAAGGGAUUUUGGGGGUUAUCAGGAUUUUAUUUUAUUUUAUUCCCAUAAUUGAAUUUUAACUCUCUUUUUCAAAAAAAAAAUUCAGCCGUCUAUUCUUCUCCCUCUCCUCUUGCUGAAAUUCUCUGAGUUUUUCCAUCAUUCUCUUCUUUUUCUUCUUCUUGAUUUUUCCCUAAUCCAUUUUGUUAACACCAUUUUUUUUGACAAAACGGGGUCGACUUGGAUUCUAAAAAUGAAAACGAAAAUGGGAGUCGUCACCAAUCUUUUUUGAUAAGGUGUGAUCGGGCCACCUUGAAAAGUAGUUGUUUUUAAUAAACAAUUUAAUUUUAUUAAAACAACAAUUUUGGUCCACGAAAUUUAGAAAAUAGGUUCGGGAGUCGGUUUCGUACGAGGAAGGAUUAGCACCCUCGUAACGCCCAAAAUUGGUACCUAGUUGAUUAAUAAGUGUCUUGGUUUCGAAGAUUGAAAAUUUUAAAGAGAUUUAAAAAUACGAUCCUUUAUCAAAAUUUAAAAAAUUUAGGAAGAGAAGCGUAUUUUCACGUAAUCGAGAAAAAAAUUACAUCCCGUAAGUUAGGACACAAUAUCUAAAAUGCCCAAUACGAGAAUGAAUGCCGGAAAAAUUUGUUUAUUGUUGGAAAAGUUCAAUUAUCUCGGGUUUCAUUAAAAGAGAUCAUGUCCCGUAAGUUGGAACGCAAUCUUUUAUUAAUUCCCGAUAACAUUUAAAAAUUUUGAUUGAAAUGAUUCGUGUAUUUGAGUUUUUCGAGAAAAUCAAAACCCCGUAAGUUAGAGUACGACUUUCUUGAAUUUCUAAAUACAGAAUAUUACCUUAUUUUGAUUUUUUUUUAAUUUGAGUAGGAAUUAAUAUAAUAUUUGAUGAGAUAUAAAUUUAAUUUAUGCAAAUAUAGUGUGAGGGCAAACAUUUAUCUCAUACAAUGCAUAGUACAAUAAUAAUAAAAUAAAUAUAUUAGUAGAAUGUUAAAAAAGAUAAAUAAUAAAUCAUAAAAUACAACAAUAAUAAUGACAUAAUUAUAACAAUAAUCACCAAAUAAUAAUAACAAUGGCCAUAUUAAUUGUUAUUCUAAUGCAAGAAAUAUAAAAAAAUGAAUUAAACAUUAAUAAGAAUGAUAACAAUAAUAACAAUAAACAACAUAAUAAACUAUAAAUACAAGAAAAAUAAAUAAAUAAAUAAAUGUAAGAAUAAAUAAAUAAAUAAGAACAAAAAGGAAUAAAUAAAUAAAAUAAACUUGAAAUUAAAUAGAUAAAGGAUCAAAUUGAGGUUAAAAUAAACUUUGAAGUCUAAAUUAUAAUAAAAUGGAUGAAUAAAUAUAAAAGGGGCUGGAUUGAAAUUCGAAAAGGAUUUAAAGGUAUAAAUUAUAAAUAAAAAAAGCCAAUUGAAAUGCGCUGCAAAAGGGCGAGGACUAUAUGGGAAAUUAUUCUCAGUCCAUUGGAGCACACCGUUUCAGUCUGGACUAAAAUGAAACAAAAAAGAAAUUAUACUGCAAAAUGUAAAGAAAAAAAAGUUUUAGGAUCAAAUUGCAUAGCCUCGCAAAAGCAUAAGGACCAUAUGCGCAAAUAGCCCCUUUACCGCAGAAACACGCAGAUCUUGGGGGCCAAUCGGGUCGAAUCACGGGUCAGGGCCAAAAAGACGUCGUUUUGGCACCUGACCCCCAAUGCCAAAACGGCGCCGUUUAGUUAUAGUUAUUUAAAUCAAAAAUUUUCUAAUAAUUUCAUUUUCUCUUCUCCACUUAAAAAAAAAACAGAAACACCUAUCCCUCCCCCUUUUAACAAAUCCAGAAACCAGUCAUGGUCACCGAGAACAAAUGGUCGAGCCUCCGCCGAGGCUCCACCGUAAUGGCGGUCGGAUAGGGGCCAAGAUUGAUUUUCUUUUUCCCUCAUUCAAGAUCCCAUUCGAAGACCCAAUUUUUUGACUAAAAAGGACUGAAAAGAUGGGAUUUUUCACACCCUUUAUGUCCAAUUUCAACAUCCAAAGAGGACUUCCGGCGAAGAGCCUUCGGAUCCGACAGGUAUCCCUCUUCCUUUUACUUCGUUUUUAAAAAAAAAGGUUUAUAAAAAAAAGAAAUAAACAAACAUAAAUAAUUUAAAAAAAAAACAAGAACACUAAGUAAAGAAAUAGUAACAAUUGAAUCAACCUUUUAAAAAUUUUGCUCUGCUUCUUUUUUAUUCACUGGUUGUAAAAAAAAAAAGGCAGCAAUACAAACAUGAUUCUUGGCUUUUAUAGCCGAUUCAUUUCUAUUUUUUUCUAUUAUUUUUGCGGCUUGCGUGUUUUCUCCUUGUUUGCAGAGUGAUUUGAUGUUGAUGGAGUAGGUGGCAGAGUUGGUGGUUGCUAGAGGUAGUGACAGCAGAGAGGAGGUGACGGCGGCGAUGCGAAAGUCAAAAGGGCAGGUGGUGCGGCGCAAUAGGGGGCUAGGGUUGCUAUUUCUGUUUUGUAUUUUGGGCCGUUUGGGCCAUUAGGGUUUAGUUUUAGUUGGGCUUAAAUUUUGGGUUUAGGUUUGGGUGUUUAGGUGGGUAUUGGGUUGGUAUUGGUUUUGGGUGUUUGGGUUUGAUUUAUUGGGUAGUGGGCCAUUUUUGGGCCUCGGGAAAAUUUGGGCUUGUACACAUUUAUUUUCCUUCGUUUUCACACACGGUUAGUGCUCGCUUAGUUUCGGUAAGUGUUUCUCUUUGUUUCUGUCUUGAAUCUCUUAACGACUGAAGUGAUAAUUUUUUUUCUCUGCGAUUUGGGCAUAUGGGGAGGCUCAGACUGGUGAAUUAAGUGUUCUCGUCUUAAAAAUAGUUAAACGGAGGGUUAUCGUUGGUGGUAAGUUGGGUUUUUGUUCGUUCUUGGUUGUCAAUUCGCUUGUAAAUCCUUUAAAUUGAUGUUGAGUAUCUUGAUUAUGGCUUUGGAGUGCUCGGGGACUGUUUUAUCAUCAAACAAAACCAGGUGUGUACCCGAAACGCAAAAAAAAAGGGAUUCGACGAAAAGCCAAAAUUGCUUACUGUUUAGACAGCAGCAGUAGGCUAACUUUGAAAAAUUGCUAUAAAUUGUGAAAAUUGAAUUAGAGGAUGAAAAAAAUAUGGAAUUAAAGCUUAUUGAGUCUAGUUUCUCAUUGAAGAAACGAUGUAAGUAAUGGAAUUGUGAAUCAUGAGGUAUAAUAAACUUUGUGAGACAAGGUCAGAUUGAAUUCGGGUUCCCGUAUUUUGACUUUAGAAAAUCAUCAAAAAUUAGAGAAAAUAAUUAGGAGUUAAAAUUUACAUGUUUAAAUUAUUAAUGAGUCUAUUUUCAAUAGAAACAAAUGGAAACAUCAUCCAAAUUUUGUACUAAGAGAUGAUUAAUUUUUAUCAAAGAAGGGACGAAGCUGUCAGACAACAGAAUAGGGAUAAGUUUGAAGAUUUUAGUGUACUUAUUGGCUGAACCAAAAAUUUUGAAAAUUUUAUGGUAGUCUAGUUUCAAAGGCAUAAUUCGGAAUUCUGUAGCUCAAGAUAUAAAUAAUUUAGUAACAGUGACUCAAGUAGACAACUUUGAAGGAACAUAUAAGUAAAUAGUGAAAACAUAUAUGAACAAUUAACUAGCGCGAGUUACAUUAAAAAUGGAUCACGUGGCCAAUGCCAAUUUGGGACGAGUGGGCCACAUGGACGUGUGAGCCUAUUUUUCUGAGAAGUUCUGUGAGGUUGCACGGGUCGCCCAAGUGACUGUAGACCUACUGUAGGGUCGGUAAGCUUUACUUAGACCCUUAUAUGUGUGAUUUGUCUGUCUGAUUUCUAUACCAAGCAUGACUUAUGAUAUCUGAAUGUAUGUACUAUUAAUUGCAUAAUGGCAUGACAUAUUUUGUAUGUUGCAUUGCAUCAGGGUUGGUUGAUGAUAUUUAGAGGAAGUGUGUGAAAGGCUAUUAAGCUUGUUAUCUGGCAGCUUAGCUGCAUCCUUCUAAUUAUGUGCCGCAUUUUGGUACAGCAUGGUGUGUAGGGAUGGGUGGGUUGAUUUAAUCCCCACAUGGUGUGUAGGGUUGGACAGAGAUGGUGUGUAGAGGCUGGUGGGUAGGAUUUUGAUUUACUAUAUCUGCAUUAUGUAUCUGAUAUGGACCAAGGCCCUAAUGUAUUUCUGAGACUGUAUCUGAAUGGGCUAAGGCCCAAACUGAUUCUGUGAUGGGCACUGUAUCUAACUGAAUUCUGUUGAUUAUCUGUAUGCAUGUUUUCUGUGGGGAUUACACACUAGUUUGCGAAAACUCACCCUUUCUCUGUUUAAUAUGUACAAGUAAUCCCCAGACUUGACGGGUCGGUGCAGCGGAGGACUCAACGGUGGCCACACGUAAAUUUUAGAUUGUUUUCCGUUAAUGCCUAGAAUUUAUUACUUAUUUGAGGUUUUUGAUGUAUCUUCUAGACUAUAGACUGGUUGGCUUUAAAUUUGGGACUUUAUACUGUUUUUUAUGGAUUUUUUUAAAAAACUACAACUCCACAAAACACGUUUUUCUUUCUAAAAACUAAGGUUUUUCGUAAAUAGAAACGAUUUUCUCUAAAUUAAUUGGUUACAAAAGCUUUCGCUAAGAGACAAGUUUUAAACCAAAUCAACUAGUUUUUUUUUCAAAUUAAAUAAAAGCUAACUUACUGUAACGGUUUUUAAACUCGAUAAUCUUGUCUUCAAAUCCCUUUCCAUGUGACAUUGCCAGAUUCGGCCAUAACAUCUAGGUCGGGUUUGGGGUGUUACAUGAGUUGAAGUGUUAUUGGCAUGUAUGUCAGCAUCCUAAUUUGAGAGAAAUAUCAACAUUUUUUGAACUUUGUAGAAGUUUAGUUGAGAAUGGAAAGUCAGUCAUGUACCCACUCAUUGAUAGAUUGAUUCGUCUUAUACUGACUCUUCGUGUUUCAAUUGCAUCCACAAAAUGUGUUUUUUUUUGCUAUAAAGAUUGUGAAGACUCGACUUCGUAGUAAGAUGGAAGAUGAUUUUUUGAGUUUGAGAAGUUGUUUAGUUGAUUGAGAAAGAAAUUGCAAAACAAAUUUAAUGUAAACGAAAUAAUUGAUAAUUUUAGUAAGAUCAAGAAUCGAAGAGUGCAAUUCAAAUAAAUUUUAAAAUUUCUUUCUAGCUUAUUUUUAUUUAUUAAUUUAUUUCUCUUUAAUUAAUUUUUAUUUUUAAAAAUAUUAUUAUUGUUUAUUAUAUCGGCCCUUCUUGAAAUUUUCUAACUUCACCCGUGUUAUAAAGUUUAUAAAUAUUAAUAUAAAAAUAAUUUUAAUAUUUUAUGGUUUUGUUUAUAAUAUAUCUAAUUUAUCCACUUACCUAGGCAAUUAUUCAUAUUUUAGACUUGCUAAAUUAUGCAUUAAAAAGGGGUUUUACUAUAAAAAUUUACUAAAUUUAACAAUUAUUUAAAAAUAAGAUGAAUUUUAGAUUAUUUUAAAAAGUAGGUCGUUAGGUUAGUUAACAAUUUUAUUGUGCAUGUAAUGCAUGUCACAGUUGGUUUUUUCAAAAAAAAAAGAAAAAGAAAAAAGAUUAGUUUACCACAUAUAAACUUCAUAUAAAUCUGUCACUUGAUAUAACUAUUCAUAAGAAGUUGACACAUGACAAUUCAAUUCCUAUUAAGAAAAAUAGUGACACAUGUCACAUAUAUUGUACUAAAAAAUACAUUUUUUUAUUAAACUCAUACACCCCUAUAAGCUCGUUCUACUAAUAGAUCUGCCAAACUAUUGACAUCAAGUGCACACUACAACGAAUUCAAAUAACCUACUAAAAGAUACUCGAAAAUGAGUUUGAACUAAUCAAUUAUAAAUAAAUAACACAAAAUAGAAAUUAAACAUAAAUAAAAAAUCAUAUAAUCUACUAAAAACAAAUUAAAAUCCUAAUAAAAUAAAAGUCAAAUAUCUUUGAAGCUAUUAGAAUCAUCACUUGUUACUAAUUCCACUCAAAUAGACAACAGUUUUAGAGAUGUUGAGAUUGAUCUGGUGAUUACAAUUCUUAAACCUCGGAGAUUGUACUGCUCUAUAUAGAUCUCUUCCUUUUGAUGCUUUUUAUGCCUUUUAUUCUGGAGUAUAUCUCAUGAAUGUGCUUCCUUCAAAGACGUUGAGUAAAGUAUCUCCAAGUGAAAGACUGGUCAAAAACCUAAAUAUCAACUACUUCGAGUUUUUGGGUGUCUCUACUAUCCUUUGCUGAGACCAUACAAUCGACACAAACUUCAAUACAGAUCCACACCUUGUACAUUUUUGGGGUAUGCACCUAAUCACAAAGGCUAUAAAUGCUUGGAUCAAACUAGUCGUGUGUACAUCUCUCAGCAUGUGGUCCAGCUCAAAGUAACAGUCAUCCUAUGAUAACUCGAAGCAAAGUUGGCACUUACAAGCCAAAAGCUUAAACUGCCACAGUUAACUCUAUUGAACCAGUUGACAUCCAUGAGGCCAUGGUUAUUCCCUCAUGGAGGAAUGCUAUCCAUGAUGAGCUACAGGCACUAGUCAAGAACGAUACUUGGGAUUUAGUGUCUCCACCAGUUGAUAGGUCACUCGUUGGUUGCAAGUGGUUAUUCAAUAUCAAGAAGAAUCCAAAUGGCAGUGUUGCUCAUAACAAAGUUCACCUUAUUGCUCAAGGUUUUUCCCAAGCUCCUAGAUUGGAUUAUCAUGAGAUGUUCAGUCCAGAUGUCAAAACUAACACAAUUCGAACAAUUCUUUCUUUGGUCAUGUCGAGGAAAUGGAAAUUGCGUCAGGUUGGUGUAACAAUGCAUUCUUAAAUGGUGGUUUGGUUGAAGACAUAUACAUGAAACAACCACCUGGGUUUAAGGUUUUUGAUGCUAAUGGGAAUCCUCUAGCUUGUAGAUUGAACAAAGCUCUAUAUGGUCUCAAGCAAGCGCCGAGAGCAUGGUUUUAGAAAUUAACGGGCUUUAUCUGGUUGUCUCUUUCUUCCUGUGUAUGUAGAUGAUAUAAUUAUGACUGGUGAUAUUUGUUCUUAUCUAGAUGAAGUGAUUUAUUGUCUUGAUCAGAAAUUCUCUUUAAAAGACUUAGGAGAGAUGAGUUAUUUUCUUGGUCUUGAAGUCACUUAAAAUGGGGAUUGUGUGCAUGUAUCCCAACAAAAGUAUGCUCGAAAACACUCAUACGGUAAGUUCUCCUACUCUGACUUCUUUGGUUGGUUCACCUCUUGUGGAUGGUACCAAGUAUAAGCAAAUAUUUGGUAGUUUGCAAUAUUUGUGCUUGACCAAACCCAACAUAGCAUUUGUUGUUGACAACGCCAGUACAUGCAUCUUCUUCAUGAUGUUCAUCGGAUGGCUGUCAAACGAAUCCUACGAUAUAUUCGAGGUACAGUUAUGGUCUAGUGUUUCAACCUUCAAAUGUGUUCUUAAUAGGUUUUUUUAAUGUCGAUUGGGCUAGCUCUCUUGAGGACCGUAAGUUAACCUCAGGAUUUUGUCUGCAUCUUGGCAACAAUCUCAUUGGUUAGACCUCCAGGAAGCAGAGUGGCGUGUCUCGAUCCACCUUAGAAGCCGAGUAUAGAAGUCUAGCAAAUGCAACAUCCAAAUUAACAUGGUUUCGCUCUCUACUUGAUGAAAUAGGAGCAAAGCUUAAAGGCACUCUAGUGAUUUGGUGCGAUAAUUCCAUCACGGUGUCCUUGGCAGCCAACCCUGUGCUACAUGCUCAUGUCAAGCAUGUUGAACAAUUGACUUACAUUUUGUUCAAGACAAGGUUCUUAGUGGACAGCUUCAGCUCAAUAAUAUGCCUAGGAAUGAUCAGAUAGCUAAUGUGCUUAUCAAGCCAUUAACCAUGGAAGCAUUUUCUCAUUGUCGCAACAAGAUGAAUGUGGUUGCUCUUGAUGUUUUUCAUCGAGAAUCUAGAAGGGGAAUAUUAGAGAAAGUAGCUAAUUAAAUAACUAGAUUUAGUUGAAAGCAGUUACCUAUUUUGUUAUUCAUUCAUUUAUGUUAUUAUUAGUGUAUAAGUAUACAUAUUUCAAUAUGAGUGAAUUACUUUCCCUUUCACAUUUCUAAUAGUCCAUUUGUAAAAUAUAGAAAAUAAAAUUUAUUUUCCUAAACUAAAAAAUAAAAUAUUUUAGAAACCAAAGAAAAGUUUGACUAGCUUCGUGGUAAGAUUUACUACAUACCAGCAGACCUAUAUAAGUUUGAGGUUCCACCGACAAGAAUCACUUCCAUUUUGCUAGGACACUCUUAAGGAGUGAGUUAUGUUAGAUGAACAAUGCAAUAAUCUUGAUCGAAUGGUAUGGAUUCCUUUUUCAACAAUAAAAGAAAAGCAGGGAUAAUGUGUAAAUUUGUCAUUAUAGUCAUAUUAUAUUUUAUUUUGAUUGAUUUUCAUCAUUGUACCUUGAAUUAAAGGUAGAUGUUUUUUUAAUAGAAAUACUGAUUAAAACGUUAAAUUUUUAAUUACGGGAGCUCAGUAUUUCACUUGUACUUCACGCAAUUUUUUGAAUUUUUAUGAAUUUUCUUAUAUUUUUAUAAUUUUUAAAUUAUUUGUUGACGUGACAUAUAAGACAAAUAGUAUAAUGUCAACAUGAAGUGCACGAGGCUACUAUGCAAGUUGCUAUGCCAAUAUCGCCAAAAAAAUUAAUGUUUUAUUCAAGAUUUUUGUUAAAGAAAAACAAUUUAACUCUUUUUAAAAGGUUAAUGUAACAACUUGUUUUUCAAAGGUGUCGGAAACAGUGGUUUCGGGACACAAUUUCAAUGAGUGAGUUAAUAAUAUUUACGAGUUAAAUAUGGUCUUAUUGUGAAUUUUUAUUUUAUAGAUUUCAUUAAUUGAUCAAUUAGUCAAGGUACAAGUGGUUCAUACCGAAAGCUAGUGGUUUUGGAAAAGGAGGUACCGAGAUUUAAUUUCCAUAAAACGAGCCCGUAAAUUAUAUUUUUUAUUUCUUAAGGUAUCUACUCGAGCAAGCCCAGUAACUAAUCAUCUGCAUUCUGUAGGCCCAUUAAGGGGGUAGAUGCUGGCCACGAGUUUUAAAGCUGCUCCAUACCCAGGGCAAGGAUCAAACCCUCGACCACUGGUUAAGGUAAAGACCCUUGCCAUCUCACCUAACUCUCGUGGUUAGCCCGUAAAUUAUAUUAUUAAAUAUUUACGGAGUUAUUAUAUUGGUGAAUUGAAGUUUGGUCCGAAACUUUUGGAGUUUGAAUGGUUAAUUAAGGUACAAUGACUAAAUCGUAAAAACUAUAAAAGUUAAAUUUCAUAGAUUUUAUUAGUAAUUGGGUUAAUUAUGAAAUGUUUGAGGUUUGAAAUGGAAAUUUGGCCAUUGUAAGAUAUGUUGGACCGUUGGCACUUAUCUUUUUAGUGAAAUGAGAGUUAAAAAUUAUAUUUUAAUUAGAAGUUUAAGAUAUUUACAAUUUUUCCAAAGUAUAUAAGUAAUUUUAAUGGAUAAACAAAUCAUUUUCCUAUUCACUUUCUUCUCCAUGCCAUCCAACCUAAUAAAAACAUAAGAAACCCCAUUGUUGAAUGCUCCAAACGGUCAUCUUUUGUAUGGUAAGGUAAUUUUAGCUCAUUCUUCAUAAAUUUUAUAUUUUUGUAAUUGUUGUAACUCUAUUUAGUUAACUCGAACCUCCGUUUUCAAAAUUGCUAAAGUUUAGAAAAGUUUCCAUUGAUGUUAAUUGAAGUUUUUGAAUGUUAAUGGUACAUUUAAAGCUUAUAAAUGAAAUGGGGCUAGUUUGUAAAAGUAAUUUUGCUAGUUUUAAAUUUAAGGACUAAAAUAAAAAUAUUUUGAAUUUGGCAUGAGAUUUCUAUAAAUAUUGAUUGUAGAGGGGCUAUAUAAGGAUAGAAUUGAAAUCAGAUUGAAAAUCGAAGCUUAUGAUAGUUUUGAUUUUAAGGACUAAAUUAAAUAAAAUGAAAAAGUCUAGAGACAUUUGAAUAAUAAAAUUAAGCUGAUAUAUGUUGAUAAUGGAUGAAAUAAGAGGGUUGAAAUUGAUAAAUUGAGUUGAAAAAUUGUAUAGGUCGAAAAGUGGACCAAAUCGAAAUUAAUUGGGAAAAAAGGAAAAUUUAUUGAUUAGUCCUUAAAGAAUUAAUCGUUUGUUAUUUUGACCAGGUGAGUUCAUACAAUAUGUUUGUGUUAAAUUUUUAUAUUUUUAAAAUUAUAAUUGUUAAUAUGCCUAAUUGAAAUUUUGAUUGUUUACAAUUUGGUACAAAAAGGUGAGGUAUAGAUUAAAUCAUAAAGAAAUGAUAAAUUGAAUAUAAUGAAUUGCAAUAUGAGAUUGAUUAGUUGAAUUGAAUUAAAUUGAUAUAUUUAUGCUUGAUCUUCGAAAUAGAGAACUAAAUUGAAUAGAUUUGGAAAUAUUGUAUAUUGUAGUAAUUGCAAAAUUGGCUUUAUGAUAAGUUGAAUUAUAAUUUAUGCAUACAAAUUUAUAAUUGGUUGAUAAAAUGAUAGCAUUAAAUUGAGAAAUUAGCUUAUAAACGAAAUUGAGAAACUGUUACCCUAUUAACUGUUCGGGCAGAGUUGGAUAUAGUUAACAUGCCAUAGGAUAGGAAGAGUUCAGGGUUAUUACAACUACGUGUCGAUGAGUGCUAGGCACACCUAUUUGUCAGUUUUACCAACCAGUGCUAGGCGCAACUUGCGAUUUCGGAUUUAUCCGAUAGGUAUUGGGUGCUAAAUUGGUGUGAUUGGUUUGAUCCGUGUAUCCAUCCUAGUCCGAGUCAGGUUAAUAAGGACAUGUAUAAUGUAAAUGGAAUAAUUAUUUCAGAUUGAGUUGAUAUGAUCAUCGAAUGAUACAUAUACAUAUUGUGAAUUGGUUAUACAAGCGCAGAAAGCCAAUAUGGAAACAUGACAAAUCGAUGAAUGUGAUUCAUAAUACGUAUUAUGAAACGAAGUAGUGAUUGACAUUAAGUUGACAUUUGAUGUAUAUUUAGUAUAAAGAUGAAUUGAUAUGAUAUGAGAAUGAAGUUCAUAUGAUUCAAUAUGAAUUAGAUUGAGAAUUCAAAUUUUGAAAUGAAAAUAAUGUUUGCCGUUAAUUUGAAAUAGGAUGUAUGGCAAAUAAAUAAAUUGUAUGAUAUGUUUAAGAUAGUGAAUAGGUUAAAUGAUUAUUUGUUUGUGAAUGGUAAUGAAAUAUUGAAUAAGUGACUUGAAAUGUUAUAUGGUUGAGUUACUAUAUGGUAUGAUAAAUGUUGAACUCACCUUUUUUAAUUUAUAUUUGAUUUGUCAUGUUAGGCAAACUUUACCAAGCUAAAUAGCAUGUAGUGUAUAAUUAUAACCUGAGGUAAGUUACUUGGUUUAAUACCUGUGAACUUACUAAGCAUUGUAUAUGCUUACCUUGUUUGUUUUCCCUUUCCCUGUAGAUUUCCAACUUGCGAAACAUGUUUGGCAGAUCGUCCAGAAGCUCACAAUAUCAUGCUGUUGAUUCAGUAAUUUGUUAAUAAUUUGAAGUUUGGUUCUGUGGCAUGUAUAUAGGUCAUUUGUUUUGGUCAAUCUUGAAUGUUGGUACUUGGUUCUUGAAUGUGAUUGGUAUUUUGUAUGGUUAUAUGGCAUGUACAUAAGUGUAAAGGUUGGCAACUUGAUGCUUGAGUAUGGGCAUAAACUGUAUAGAUGUUAUCUUGAGUGAUAGUGUUUUUGGAACCUUAAAUGAUAUUAAACUUGAUUAGUAAAUGAGUUGUGUACUAAAAUGUGCACUUUGGCAUUUUUGUCAAGUUAUGGUAGAAGCUUAAAUGGCAUAUGUUGCUUGUGUUUAGAUUGAGUUUGAAAUGUUAAGAUGUUUGGUAUGCCUUGUUUGAGUGGUUGAUGAAUAUAUAGGCUAUUAAGCAUUCCAAAGUGUUCAUUACAUGUGGGAUAGCUUGUAUGGUUUUGUGGUUAGAAAAAUGGAUGAAUUAGCAUGUAUUUAGAAUGGUUUUAUGCAUGUUUGAAUGGCCAAAUGUACACCAUUUGAGCCAUUAGUUUGUUUUGGCAUGAAUCGGAUAUUUAAUGGCACAUUUAUGCACCACACGGGCUGGCACACGGGCUUGUGUCAUACACGGGCUAGCCACACACCCAUGUGAGUACAAUAGAUUUGGUAACUUUUAAUCCACACGGCCUCAGCUAGUUACACGGCCCAACUGCACAACCGUGUGACUUUUAGUAAAUUUGGUGUUUUGCCCACACAAUCACAAUAAGUUACACGGCCUGAGCACAUGGUCAUGUGACCCCUGUUUUUCACAUUUACCUUUAACUUUAGAAAAUGUUCCAAUUUGAUCCUUAUUUGUGCUCGGGUCAACUUAUGAGCUUUCGUAAACUCGAUUAAGACUCGAAUAUAAUUAUAUACUAUAAUACCUGAGUGUUCAUGACAUGAAUGAUGUAUUUGAUGAUUAUAAAUUGAAUUGGCUAUGAUUGAAUUAUUUUUGUUUAAUCUAAGUAAUAAUUGUGUAUUUAUGAAGUAUUCUAUGUUUAUUUGAAAUAAUCAAUGUAAUUGAAUGCGUUCUGUUCCGGUUAUGACUAUAGCAUUCUGUAACUUGAGUCUGAUGGUCGGAUCAGAUUAUGGGUGUUACAGUUAAUAACCAAAUUUAACUUAAAAAAUGACCUAAUUAACAAAAAAAAUAUAAACGUUAAAGAGUUAAAUUUAUCAUUAUACCAAUCAUAAAAUACAAAAACUAGAUAUCCCAAAAUAAAUUUAAAAAAUAUAAUAUCCACCAUAAUAAAAUUUAAAUAUGUUUUUAAAAUUUGGUAGGAUUAAAUUAAUUUAGAUUUAGCUAAAAAUUUGUAAAAUAAAGUUACGAACUGAUUAAAAUUUGCAUUAAAAUACAUAAUUUCUUUUAUAAAGAAAUAAUCAACAAUAUGUACCAAAAUAAUUAACUUCUUGUGGAGAAAAUAAAAAUAAUUAACAUUAGGUUGGAGUGGUGAGUCCAAUUACAAACAUUAAGUUGGGGCGAAAUUGAAUAACAAAAUAAGUGUUUGCUCCGUCCUGAUUCUAGUUUAGCGUUGUGCUUAACUCUAUCCAAAUCCGUAAAAUCUUACUCUAAACUCAAUUUGGGUCGCACUUAUUAAACUAGACCGAUAACUUACUUAAUUAAUCGCACUUAAAAUCGUAACGAAAUACACCAUUGUUAAACCUAAAUUCUUGGUCUACUUGAGCGGGUUAAUAUGUAGUUGUCUUUAAAUUUUAUAUAAAAUUACUUAAUUGAAAUUUAAUUUUUUUUUAUUUAGUUACUACCUAAAUUUGUAUUUUGUCAUCUAUGUUAGUACCACAGUAUUACUAACAUUGUUAGUUUAUGCUAACGUGGCUCCGAUAACCAAUUCAAUUGUGACACGUGACAAACAUAAAUUAAAAUUUUCAAAAUAUUUAAAAAAGUGUAAAUUUGUUCACAUCAAAGAUGAAUUUGGAGAAGCAAGUGUCUAAAUUGUCCAAAUGCAUUUGAAUUUGGACACCUAUGUGUCCAUAUUCGUUAUAGACAUAUUAUUUAAUAAGCUCAAAUAAUAUCUCAUCCACGUAAUAGCCUAGAUGUCGUUAAUGGUUGGGUUGAGGGUCAUUUAAGAUUUAAAUAAUUAGCAAAGAAAGAAAGAAUUUUAGGUGAAUGAAGAACAUUAGCCGGCCCCAAAACUAAAACGAAAUUUUAGUCAAUAUGAUUUUUAUGGCUGGGAGUGUUGGGUUUUUAGAGAGGGAGAAGAGGAAGAAGAAAGGGAAAAAAAAUAAAUGUAUAAAAAUAAAAAAUAUUUAUUUAUUUUAUUUUGUGUCACCUGUUAAUAUAUCAUUGAACUUUAAAUUUAAAUGUAAAACAGAAUAAAAUUUUAAGUAUCUACUUUAAUAAAAUAAAAUAGAAAAAAAUGGAAAAAUAACAUAAUUUGAAUACCUAUCUUUAAGCCCUAAUUCGAAGACUUUUUCUUGUAAAAAGGAAGGAAAUGAUAACUUGACAUAAAAAUCAAAAUAAUUUUCCGCCAAUUGAAUUAAUGGAUAAUUUAUCCCUAAAAUAAUUAAAAAUCGAACUUAAACCAUUAAAAUCGUCUUUUAACUCUUCAGAUAAGCAAGAUCAUACAUAUUUAUGAUCUCUAAGAGGGUUUUGAGAGGUUGGCUUGUUUUGAGUGAACCUCUUCUUACAGUAUAGAUAAAGACAAAAAUUUAUUCUCAUAUCAUAGUACAUUCAUAGCUUGUCAAAUACAUCACACGCUAUUAAUACCAUACACCACAGACAACCCCUUUUUUUACUUUUUUUUUUCUUUUCAUUUUCUCCGCAUAUAAAAAUAAAGAUGAUACAAAUAUUUUGACAAGCCUUCACAUUCAUUCCAUGCACCUGCAAUAAAAAAUAUAUUCAUUUAUUUUAAAAAAUGAGAUCAAAACCUUUAUAUCUAUUUAACCUGCUACUAACUAAAAUAUUUUUUAUUAUAAUUAAAACGUAUUAAAAUAAAAGAAAUUAAAAUUUUCGUAAUAACUUCACAUUAAAAAUACUAUUAAUUCAUAAUUCCCCUUUGUUACUAGAUUUGCUAGGAUCUAGAAAAUGUUGCUGUUUUAACCAUUUUCUUGGUAGAAAAUUCCAUGCUUAAUCAACAAUAUAAGGUUAAAUUUAUUUCAAUUAUUAAAACGCCAUCAAGAUUUCUGCAUAUAAAAUAGCAAAAAAAUCCAAAAAAAUUUACCCGAUACCAUAAGGGAGAGGAAUACUAAGACGAUGAUGGAAGAUCUAAUCACUGUCGCUGCUGCUGCUGCUUUCAUGGCCAUCUUCAUGCUUCUUCUUCUCCUUCUUCUUUUUCUUUUCGCCCUCAUGACCAGGUUCAUGACCUCCCUCGCCGUGGAUCUUGUCCUUGAUCUUAUCCAUAAACCCUUCCUUGUGCUGCUCGCCGUGACCGUGACCGGCGGCCGCAGCGGCCCCAUAGCCAUGGCCGCCUUCGUGAUGAACUUCUCCCUUGUGCUCAGCGGCGCCAUAACCAUAGCCAUGGCCGCCUUCGUGAUGAACUUCUCCCUUGUGCUCAGCGGCGCCAUAACCAUGGCCAUGGCCGCCUUCGUGAUGAGCUUCUCCCUUGUGUUUCUCUUCUUCCUUCUUGUGCCCUCCCAUGUGAAGGGUUUCUUCGAUCUUGUGCAUGAUUCCCGACAUUUUUCUAUCUGGUUUUCUUCUUCUUGCUUUGUUUCUUUGAUAUUGCUUUGAAUAUGAGUGUGAAAAUACUUGAAGAUCUUGAUAGCUAUUUAUAGGCAACUUAAGGAAGGGGGAGUUUGUCACUUCCAGUGGAGCUAAAAAUAUGAUCUCAGAUUGAUCCGGUAUCCACGUAUAUAAUUGCAAUUACUUUAAUACCCUUUUCGUGUCCUGGACGCGUUGUGGAUUCGCCUUUUGCCACCUGCCAUCAGUAAGGUUUUAGCUUGAAAAUUAAGAUAGCAUAUUACUUUUAGAAAAAUAAAAAUAUAUCAUUCAUAUAAGUUUUUGAUAUAUUUAUCAUAUAUUCUAAGUUAUUGUAUAGAUUAAUAAUUAUUAAAUGAUUAAAUUUUUUUACCUUAAAUAAAUUAUUAAAAAUUUUAUAUUUACAUUAAAUUUAUCAUGCAUAAUUUAUAUGAAUAAAAUAUGAAUUAUAUUAAUUGAAUUAUUAAAAUAUUAAUCGUACGAAAAUAUACGUAAGAAAACUACUUUAAUUUGACACUAGUACAAGAGUGUAAUUAAGGGGAGCUGUGCCCUUGGCAACCCUCAUAAAAUGAAAAAAAAUUUAUUUAGACAUUUUAAAUUUAUAAAGAUAAAAUUACACUUUAAUUUCAUUAAAAUGAUAAAAAUAAUAAUUUUGAUCCUUCUAAAAGAAUUUUUUAAUUUUAUCUCUACACCAGUAUAAAUGGAUCUACUCCAUAAAUAUAUAUUAUGUUAAUACUUAUUUAGAAUAAUUAUUAAGAGUUUUCAUUUUCCUUUCGCUAUAAACGUAAACAGUAAACAUUAAAAUUAAAAUUUUAAAUUUUAAAUCCAUGCCAAUAAUCCAUAGAUCUAGACAUUGUUUAUUAGACUUAAUACACCUAUAAUUUUUUACAGUAUAUAAUCUAUAAUUUUUAGACUUUAGAACAAUUUUAUAUAUUUAUAAAAUUAAUAUGGUGUUUUUAAAUGAUUUGGUAUAAUCAUGAUGUUGAAGUAUUUUAGUAUUGCUAGACCCUGCCAUUUGGGAAUAAGUGAAUAGAAGAUGACCGACCAUUCAUUACGGGACAAUCCAUUACGCGGCUUUCCAUGCUACGGAUUUUGACAGCACUUCACGUUCCCUGACACGUGUCACCGUGUUAUCAUCCGAAUUAUAUAUCUUGAUAUUUGUGGUCCCCACUGAAACAAAAUAAACCUACCCUUGCUGAUGGGCCCUCGUCUCCUUCCAAUUUAACUUCUUGACUUAUCUCCAAUUGAAAAAGAUUGAGAGUGUUAAUCCCUUGUUGGUACGACACGUGGACAGAAACAGUUGUUUGCCGACAGAUAUUUGAGGUAUUUUAAUGUGUUCAAAUAUAUGCUCUUUUACGGUUUUAUUAUAAAAAUAAUAUUAGAAAACUAAUUAAUUAUAAAAAUAAGGUGAGAAACAAAUUAAUUAUAAAAUUAGAGUGUUUACUAUAAUAACUUUGAGUAACACUUGAUACAUUGACAAUACCAAUGAAUUUUAAAAAAAUUUUAACAAAUCAUUUUAAAAAAAAAUUUAUGGUGUCAUUGAGAUAUUAGCUGCACUAGUAAAUUUUUUUUAAAAAAAUUGAUAGCAAAAAAAAAAAAAGCUAAAAAGUUGAAAAAUAAUAAGAAAAGUUGAUUUGUGGUUCAAACACUAGCUUUUUCCUUACAUUUAGGGCAUUAAUGUUUUUUUUAUGUAUUUAAUGUCUUAAUAUCUUUUCUCUACAUUUAAUGUCACUCGCUAUAUUUAAUUCCUAAAACAACAAUUUUUUUAUUUAAUCAAGCACCAUGCUUGACACAUUGGUGGCAUCAAUUAAAAAAGUUUGUCAAAUUUUUUAAAAGUUCAUUAGUGCCACCAAUGUGUCAGGCGACACCUUACUGUAACAAACAUUUUAUUUUUGUAAUUAAUUUAUUCUCCAUUCUAUUUUUGUAAUUAAUUAUUUUUUUAAUAUUAUUUAUAUAAAAAAAAGUCAUUCUCUUACAUUGACAAUAAUGUCCAUGACAAUUGAGUUAAUGUUUAGUCAACGCCUCAGCGCAAUUUAUAAAAAUAUCAGGCUAUAUUUUGUUAAUCAUGAAUUUAAAAAAAUUUAAGAUGAAGUAAAAUUUUAAUACAUUAUUUAAAAAAAUUUAUAUAAUGCUUAAAAUUAUCUAUAAUUCCUUCUCAACUCCUAAAUAGAAAGAUAAAUGUUUUUUAAUACGCUCGAACUCAUAUCCUUUUACAUUGAUAAUAAUAUUUAUACCAAUCAAAUUAAGAUUCAAUCGACAAAAUAAAAUCAGUGAGUAUUUAUACUAUUUCGUCCAACGAAGUAAGAAAUAAAGGUACUCUUAUAGUUCAUCAUUAAAAUAUAAGAAUGUAUUUAUACAUAAAAGAAAAUUGAUGUAACAACUAAAAUGGAACUUUAGUGGUUUUGAUAAGUUAUAGAUAUUAGAAAUUAAGUCCUAUUAAGUUUAAAUCUUAGAAGAAUAAUUAAUUUUUUAAAAUUUAUUGAGUUUAAAUUAUGAAAAAAAAUAAAAACAUUCGUAAUUAUAUUUAUUAUUUUAUAAAAAAUGAUUUAUAAAGCCACUUUCUAAGUUGAUAUUAAUGUGAUUAGUUAAGUUAAAAGCUUAACUAUAAUAAAAUUACAUUUUUUGUGCAAGUCUAAAUUUGAAUAAGUGAAUGUACGAAAUAAUCCGUUUAAUAUUUAAAUAAAUAAAUAAACUGUUUAAAUACUACAAUUAACCUUAAAAUGAAAGUAAUUAAUUAAAUAAAUAUUAUUUUACUAAUAGGAUAAAAUAUUAAAAUGGUAUCUAAUAUUCCAAUAAUUUUAAAUAAUUUAAUUAUGAUAUACUCAUAUUUUGGGUGAAAUUUUUUUACUUAUACCAUAUAUAUAAAAUGGCUUAUAUGUCCCAAAAAAAAGUCUUUUAAGAAAUGUAAAAGAAUCAAUUAAAAUUUUAUAUUAAAUUUACACCUAAUUAAGCCUCUGUUGUUAAUUAAAAUAAUAAAUUAAGUCUCUCCAUUAAUUAUUUCUGUCAUUGACCAUGUUAACCGUUAAAAUAAAUUGACGGACCAACCAGAUGGUAAUAAGUGGCUACUUCUGGUUUAUUCUAUUAUUUUUCUCAUAAAAAUGAAUAAAAUUUCAGAAAAAAAUAUAAAAAAGGAAAAAAAUUAUCAAAAAUGUAAAAAUUAUUAAAUAUUAAAAAAAUAUGACAAUUGAUAUAAACUUAAAAAUUAUAAAAAUUAUAAAAUUAAUUAAACAGAUUUAAAAUUUUAUAAACACAUAUUAAAAUUCUAUAAAAGUCAUAAAAAUUAUAAAUAUAUAUGAAUUAUUAAAAGUAAUAAAAUUGAUAUAAACUUUUAAAAAUUAUUAAAAAAUCAUUAAAACUUGAAUAGGAUAAGAUCAAUUAGAUCGAAAAUUGGCAAAAGUAUUGGUUCGGAGAAAGCCAUUAGACUGGUUGACAUGGGAGCUAGACAGUUGAACCGAUUUUUUUAAUAUUUUAUUUAAUUGAAUUGGACGGAUCAGUCAAAUUUCAAACUGGUGGCCUUAUUGGUUCAAUCGCUGAUCCGUUUUUGAAAAGCUUGGUUAGAAUAUUUCAUUUUGACAUACGCUAAUGGUUAGGUAAUAAAAUUUUGGUUUGAUAAAAAUAUUAAUAAAAUAAUAAAAUUUGGUUAGAAUAUACCAAAAAGAAACUUGUAUUUAUCGUUUUUGUAAACUUUACAAUUAAAUUAUAAAUCUCAUAUGUUCGUUUAUUUUAUUAAAAAAUCUGUCAAACAACAUAAAAUAUUUAGAUAAAUUAAUAUUUAUUAUUUUAUAAAUAUAAGCUUUUAGUUAUUUUUUAAGUGAAUUAAUGUCCGAUUAAUUCAUAGUAUCAAUUCAAUUGGUGAUUAAAUUAUAAUAUAGAUAACAUAAUUUUAUAAAGAAAAUGUGUUAAUAAUUUUAUAAUAUUUUUUUAAUAUAUACUCUCUCUGUUUUAGGUUGAUAUUUGCGGGUCAAAUUUUUAAAUUUUGACCUCAGCAAUUUUAAAUAAUUUAGUUAAUUAAAUUUUAAAAAAAUACUUUUAUAAAGAAAAAUUAUUAAAAAGAAACAAAAGCAACCUAUUUCUUUGCUUUUUCUGAUUCUAUUUCAUCUUUAAAGUAGAAAGGAAAGACGUGUCAUCUCUUGGACUACACACUUUCAUAAUAUCUACCUGAAAAUGAAAUGUACCAUGUUUUAUCUUUUAUUGGACUUCACAUAAUUAUAUUCUCUAAUCUAAUCUUUAGAAUAUAUUUUGAUAUUUUAUUAAUUAAUAUUUCUCUAAUGUUUUCUAGGCAUAAACACUAAAAAUGAAACCAAACGGUGCCAAUGCAAAUUGUAGAUAUUAAAAUUUAACUCAAUCCCUAGCAUAAUGAAUGUCAAAAUGAGUUAAUAAAAAUUGAAGAAAAAAACGGAUGAUUUUAAAUUAGACCAAUCAAUAUAUCUAAUUAAAAUACGUAAUUUAAUAUUCAUUUGCAUAAACCCUAAUAUCCUAAAUUCUAAAAUUCUUAUCUUAAACCCUAAUAUUCAUACAUACAAUCAUUUAGUUGAAGAUUACAACAAAAUAACAAAAAAGAAUAUUAUUCGUCUGGUUAAUGCAUCACAUCUUCAUUCAUGAUCUAGGAUUGAUCUCUAUAUAUGUAAAGUCGGGACAUUCAUCAAGUUCCAUGCGUACAAUAACUAGGGCAACUUCAAAAAGAAUGCCUCUGCCUAGACCUCAACCUUGACCUUUGUCUCAACGUCGGCUAUGUUGUCUAGCUUCAACAGUUUCACCAUCGACUCAGCUUUACAACAACACAAUAAUAGAUUAUUCCCACCUAUAGCUUGGCCUCUUACGACAUAUUAGGCUUGUACUUCCCCGUUCUGCCUUCAACAUUGUGAAAUUGGAUGUUAAAUUUCAUGUAUAGGAACCUAUCCCGAUCAAUACAUAUAUGAUUUAUCGUUAACCCUAAACAGUUUCCUGUAAAUCACAAAUAUUGCAAAAUUACCAUCCUCAAUUAAUGCAACCUGUGGCCUAUGUGAAAGAUAAUUAGCCCAAUAUGCGUUGUGCCCAGCGUAUCUAAUGGCCCAAUUAUGCUCUGAUUAGGACGCAAAUAUGUAGGAUGAUAAUCAUUCCUCUUCUCUAAAUUUGUUAGAAUUUAUUGUGCCAUCCCAAACUGUUGUAAAUCCCACUGAUGCAAAAAAAACAUAUAAGCAACAUGCACACGUUAAAAACAUGAUUAUGCACACAUGCCCCAAUGGUAUUAUGACUACAAUCUCUUCUACUUGAUACGACAUCUACACGAAUUGCAAAAAUAAUAAAAGUGUUGCAUUUAAAUUUCACUAUAAGAUGAUAUUAAUUAAAGUAAACUUAACAAUAUAAAACACAAAUUAUCAAAUCAUUUCAUUCAACAUAAAUAUUUGCUCGUAUCACUAAGAUAUCUUCUUUUCAGUAAGUUGUAUGGUCAUGAUGCUCGAACCACUUAUUAAAAUAUACAAUGUCAGUACAUAUAUAAAGCAUUUAAAACAUAUUAGAUUUUAUAAUGUAUUCUUUUAAUUUUACCUUUUAACAAGAGGAAACUUUGAUUCUCAAAAGGGAUAGGUGCAAUCUAAAAAAGCUGAUACCUCCCUCACGAUUGUAAAAUCACAAGAUAGGCAUUUACUUCCUCAUCCCCACUUUACACACCUUAUAUAGAAAGGCCGAAAGGAUAGAAAACCUAACUAUAUUUUCCAUUUGUUUUGAAAUUAAAUAACUAUGGGAUAUACAUAAUAUGAACUUAAUUUGAAUCCCUUGGAAAUCGAAUUUAAGGUUGAUACUUAUUUCAGACGCUCGAUAAAGGAACCUCUAGGUUGUGCUUAAAACAUUUCGUUACUGGAAGAUUUUCCAUUAAAAUCCCCGUCAGCAACUCUACAUCUUCCAACAUUAUUAUUGCUUCACGAAUGAGAGAUGAAAAGAAGCAACUCAAUUUCUAGUGGUGUCAGAAAAUGUGAUUUCAAAACCCCAUUUCUGUAAACCGAGUUCGUAAAUAUUAAAUAUGAAUAUUUAAUAAGUUAAUAUUAAAAUAUAUUGAAAUUUGGUUAAGUAAUUUAGCCGAAAAAUGGUUAAUUAAAUCCCAAGGACUAAAUUAUAAAAUUCCAAUCGCUAAUUAGGAAAAGACUUAGGGACUUAGAUAGCAAUUAUCUAUAGGACCAAAAUGGUUAAUAGGUAAAUUUUAAAUAGUUGUUGGUGGAUGGUAAUGAUGGAUGUUAUUAAGCUUAAGUAAUUAGUGAAUUAAAUAAAACAUAAUUAAGUUUGUUAAUUAAGAUUAAUUAAAAUUUAAAUAUAGUAUAAAUAACAACUAACGUGGGAAGAAAGAUGAAAUAUCAUCAUCUUCUUCCCCAAAACCAUUGAAGCAAAGGAAAAAUUAAAGGAGAAAGCUUUAGGUAUUUAAACAUUCGACCAUUUAUUUCCAAGUAAGUCACUAUCCAUUUUUCUUUGAUUUUAUAGAUUUAUGGUCAUGGGAGCUUGAUUUAGCUAGCUCGUGUAUCAAUUUGUUCAAUUGUUGAAAUUUUGAUAAGUUUCCAUUGUUGAUAAUUUGAGGAACUAGGGCUUGAAAUUGAUAAAAAUUUAGCUUAAACUAUGAAAAGGACUAAAAUGUAAAGCUUAAUAAGCUUAGUUGUUAACUUUGUUACAUUAAAGACCAAAUUGAAUAAAAUGAAAACCUGCUAUGAAAUUAUGUUAGGAAUAAAAAGUAUAAAGUCCCUAGUGAGUAAAUGUAAAAUCAACUUUUAAUCUGAAGCUAUAUAAUGAAAGUUAUGCUUAUCCCGAGUUUAAGGACUAAUUGAAUAAAAUAUAAAAUAUGAUUGGCUUUAUAUUUGAAUGCGAAUAGGAUGAAAAUUGAUAUUGUGUAUUUUCUGAAUUAUUAUUCGUAGCUAAAUACGAUACUAGACCAUCAAGAGGGAAAUGAAAAGUGAUAGUCAACGAUAAGUGACGCAAGAUUUCAAUUUGUAUUUCUAUGAUUCGAGAUCAAAUUAAUUAUUGCAUAUUCAUAUUAAAUUGCAUGAUUUAGUAAUGAGGUGAGUACAUAAUGGUUGUUUGAAUAGAAUUACUAUGAUUGGAGUCGAAUACCGAAAUUGUGGACUAAAUUGAGUAGAAUAGAAAGUAGCAUGACAUGAUUGAUAUGUGAUAUAAAAUGGAAUUGAAAUAUGUUAUAUGUUAUGAUGAAUUGGUAAAAUGAUAUGAAAUUAGAAUGAUGAAAUGUGAAUUCAAUCAUAUAACGAAAUUGGAAAAUUGGUUACCCUAUUAGUUGUUCAGACUGGGUUGGAUAUAAUUGGCAUGCCAUAAGGACAAAUAUUGAUAGAAAAUAUCAUUUUCGGGCAUCUCAGGGUGAUAAUAUGUACAUAUUUCAAAGUCAUCAUUCCCGGGAAACCCGGGGUGACUAGUCUGUUUAUUCGUUCUAAGUCCGUGUCUAGUUAAUGGGUUUAUAAAAACAUGAAUAGACUAUAUGAUAUAUGAAAUGAAAUGUAGUUGAAUUGUGAUAUAUGAUAGCUUGUGAAAGAUCACGCAAAAUGAGUUGAAAACAAGCCCUAGGGGCCGAUUGAGUAUUAAUGAGCCAAUAGGCUAAAAAAUGAUUGAAAUGCAGAGAUGAAAUUGAGUAUAUGUGUAUAUAUGUUGAUGACGGUAAAUGAAUAAGUAUAUGUGCCUAUAGAUGACAAUAUGAAUUGAUUAACUUCACGUUUGGUUGAGGGGAAUGGAAUAGCUAUUCCCUCUUUAUUCUUGGAUGAAUAGUGGGGUUGUAGUUUGGUUUACUGUUCUCUUCAUUCAGCCGAAUUACUAGUCCUUUCCCAUUCUUCUGAUUUACCGAAUCAUCAUUCAGUGAAGGGGGCUAAAAAUAGCCCAUUCAACAACAUAUGUAAUAGCAAAAUUUUGUCCCAGGCAAUUUUACCCUGUAUAUGUUCACUCGUCGAUUCUGUCGUAACAGUGGUGUCUCCCCAGAUUUCGUGGUUGAGAAUCAUCGAUUUAUCUCCAACUCGUUCACCCAAUUCCCAUCUCUCUUCUGGUUGGACUUUUUGCUCUGUGCUAGAACGCUCCUUCCUGGUCUGCCUCAAAUCUACCACACCGCUAAGGUUUUUAGUUUGCCGUGAAAAUACAUCUUCAAUGUUCAAGAUCCAGGGACACACAUGGUACGUCUCCAUUUCCUUAGAUUCAAUUCAUUGAGAUUAGAUAUGGGUAACUAUCGGUUUCACAUUUUGGUUAAUGGGUUAGUAGCUUGAACCAAUUUUAGCGAUGGGGAUUUAGUAAAUCCUAAAAUUAUAGAAUAUUUUCUUUGGGUUAAUUUAGAAAAGCUUGAAAUUCAUUUCAUUCUGGCUGCUGGGGUUGUUAGUUUUAAAGGUCAUCUCUUUCACCUUUUUUCUUCUUCUUUGCUUCUCUAUUCUCUUUAUUUUUUAAAUUGUUCUGGCGAUGGUGUUGUCAGUUUGAUCAAUUUGGUAUUUGGGUUUGUUUUCAGGUAAUGGAGGCUUUUGAAUCGUUGGGUUAGUGUGGUGAGAAUGAUGAAGCGAAACAAAUGGUGGUGGUGAUUUUAGGGUAAUGAUCAAGUAAUAAUGGUGCGGUGAAGAUCAGAGGAAGUGGUAGAGCUUGGGAGCAGGCUAUGGUGCGGUGAAUGGAGUAAUAAUAUGUAUUUAUAUAAUAUUUUUAUCAAAACAUUUAUAUAAUUAAUAUUAAAAAUAAAAAAUUAUUAUAUAAAUUAUUAUUUAAUUAUAUUUUUUAUUAUUAGUAAUUAUUUAAUUUAAUGAAAAAUAUAAUUCAAUUUAAAUAUUUUUACAAUAUAGUAUAAUAUAUUUAAAAUAUUUUUUUAUUUCUAAAGGUAAAAUUAUCAUUUGUGAUUUAUUCCAUAUUUAUUCCUCUCAACCAAAUGCAUGAAUACUAUUAUAAUACUCAUUCCAUCCAUCCAACCAAAUCACUAUUAUGCCUAUUCAAUUCCAUUACAGCCCUAUUCCUUUUUCACAUAAUGGUUAUCCCAUUACACCCUUAUUCCAUUAAAUGAACCAAAUGUGUCAUAAGUAGACCUGUCCAUGGGUCGGGCGGCCCGGCCCGGCCCGAUGGCCCGCCCGGAAUAUGGGAGGGUUCGGGUAAAAAUAUAGGCCCGAAAUAUGGGCUUGGGCAAAAAAUGAGGCCCGUUUAGAAAACGGGCCGGGCCUCGGGUAAAAAAAUUUUGGCCCGGGCCCGGCCCGGCCCGAAAUAUAUUAAAUAUAUUUUUUUUAUUUUUAAAAUAUAAUAGUUAAUUUUAGUUUUAACUUUAACUUUUUAGUUUUUAGUUUUAUUUUUCACUUUCCCACGUCGACCGUCUGUCUUCAAAAUUCCAAAAUCCCUAACCCUGUGCCUUCUAAAAUCCCUAACCCCAUCUGUCUGUCUCCACCGAUUCUAAAUCACCGAUCCACCUCCACCGUUAAGACCUCCACCGAUCCACCUUCGGUUCUCCAACAGAAUCGUAUUUAAGGUAAACCCUAAACCUUUCGACCUCCAUGGCUGUUCUACUUCUCAAAAUCCCCCUUUUGUGUGUGUGUGUUUAGAUCAGAUGAGUGAAUUUCCAGGAAAACCCCGAUUCAAGUUUCCUGGACAUAGAUUUAUGAACAAAGAAAAAGAAAAAAAUGGAACCAUUAGAGUAUGAAGGGGGAGAGUGAUGAAAGAGUGGGUUCUUUUUUGGUCAGCUUUAAAAUAGGGGAGAGUUAAAAUUAUAAGCAAAGGAAUAGGGUAUGGAUAUGGGGUUUGAUGAGCUGUGGGUUGCGUACCGAUGUGUGAUUGUCCUUUGGUCUUUUUGAUUCACCUUAAUUUUGUCUAAUUGUUUGAAGGUUGUUUUUUUUUUCCAUGCCAAGCCACUGUCUUCAAUGAAAGAAAUUUGUUUUGGUGUUUAGGAAUUUCGGCUAAAAACACCAAAAUUUAUAGAAACAACUUUCUUCCUUAAAAUAUGCUAUUAGUUCAUGUAAUUCUUAUAGUUUAAAAUUAAAAAUUUUAGUUUGAUUAUUAUUAUCAUUCAUAGUACUAGUUUCCUUUGAAAAUUUUCAAUUUAUUAUGUUUAAUUUCCAUUAAUCAUACACCACAUCAUUUGAUGGUAGCUUAAUCAAUGAUGUUUAAAAUUAUAUAUAAACAAUGAUUAAUUUUAGAUAUCAGCCUACUUAUUAAUACACGCACAACUGUUUAUAAUCAUAAUCUAUAAAACAUGAAAUUCAAUAUUUUAAUUUUAAUUUUAAUUUUAAUUAAAAACGGGCCGGGCCGGGCCGGGCUCGGGUUUCAUAUUUUUUCCCCGGGCCGGGCCUGGGCAAAAUCUCAGGCCUAUAUUUCGGGCCGGGCCGGGCCCGGGCUAGGACAUGGGCCGAAAAUUUUUUCUGGGCCCGGCCCGGCCCGGCCCAUGGAUACCUCUAGUCAUAAGCAGUUUGUGAAAUGAGUGAGAAAUGGUAAGUUUGGGUAAAUGCAUAGUGAAUCGAUGUGUAAAAAUGAUUAUAUGCAUGUUUAUAUGGUAAUAGAAGUUUUUGGCAUGAAAUUGCAUGAGAAUUGGCUAUGAAUUGAACUUGAAUUGAAUAUAUGCAAUUGAUUUAAGCUUGAUAAUGACUCGCAUCAUGGAAAUACCACUGAGCUUUAUUACUUAGCGUACGAUUUGUUUUCUCCAUGUGUAGGUAUAAGUAAAUCCUGAAGUUCCGAAGUGUGAUCCAGCAUCCAACCAGUGAUCCUCGACUCAACAAUGUUUGUAGUCUCAUUUUGUUAAAUAUAUGACAUGUACCUAAGUUGAAUCGGUUUUUACAUAAUGUGUGAUCAUGUUCGUUUUUAAUGUUAGAAAAUGGUAAUUGGAGAAUGGUCAAAUGGAUUGGUUUUUGUAUUAGAGUUUGGCACUUAGUUGGAUUGCUUAAAAUGUUGUCAUAUUUGUGAUCUAUAUAUGUAUGCGUAUGAUAAUUUAGUAGAAGUUUGGAAAUUUCCAUAACUGCAUAAAUUAAAAAAGUAUGUUUAUGUAUUUCAAUGCAUAUAUGGUAAGAUAUGUUAGAAAUGUAGAUUUGGGAAUGGUAUAUUUGGCUGAAAUAGGAAAUGAUUGAGAUGAAUCUGCUUUCUAGGUGAAGCUUGUUGGUACCAUUUUGGACCAUUUGCAAACACACAAUCAUAUCGCGCUGAGACCUAGUCAAUGAGUUGCGUCGCAACGAGAAACCCCUAAAAUCACGACGUUAACCUGAUAUUUUGCAAACUUUAUAAUUAGGUCCUAAUUCAACCUCGGGUUAGCAAAAGAGAUUUCGUAAGCCUAUGUAAGACUCGGAGAUGAUUGUAUAUUGUAUCAUAUGCAUGUUUUACCCUUAUUUAAAUGUUUAAUGGUAUAAUUUGAAUAUAAUUGAUCGCAAUUGCUUCGACAACGAAUGUGGCAUCCUGUAGCUCGGACCCAGCGAUUAGGUCGGGUAUUAGGUAUUGCAUGAAACAUAUGAAUCUCAAGUAUUCAUCAUUCAAUCAAAUCAUAUAUGAAUACCAACACGAAAAUAACUUUACUGACUUGGCUUGCAUGAUAGAAACUGGCUUGUGUUAACCAAUGACAUGUUUUAUUGUUAGACAAAUUUAGUUCCAUAUUAUUGUGACCUCAAACCAUAAGAGAAUACUCCAAUGUUGUUGUUCUUAUUCAGAUCUCAAAGAAUGAGUAAUCAUUAGAAUAUAAUUGAAAAUUAGAAUUUAGAAAUAUUUGGGUAUUUAGGCCAGUAUAUGUAACAGCCCGUUUUUUAAUUGUGUUGAAAAUGUUGGUUUCCGGCCACAAAUUUGACGAGUGAGUUUGUAAAUAUUAUUAUUUAAUAUUUACGAGUAAAGUAUCAAAUUAUGUCUAACUUUGAUUUAAUGAUUUUUUGUUAAUUAAAUGAAUAAUUAAGUUUAAGUGGUAUGCUUUAAAAGGCAAGUGGUUUUAGAAAAUGAGGUAUCAAGACCUCGUUUCUAUAAACCAAUCCCGUAAAUAUUUUAUUAAAUAUUUGCGGAGUGUUAUUAAGGUCGUAUUAAAAUUUGAUUAAGAAAUUUUAAUGUUUAGAUAGUUAAUUAAGUAAAAAUGACUAAAUAGUAUAAGUUGCAAAAGUUAAUCACUAUUAGUUUAAUUGUGCUAAAUGGCUAUGAAACCAUGAAUUGAAGGUUUUAUAUUGUAAAUAUAUCUAUUUAGGUGUUGAUGGACGGUUGUUGGGUUUUAAUUAGGAACAUUUUGGAUGUUUUAAAGGUUAAAAUUGUAAAUUCAUAAAUAAAACAAAAAUUAAAAGAAACCAAAAUAUGUUAUCAUCUUCAAAAGUUCAUCACCACCAAAAAUAAGAAGAAAACACACCAUUUUGUGAGUUAGAGGUUUGGCGAAGUUUGAUAUGAUGCAUGGUAUGUGAUUUAGAUUCGUUUUUAAUUAUUUUUAUGUUUUCGAACUCGUAAUAGCUUAAUCUAGUUAUCCCGAUGGUCAAUUUGUAAAACUAUUAAAUGUUAUAGAUUAUGCCGUGGCUGAAUUUGGUAUGUUUUUGAAAUUUAUGGUAGAUUCUUAAGCUUGGUUGUCAAAUAGGCAUAUUUUGUUAAGUAUUCUUUUAUGAUUUUAAAGUAUAGGGACUUAAUUAUGAAAAUGGUAAAAUUCAAUCAAAAUAUUGUGAAUUGAUCAUAAAUAUGGGUUGUUAUGAGACUAUGUAAAAAUUGGCUAACAUUAAUUUUAGCUAAAAAUGGUAAAUUUGCAAGUUUCAGGUUUAGAAACUAAACUGUAUAAAGAUAAAAUAUUGGGGGUAAUUUUAUAAAUUUCCCAUUAAUAAGGGUUAUAAGUUAAAUUAUUUAUUUUAAUUUAUUUUAAUGGUUUAAUUGAGUGAAAAAAUUAUUAUUUAGAUCACAAAAUAAGUCAAACGGAUCUAAACUGAGGAAAAGCUAUAUGUCGAAUUAGUCGUCGACUUCGUUUUUACAACUGUAUUUGUCGAGGUAAGUUCAUAUAAGGAUUGAAAUCAUUAUUUUUUGUUUUGGAUGAAUGUAAAUAGAUAUUUAUGCUAUGUUUAAAUUAAAUUGAUAAAGGUGUGAUAAAUUAUUAUUAUUACGGAUCAACUAGAGAAAUUAAUCAAAUUAAAGGAUAUGUGAAUAAUUAUUAAUAUGAUUGGUGAAAUUGUAUAUGGUGAUCAGGAAUUAUAGAUUGCCUCUUUAAAUGUUUACUUUGAUUAAGGUAAGUUCCUAGUGAGUUGUUAUGUAAAUGUAAGUUAAUUGUGAUUACACUAUUGUUUCUACUUAGUUGCUAAUAUAUAUGUGAAAUUUUAUUGGUUAUUUACAUAUAUAUUGGAAUAUUGCAAAUUAUUACAUAUGAAGUCGAGAAAUUGAUAGUAGUAUUUUUUGAGGUUGCAUAUUAAAGAUAUGGAAGUAAUGAAAUUAUGGUAUGUGUACGAAAAGGAUGAAGUGCCUCUAAAUGAUGGAAAUGUAUUUGAGUAAUGAAUUUAAGUGUGAAGCUCGGUUGAACAUAGUAAUCACGUAGGAUACGAUUGGCAUGCCAAUAGGGUUAGUAUACGCGUUUGUACGGGAUUUGUGCCUCUACCUGCACUUUGGUGCCUCUGUUAUACAUCUAUAAUGCCUCUGGUGUGGUGUAAUUACCCGAGUAUUCGAGUCAAAUUACUUAGUUCAUCGGGCUAAAUGUUAAUGAAAUUUACGGUUUACUUAUGUGUUUAAAUGUUGAUGCAUUUACAAGAUAUUAGAAAGUGUUAAAUGUUCAAUGGACUAUUUGUUUACAUGUGAGUACUUUUAUAUUGAUGAAAUGUUGUUAUGAAAUAAAUGGAAUUACAAUCUAUUUAUAUGCUUAUAUAUUAUGGCAUAUUUAUAGUAUUGGAAAGUGAAAGAUAUUAUAAUGAGUUUCUUAGUACAUAUAUGGACUGAUACUUUCAAUAAAUGUGAUUUAUGGUAUGAAAAUCCCUUUAAAAUUGAGGUUGUUUUGAUGUAUUUGGAUUGAAAAGGUAACAUUUUAAUUAUGUGGACGAAUGGUUUAUAUAGUGUAAUUCUUUUCAUGAUAUGAACAGGUAAUUAAAGCUUUACAGAGUAUAUGACUAUAAGAAAUGAUCUAUGAUUUAAAACAAGGAUAUAGAAUAUAGAUAAGUAUAGUUAAAAGAAAAUGAAGGUAUAAGGUAGUCAUAUGAUAGAUGAAUGACGAAAUUGAAAUACUUGAUAUGUUAUAUGCCUUGAUUGGGUUGGAUUUAUAUAUGCAUUGCUUCACCUACAAACCUUAUGAGGUAUGGUGUAUAGGAAAAAGAAAUUUGGUCUAUGACUAAAUGGAAUUACUCAUGGUUGCUUAAUUUAAUGCAAUUGGUAAGUUUAAGUUCCUUUAUAUGAGCUUACUAAGCACUAGUUACUUAUAUAGUUGUUUUCUUUGUUUUGUAAAUCAUCGGAAUGCUUGAAUAGUUGGAAUCUUCGUCGAAGCACGAUCACGCUAUCUGUCAAUCCACUUUGGUAGCUUUUGAAUAUACUGAAAUGAUUAUAAAUGGCAUGUAUAGGGUUGUAUGUCUAUUUGGUAUGUAUUGGAUUGUGCCAAGCCUUGGUGUGCCUUAAUGCUUUUGUUAUUGGUUUGUAUAUGAAGUGUAUUUAUAAGAUGUUAAUGGUUGUACAUGGCCUUUUCAAAUUAGGAAGGAAAUGGUUGGUUGAAAUGUUUUUAGAUGUGGGUAUUUGGUAUAUUUGAAGCAUGUUUAAUGAUUGAACUUAUGAUGUUAAAUUGAUUUAGGAUAAGUGUUUGAAAUGUGGUGCCUUUGAAUGGCAUAUUGGUUAGAACAUAUAGGUUAGAACAUAUAGGUUGGUUGAAUUGGUAUGUUUUGUAUGUGUCUAAGGUGUGUUUUGGUCAUAUGAAUGUGUAUAUGAAAUGUGUGUUUUGGUAUGCAAGUAUAGGUUUUGAAAUGGCUUGUUUUAAAGGCUAAAUUUGGAGUACAAGGCCUGGGACACGAGCUGUCACAUGGUUGUGUGCCACACACGAUCGUGUGUCAUUAAUAUUUUAAGUGCAGGUUUCAUACGGCCUAGGAUACGACCGUGUGUCUCAAAACAUUUUGUCACACGAUUUAGCACACAACCUGCGACACAGCCAUGUGACCCUAUUUCGAUUACACACAUGGGCAGAUACAUAGGCUGGGACACGGCUGUGUCUCCCUACUUCGAAUUUCUACAUAGUCUGAGCUAUGUCACACGGCCUAGCCACAUGGUCGUAUGACCCUUGCUUUCUCAAUUUUCAGGUUUUUCCUAAAAAAAUUUUAUUUACUCAAAAUGAUCCCCAAUCAUUUUUAAUUUAUUUUUAGGGCCACGAAAGCUCGAUUUUAGGCCCAAAUGUGUAUGUUUACUAUAAUUGGAAUGAGUUAUUGAAAAUUUAUACUUAAGUUGAAUUAUUGUUCUGUUUUGAAGUUUGUAACACCACUAACCCGUAUUCGUUCUCGAAACAGGGUUAUAGAGUAUAAUUAGAAUAAAUAGAUUAAAUACAGGAAUUUCAUAUUAUCAUUUAACAUUCAUGUUAGAUUUUAGUCGUAAAGUCCCUUAUGAGAGCCCUCGAGGCUCAAAUUUCACUUUAGAAUUGAAUCGGGACUAAAUCGAAAACUCGAAGAAUUUUUCGUAAAAUUUUAAAAUUUUCCAAAUUGCAGGGGUCACACGCCCUUGUGGUCAGGCCAUGUGGCUCACACGACCAAGUGACACACCCGUAUCUUAGGCCGUGUGGUAUUUGAAAUAAGGCACACGGCCGUGUCCCCAGCCCGUGUAACUCUCUGACUUGCAAUACAUUUAAGUGUAAGGGUCACACAGCCAAGCCACACGCCCGUGUGGCAGGCCAUGUAAAAAUUCCUGAGCAUUCUAUUUUAAAUUUUUAAGAUGCAGGGGACACACGGCUAGAAUACACGCCUAUAUGCUAGGUCGUGUGUCACACACGGCUGAGACACAUGCCCGUGUCUCUGCACGUGUGGACAAAAUAAGGUCAUUUCUAAGCCCUAUUUCUCACCCAUUCUUGUCUUCCACCUACAGUAACACUUAAACACAUUCUUAAUCCAAUAAAAGACCUUUAAACCAAGCCAAAACCAAGUCAUAUGCAUGAUAUUUUCAUUACAUGUAUUCAUAAACUCUAUCUUACUUAAUUGAUCAAAUUCACAUUUAUGCAUAUUUUAUCAAAUAUGCUAUCUUGAUCCAUUCAUCAUGUACUUACCAUCAUUUGAUCAUUUCAAACACACAUCAAGUAUAUUAAGACUAUUUACACAUCAAAACAUACCAAACAUAGCCCUUUAAAUGGCUAUUUACAACCAAAAUAUGUAUAUGUCAUCAAUGGCUAAGUUAACCUAUACAUGCCAUUAUAACCAAAAUUAGUUUCAUACUUGUACCGAAAAUUGGCCGGUGGAUAGUGUGAGUGAUCUCCGCCAAGCUUCCAACCCAAUGAGCUUCCGAAAACUAUAAAACAGAGGAAAUACAACUGAAUAAUCACUUAGUGCUUAGUAAGCCCAUAUAACAAAAAAUUUACUUAUCAUUUGUUUACAUUUAUAAUAAACAUACAAGAAUACAUCCAAAGCAAUUUGGCAAUUAGCCUAACGCAUAUAACCUCACAAACAUGUUAGUCAUGUAUUUCAUGUGAAUAAUAAGAACAAGGAUGAGCUCAUCAGGUAUCGAGUUUCCAAGUAUUUCAUGCAUAUAUAGAUAAUAGUUUCACUUUGAUUUCACAUGUUCUCAUGUCAGAAUUUCAUUCGUUGAAUCAUUUGAAAUCUCGAUAAAUACUUGGGUAGUAAAGCUGAAGUGUACAAUACUAUAAAUCUGUCAAUUCAUAUCCGGGAGUGUUUUUAUAAGCACUUAAACAGAAAGCUCUCCCUCAAGCACUAUAAUGGAAAGCUCAUUAAGCCUUGUACAGGAAGCUUAUCCGGGCAAUAUAAUGGAAAGCUUACAAAGAACCUGUAACGGGUAGCUCCGAAGAGCAAUUAACGGGUAACGGGAAGCACCAGAUAGCCAUAUAACGGGAAGUUCAAGUGAGCACUAACGGGAAGCUCACAAACAGCCUUUAAUCGGGAAGCUCACGAAGAGCUAUAUAACAGGACGCUCAUAAGAGCUGCGAUGUGCCUACAACACAUGUAAGGUCACAACCGAUCGGGAUGCUCCGAGCAGCAUUUAACGUGAAGCUCGCAAGAACACUAUAUAACGGAAAGCUUGAGAGGGCUUGUAACAGGAUGCUCUUUCGAGCUACGGUAUAUUCGCAACAUAUGCAAGACCACUACCAUUUUGGGAAACAGAACCCUGUAUCCAAUAGAAUUUCAUUCAUUCAAACGAGAUUUAACAUUUAUCGGGUAUUUUUCAGAUAUAUGAUCAGCUUUCAUAUACAUGGACAAUACACAAUUCACAUUCAAAUCAUUAAAAUCAAUUCGAACAUAUAAUUACACAAUUAAGUUACACGAACUUAUCUUGACAAAUGUUCGUGAAUCGUAAUCUACUAAUCCGAUACUUUUUCCUUUCCUCGAUCCAAUUCUGUAUUUUGUCUUUCCGGAUCUAUACGAGUAAAUUUAAAUUAAUUUAAUACAAUUCAUAAUCAAUUCAAUCCAUUUCACAUCUUCGAAAAAAUUACCAUUUGCCCCUAUACUUUUAACUAAUGACGAUUUCGUCCCUAGGUUCGAAAAAAAUGAAAUUCAUUCAGUUUAGUCCUUAUUCCAAGACUAGCUGAUUUUUACACAUAACAAUAAUAGUCCAUGAAUUUCUCAAAAAUUAGAAUUUUUCCAUGAAUUUUACAACUUACCAAUUUAGUCCCUAAAUCAUGUUUUCAUCAAAAUUUCCUUAACAAAAGAUGUUUAUCUAUCAACAAACUUUCAUUUUCUACCAUAAAACUUCAUAAUUCAACUAUAUUCAUCCAUGGAAAAAUCCUAGAACUUUGAUAAAUUUGCAAAUUAAUCCCUAAAAUAGCUUAAUUAAGCUAUUACGAUCUCGGAAACAUAAAAAUUACUAAAAAGGGGACAAGAAUUCAUACCUAAUUAAGCCAACAAAGCCUGCUUGAGCUCUUUUCUCUUAGCUAGGGUUUCCAUAAAAAAAUUGGGAAAGAUGAUGAUAAAUGAUGAUAUUUUUGGUUAUUUAAUUAUUUAUCAUCUUUUCAUCUUUUUCUUUCCAAUUCCAUCCUUUUCUUUAAUUAAAUUUCCAUGGAUGAAUCAUCAUCCUUAUCUACUAACUUCUCUUAAUGGUCUAUUUUCCAUAUCAGGACCUCAACCUUUAAAUUCCAUAGCUAUUUGAUACUUAUAGAUAUUAGAACCCAACUUUUGCAUUUCAUACAAUUUGGUCAUUUUAUCAAUUAAACAUGUAAUCAGUAAAAUUUUCUUAACAAAAUUUUCAUACGAUUUUCCUAUUAUAAUUCAAACCAUAAAAUAAUAUUAAAAAAAUUCUUUUCGGACUCGGAUUUGUGGUCCCGAAACCACUGUUUCGAUUUCACUGAAAAUGGGUUGUCACAAAGUUUAAGGUUUUGUUUUGUACAGUAACACUCCGUAACCCUAAUUUGGCGACAGAGACGGGUUAGGGGUGUUAUAGUAUAAAUAUAGAGGAAGAAUGUUUUGGGUUUUUGUGAAAAACUAAGAAGUUAGAAGGCCUAUUUAUAGGUUUUAGAAUUGAGGGUUUUUUUUACAACGAUGAUUUGAAUCCAAGCAAUUUCUUGGGAAGAUAAACACCCGACCAAUAUGCCACAGCUUGGGGCUCAUUAGAAUUAAGGUUUUGUUAGUGGCUUUAAGAUAAAUUUGACACCUAUGGGUUGAGUAGUCAAUAAAAAUUUCCGUUUCCCCUUCAAAUUAUUAGUUACAAAUUAAAGCCUAUGGGUUUUUUUUCUAAUUUUACAAAAAAAAUCGACAUCCAUAAGUGUCAAGUUUUGUUUAAAUAUUAUCCACAACGUUAGAAAAUUAAACAUUAUUACAACUUAAAUUUUAAAUAUAUCUAAAAAUAACUCUAACACUUGUAUGCAGAUCUAUUCAUAGGCAGAGUGGCCCAGUCAGCCAAGCCGAAUUUAGUUCGGACUUGGGCUAAGAUUUUAAAAUAUAUAAAUAUUAUUAUAAAAUAAUAUAUUUUAUUACUUUUAAAUAGUGAUAUGAGUUAUUUUGGUGAAUCAAGCUUGAGCAUGGACUUAAUUUUUUUUUAAAAUUCAAGCCUCGACCCGGCCUAUGAAAAUAUAUACUUGUAAUAUCAAAGUGAUGGAAUCAUUCCAAACUGGUUACCAUGAUUCCAAUAAUGCAUAAAAGACUUAGCGACAUAAUAAACAUCACUAAACUCAACGCUCAUGAAUCGUAAAUUCUAAUGAACCAUGCACAAACAAAAAAUUAUUAAUAACAUACACAGCAAAAUUAUGAUAUAAACCAUCAAUAAUUUUAAAAUUAAAUUUAUGUAAUUUAAAAAAAUAUAUUAAUGUCUCAUUGAUUCACUUACCAAUAUAAUACAUCAAAUAUAAACCUAUAAAAUAAUAAAAAUAUGAUUUCAAUGCAAAUGUUUCCCAACCAUCCUUACCCACACAUAUUAAAUUUUCAUUUAAUUUGACCCCAUCAUUCAAGUGUCAUAAAAGUCCCAUGACUCCGUUCCUCAACUUCAUUUUGUUUGUAUUCACUUAAUCUGUUUGAUUGAGCAUGGUCACGGAUGUCAACUAUUAACUUCUUUGUUUUCUUUUCUAAAGUAUCCAUUGAAUAUGAGUGUGAAGUUAUAAUUUUUGAAAUAUAGGAAGAAUACACCGACUUGGAAUAUAAAAGUGAAGCAUAUGCACAAAAGUUUAUUUAUCUUUUAAAUGAUCCUUUUAGGAAAAUCAUAUUUCCAUGUUUAAGUAAGUAGCACUGUGAAUCAACAUUAAAAUUUAAACUAUUUUAUUUAAGACUUUCGGAAGAUUGAUUUUUCACGUUCUUCUAUUUAUUUCUGGAAUUCAUUAUGCAAUUUUUUGGGUUAAUAUAUACGGAACCUAAAUUUUUUUUAGGACCUAAUUGAUAUAUAAAUUUGAAAACCACAAGUCAACUUGGUACCUUUUUUAGAUACUUGACUAAUACUGUUAAAAUAUGCUAACAUGGCACUAAGGACCAAUAUCAUGGUGACACAUGGCAAUAGAUUAUUUUUUAAAAAAAAUUAAAAAUUUUCUAGAUUCAAAAUGUAAGGCUACCCCAUGUCAUCUUGCUAUUAGUUAUUAAUGUCACAUAUCAGCAUACUUUAAUAGCUUCGGGUACCUAAAAAGAUAUUAAAUUAGCUAACGACACCAAAUAGGUAUAAGUUACUUUGUAUAUAUUAACUUUGUUUUUUCUGGUUGCUUUAUUAGCAUUUGGAAGGUGCAAAGUUUGAGGAGCCUACUUGCCUUGGCGCGAUCAGGUCUUGAUGGGGCUUCACUUUUCUAGUCAUAGCAAUAUAUAUUUCCUUCUCUAAUCUUUUAGGUAUUACCAGCUAAAGGAUAACAUUUCUAUUAUCUGGAGGUUUAGAGGGAUUUUAAUCAGUAAACGUGGAUGUGAUGUGGCAGAUGGUUGCCGACAGAAUAUUGGGUGGGAAUUGUUGUUGUCCUGUUCUGUUGCCGCUACCCUUUUAGUGGGACACCAAUUUGUGGACCAAACCAAACCCACCGCCCCUUUCAUUUCUAAUCUCACCUUUAAUUUUGUUACGUAUUGGAUUUGAAUUUUAUUAUCACUUAAUAAUAUUAUAUGCUAUCCACCUCAACAACGUAUAUAUACACAACAUGGAAUUUGACAUUCAAAUUAGUUGGACAGAAACCAUAUAUAACUCAAUCUACACAACACAACAAUAUAUAGACAACUUCAUCCUUUUUUUACUCUUAUUUUUCUUCAAGUAUUCACAACAUGAGUAUAGAUAUAAAAAUAUGACCUCUUCACAUACGUUAAAAAACACAUAAAAUAAUCUUAAUCUUAAUCAUACUCAUGUCACACGUGCAAUUCCAUUUAACAGUCUUUGCCCCACCAUUACCUGAUUGCUCCAAGCAAGUUGGCUCCAUCGAGCUUUGCACCUUCUAAGUGCUGAUAAAUCAAAACGAGAAAAAAUACAAACAAAAAUUAUGUAACGAAUUCCGGUAAGGUAUCUGAAAAAAGUAUAAAGACUGGUAAAUCUUUUGACUUGAUCUGCAUCAAUGAUGCAUGCAAUCCAGAAGUUUUAGAUAACAAGCAUCCAUGAUGUUGUGUGAAAGUUUUUAGAUAAUUGCACACUAAAAAAACUUCAUAUACUUACCGUAUCACAAAGAUUAACAUGAUGUAAAUAAGUCCUUCGGAGGUUUGCACCCUUCAAAUUCGCAUUGCUUAAUUUCGCACCCUGAAGACUAUGUUCAUUACAAUGAACUUAAUCACAAUAAACAUGUUGGGUCAAAACAAUUCAUUCGAAUGUUUAUCAAUAAUAUCGAGCUUGCUAGAGUUACCAGGAUAAGUUAUCGCACAUAUCAAAUUAAGUUAUUGAACCCUAGUAUUUUCUGUUUGGGUGCCUAAUGAUAACUUCACAUAAAUAAAAUAAUACAUGUGCUAAAGCAAUUGACUUGUAAACGCCGUGCUUAAGGGUCUCUUACCUUCAAAUUGGCUCCUUCAAGAUUAGCUCCCUCUAAGUUGGCAUCAGUAAGAUCAGCACUCUAGAAGUCCAGAGAUUAAGCAUAUUAAUAGUUUACAAUAACACAACUGACACACUAAGCAUGUAAUUUUAAUUUUAAUCAUUCAACCAAACCAUUAUAGCUCAAACAAUCACGAAUCUGAAAAUAUUAUUCCAACAAGCUUAAGGAAUUUAUGGUAACCUAAGAUCUUGUAAUUUCCUAAUUUAUAUAUGUACAUUCUAUUCUAUUCAAUUCAAUGAACCACCUUUGCUUGUUGAUUUUAAUUUAGUGAAUCCACUGUAAGUGUGCACAACGAAGAUCAGCCCCGCAGAAGCUACAAUCUAUCAAAGAAGCAUCUGCAACAAUGUAAUUGAUGAUGAUACAUCAAUAUUUAAACCUUAACAGUAAAAAGAGGCAUUUAGCUAAGUUACUUGGGCACUGGUGUGAAUGUCCGAUAUGGAUAUGCUCAAUUUUUCUGUUUCAGGAGUUCCAUGUAUUUGAAGAGUCUUUAUAGGACCAUAUCUCUAUAUCUAUAUCCAGACAUGUGUCUAACAUAGGUAUUGGACAUCGGUACUUCAAGAAUAUAGACUUUUAGUAAGAAAUCUACUAUCUAUAGAAAGAUGGCAAGUAUUUGCCUUGAAGAUUUGCACUCUGAAGAUUCGCCCCGUUAAAUUCACACCUUCCCUAGGCAAAAAUAAAACCCGUUGCAAACAAAGUUCACAAGAAAAUGCACUCUCCAAAAAGGAUAAAUAAUUCUGAGGAUCUUACUUGCGCAAAGUUGCAUUGUGAAAAUUCGAACCCACAGCAUCCACAUCCUGUUACAAAAACAAAGAGGUUUAUUAUAAGUAUGGGCUUAAAUUUAAUUAAGGCAUUGACAGUUAAUCACAUACUUCACUUAAGAACCAGACAUACCCGAAAUUUUGCACACCGAAGAUUUGCACGUGAGAAAAGUACGUUUUUGAGACAGGCAAAGCUGAAAUCCACAAAUGAAAGAUCCUGCACAAAUAAAGAGGGAAAAAGGAGAUGAUGAAUCCAAAGUGCAAUAACAAGCUGCAUUACAUUACUUCUGCUUCUUCAUUAGACUUGAAGUUGAACCACAGGGGAUCGAAUGAUAAUAAAGAGAGACAUCAAACAUUCGGAUUAAAACUAAAACACACACACACAUUCAACAAUCCAAAAGAAAAUGCCACAAAUAACCACCAUCAUCAUGGAUCAGCGAAAACGAGAAAACUAGUAUUAGAUCCAAGAGGCAUGCACAAAAGCUACAAACAGAAGAUCAAUGAGAACGAGUCUCGCUUCCUGCGAACAAAGAUUCUACUUCUCAAAAAUAAGAGUUUCACACAAGAUUUUGUCAAAAAUUUGGGAUCAGAAAUUAUUUACCAAUUUAGAGAGAUCAAGGCCAGAAAGGUUAACUCCUCGAAAUUUAACUCUUUCAGACUGUAUGCACUUGAUGACAUCGGUAUGCGUCAAUUCUGCUGGAGACUUUUCAUCUUCCUUCCUCUUAUUAAGAACAGAACUUAUUCCUUCUAUUAAUCCCUGAAUCAUAUCACAUUAUACCGUCACUGAACAAAAUUUCAAGAGAUCAUACCAUGGGCUGCAAAUAACAAGCACCACUCUCAAACAAUGGCCUAUGACCAAAACUAUAAGGUGGCGGUGGGCAAGGGGUGGUCAACGCAUAAACCAUUGUGAUCUAUAUAGAUCACUGUAUUUGGUAAGGCAUUCAGUGACCCAACAGUGCAGUGAUCUUAAAUCAUUGAGAAUUAUUAGAAUUGCACAUUUAAUAUAUGAAUUAAGAACUUGGUUUCUGUCAAAUAGCUGUUGAUGUUUCCCAUAACAAUAUGACUUAUGAGUAGCUGGUAAUAUUCUGCCUCUCGUAUAAGCUCUGAAUAUUCAGAAUCUGUCAAUGUCGGUACAACGCCAUCCCUUAACCAGUUUAGAAUAUGCCUGAAAUGCUUUCCAUCUCUGUCAACAAAGACAUAUCCCUGCAAGAGUAUUGAGGAAUAUGACUAUCUGCACUCAAACAAAGUCGCUUCACAAAAAUUGAUAUGAAAAGCACAUAAAAUUUAUUUCCCUUGUCCUCCUUUUGAGGUUUACUGUGAAUAAAUAAUGUGCUGGUGGAAAACAAAACAAGUUUGCAUUGCUCCUCAAAGAAACAUAACUAUCAAGAACCAACAGUUCAGUGCUAUCAGUAGUAUGUUAUCAUGAUCUAAUCAAAUGCCUGCAAUAAUACGUAAGAUUUAGUCAAUAAAAAACUAUAAUUACCACUUGCAUUUUGUGGUCAAUGUCUUUUCUGGAAAGUGAAAGUAACAUCAAGACCUUGAAAAUUUCUAAAAUCUGAUAUGAACUGUUAUUACAUGAAUCGAAUACAAUACAAUACGAUUUACUGGUUCUUAAUACUUUGUUAGACAAAUAAUAUAACUAGCUUCCACAAUAAUCAUCCACAGCCUAUCAUGCAUGAUAAACAUAACAUUCACAACACCUGUAUCUAAACUACUGCAAAGGUGAAAAUCAAAUCCUUUCAGUAAACAGAAAUCUUUAUCCCGAAAUUAGAAAAAGUAUAUCGCACCAAACAGAAACAAAUAGAAAAGGCUGUAUUUCUUUUUCAGCCACAUUUCCCAACGAAAACAAAGAUACAUCCCCUAAGAAUGCAAAGGAAACUGCAGAAUAUUACUCAUAAGUCCACAUAACAAUAACGGUAUGUGUACGCAAAGGAAAAGAACAGUAUAUACCUUCUCAGAGUCCUGAUACACUGUAUGUCGACUGCUAAAGACAGCAGCCAGCAUAGAAUCUGGCUCACGCCGAGUUAAUGUAUCAAUGGUAGUACAAAAUUUCUUCCCUCCUGCACAUCAAAUUUUCAUUCAAAUGAAGCUAUAGCUUUAAAUUUAAACUAAAACUAAAUUAGUUACAAAAUUCAACUCCACAAUCUUUUUACAUCAAAAACAACUAAGACUUAAAAGAUAAGUGACACCCAGAAAAGCAAAUGCAGCAAGUUCACAUGUACGUACAUCAGGUUCCUGAUUCAGAAAAUGCCAAAUUCAGAAAAUCAAACAAAGGGGUUUAACUUGAACCAUUAAUCAAAGCUGAAGAGCUAAGAGAAAAUUUUGGGGUUUUCUUGUUUAUUAAUGAACCGAUCGAAAAGUCUUUUAACUUUUUACUAAAUUAAGCAACUGACUGGGAAUUGAUGAAAGAAUAUGUAGAGAUUACUUGAAAUGCAGAGAAUUUUACCAAUGCUGAGUCGAACAAGCGAAGGCAAAUUGGAAUCUUCCAUCAGAAAAGAUGAAAUGAAAAUCGUCAAAAUUAAAUGACUUGUUGCAGCAGUCAAGCAAGUAAGCAAGCAAUUGUUUGGGGGGAUGCUGCCAUUGCCGUGGGCUCCCUAAGUUUGUCAAAUAGAUCUUCCGUUGGGUAUUUAACUGGUUUUGUCGGUAAGCAUGGCCCAUGGGUCGAAUCUUGAUUCGGGUCAUAGUUAGAGCUGUCCCAGGAUCCGGUUCUGAAAACGGGUUUUGUGGAUUUGGGUCUCUUGGAUUUAUAUAUAAAUAACUAGUCUUUUUUUACACCUGCAAUUUACAGAUUGAUUUGUGUUUAAAUUAAAAAAUAUUAAAUUCUUUAUAUUUUUAUAAAUUUUAUGAUGGUUUGUGAUAUCAAUAUUUUUUCUUUUAUAAAUCAGACUAGUAUAUUAAAAAAUAAGACAAAUAUAAUUAGGCUAACAAAAUUUACGGGGAAAUUACCAAUAAAAGCCGGUUUUUUUCAAAAUUUAUCGAAAUGGGCCGAUUUUUUGAUUAUUUACCGGAAUGGUCCAUUUUCCGGGAAAUCGUGUCCACGUCAGCGCGAUGUCAGGGUACAUGUCAGGACAUCACGUCCACGUCUGCUGACGUGGACGCGAUGUCCUCCGCGCGUGAACAGUACCCCAACGGUCAAAAAAAAAACUAUAAAUACCACCCACCCCUUUAUUUUUUUUCACAAACAAAUCCUAUCUAAUAUUUCCUCUCUAAUCCUCUCAAUUUCCUUCCAAAAUUCUCUCAAUUUCCUUCCAAAAUUCUCUGAAACCCAUAUUUAAUUUCAAUUUCCUCUCAAUUUCCUCCGAAAAUUCUCUCAAAUCCAUAUUUAAAUUCAAUUUCCCCUCAAUUUCAUUUUUUAAAAUAAUUUUAUAUUUUUUAUAUUUUUUUAAAAUAAUUUUAAAUUUUUUAUAUUUUCAUCAAUGGCCGGAUCAUUGAUUCGUCUUGAUAGGAAUCACAUAUUGGUGGAGCAAAUGAAAAUGGUAAGUAUUAAAUUUAAUUUUUAAUUAUUAUUUAAGAUUUUUUAUUUAUGUAUUUUUAGAUAAUUAUUAAUUUAUUAUUUGUUAUAAAAGUCAGAAGAUCCGGUAUUGGAAUGCAAUAUCCAGAAUAUGCAUGCUCCUCCAUCACCGUUAGUAGAGAACUACCUGCGGGAAGCGGGUUUUUGGCACGUAGCGACGGUAGGUCGGGGAUGCAAGUUGGACCCGAAACUGAUUAGUGCGUUGAUCGAGAGGUGGAGACCCGAGACGCACACAUUUCAUCUUCCAUGUGGAGAGUGCACUAUCACUCUAGAAGAUGUCAGCAUGCAGUUGGGAUUGCCAGUGGACGGGCACCCAGUCACCGGGUCUGCCCAAUCUAGUAAUUGGGAGGCGGUGUGCUACGAGCUUUUGAGCGCUAUUCCGGAAAAAAUGGAUGGAGGUAAGGUCGAGAUGGGCUGGUUACGUGCCACAUUCCCCGAUCCGAAUGCAAAUUCAACUGAAAUUGAAAGAAUCUGAUAUGCUCGAUCAUGCAUUCUUCAAAUAAUUGGAGGUUAUCUGAUGCUGGACACGUCACGGAGCCAUGUACAUCUAAGGUGGCUGCUAAAACUCGUUGAUUUUAGAAGAGCCGGUGAAUUUAGUUGGGGGUCUGCCGUCUUGGCAACAUUAUAUCGGGAGAUGUGCGAGGCGACGCGACCGAGGAGAGCAAACAUCGGAGGUUGCCUGUCACUACUGCAAUCAUGGACUUAGUUUCGCUUUCCAUUUCUACGUCCUCGAGUGAACCACCCAUAUACAUUCCCACUCGUAACGAGGUAAAUUUUAUAUUACAUUUUGGAAUUAUUAUGUAGAUUUUGUAAGAAUAAAAGUAUGCUAAAUAUUUAUUUAAUUAGGUGGAACCAUCCGGCAAGUUAUCAUGGAUUACCGUCUGAACUUGAAGAUAUACGGCUUCUAUUGGACCAACGGUCAGAAGCAGAAGUAAGUAUUAUUGCAAAUAGAUAUUUCCAUACAUUCGCUAGUCAAUUGAUAUUUAGUAUUUAGUAUUUAGUAUUAUGUAUAUAACUAAUAUUUCUAUCAUGUUCAUAUAGUUUCAAUGGACACCAUACGAGGAUCCGACAAUUCUGGCAGUAAUCUCGGAAGAGUUUUUACAAAAUCUAAACGCUUGGCACGUGAAAGUGGUGUUGAUCAACUAUGCAACCGUGGAGCCCCACCAAACAGACAGAGUGCUACGACAGUUUGGAUGUAGACAACCGAUUCCUGCAGACCUUGAGGAGUUUGACGAGCACCACAAAAUCGACCUUCAACUAUUAGGUAUGGAUUGGCGUAGAUACUGGUCCGAGUACGAGGAAAUGUGGGAAAAUCGACAUGAAUAUCUACCUACUCGGGAACAAAUCAUCGUUCCGAAGUUAGUGUGCGUUCCAGAAUACAUGCCAUGGUUUAGGAUCCAUGGCAAGCCGUAUUUACUUACGGCAGAUGAGAGGCAGCAGCAAACACGUGUCGGAAGGGAAAGGCAUGAGCCUCUAAAUCUAAGACGAGAAGACUACGAAGGCAGCCUCUCAACGAGGCCCAGACAGUCACCCAGCUCAUCAUCAGCGGCCAUGCAAUCACCGGCCCCAACGAGAGCACCGACGCAGUCACCUGACGCAGCAAUUCAACAGAUGAUACCCACGCAACUGCCUUUCCCUAUGAUGCCAGUGUGUUUCCUAGCCCUUAUAUUUACCCUAAACCUUACAUAUAUCCUUUUCCAAAUACUAUGGCAGGUUGGAGCCAAAUGUCCGGUUUAGCUCCAUUUCCUGUUAUGUCGAAUGACCGUCAAUAUCUAGGCCAGCGGCGCAGGAGGGAUCGCAAGGGGGGCCAUCGGAGAGCUCUCCUUUUCCGAAUACUAUGGCAGGUUGGAGCCAAAUACCCGGUUCAGCUCUAUUUCCUGUUAUGCCGAGCGGAUCGUCGAUAUCUAGGCCAGCGGCGCAGGAGGGAUCGCACAUACCUUCGGGGAGCUCUCAUUUUUACCAAUCGCCAGCAACGUAUGGCUUUCAAACACCGUCACCGUUCAUGAUGCAAACACCUCCACAUACACUAUUCUUUAAAGGUGGAUCAUCGUUCCAAGUUCGACAACUAGAUGCCGAACCGGAAGAAGCACAAUCACCACCAGAGGAAGAACAACCGCCUCCGGAAGCUAGAGGAAGGAGGAAUCUAGCGCGCAACCAUCGACGGCCGCCAUGUUGAACCGAAUCCCUCGGGCAUAGACAUUGAUUGUCGUAUUUAAAUUUAUUAUUUGAUGUAAUAAAAUAGAAGUUUAUUUGAUAUAAUAGGCAUAGAAAUUUUUUUGAGUUAUUUUAAUAUUAUUUGAUGUAAUAAAAUAGAAGUUUAUUUGUUAUAAUAGGCAUAGAAAUUUUUUCGAGUUAUUUUAAUAUUAUUUGAUGUAAUAAAAUAGAAGUUUAUUUGAUAUAAUAGGCAUAGAAUUUUUUUCGAGGUAAUUAAAAACCCUAACCCUAACCUAACUUAAUUAAAAACCCUAACCCUAAACUAAUUUAAUUAAAAACCCUAACCCUAACCCUAACCUAACUUAAUUAAAAACCCUAACCCUAACCUAACUUAAUUAAAAACCCUAACCCUAACCUAAUUUAAUUAAAAACCCUAACCCUAACCUAACUUAAUUAAAAACCCUAACCCUAAACUAAUUUAAUUAAAAACCUAACCCUAAACUAACUUAAUUAAAAACCCUAACCCUAACCUAACUUAAUUUUACUAACCAUUAACACAAUUUUUGGACUUAAUAAUUUUACAUAAUUUGAUAAUUUUACUAACCAUUAACACAAUUUUUAGACUUAAUAAUUUUACAUAAUUUGAUAAUUUUACUAACCAUUAACAAAAUUUUUCUGGCUUAAUAAUUUUACAUAAUUUUACAUAAUGUUAGAUUUGGUAAAAUGUUUUGACUGGUACUAACAAUUAAGAAAUUAAACUAAUUUGAUAAUUUUACUAACAAUUAAUACAAUUAUCAAUUAAUAAUUGAAGAAAAUAUAUUUUUUUCUAAAAUUACAUUCAGCUAUUGCUAUUAGGGCAUGUAAGACUUGUAUGGCCUGGGUUCCUACACCAUCCGCACAACUUCUGUUGACUGGCUGCUUCUCGGAUAUCCAUAUUGUUCCGUAUUCUGGUGGAGCAAGGUCGACCCUUUAGUUUGCGACGCAAUUCUCUAUCCGGUAACAGCUUAAAAGGAGCAAGAGAUACGGGCGGCCACUUACGUUCAUCUGGGACCGGUGGAAAAACGUGUCUCCAUACGUUGUACAUGUUUUCUAGUUUGUACACUUUGUCCACAUAACUCAUCGGAUUCAGACGGAGUUUCUGACAAGAUGCAAUAACAUAAGCACAUGGAUAACGAAGUGCAUCAAACUUUCCACAGUCACAAGUUCUGUUUCGCAAGUGUACACGAUACUGCCCGUCAACAACACCUUGGUACGGUCUGUCAAACUCUGUCACGCGAAACCAUAAAUUGUCUCGAUCGUCACACACUGCGUGCAUGAUGUUUACCCUCGCCAUCGCCUUGUUAAUUUCUUGAACUACCUUACUGCACCAUACAUGGCCACCCUGCAUCUGGCCUGCAUAAGUUGCUGCUCGCUUUGGAAAUAGCACCGCCAAUCAGAAAUAUGUCUCUCGCACAACCGAUGUUAUCGGUAGAUGGUGCGUUCCUUUAAGAACAGAAUUUAUGCAUUCAGCCAGGUUCGACAUCAUAUGGCCAUAUUGUAGGCCUCCGUCGUAUGCUUGUGUCCACUGUUCGAAACGUAUGUUACAAAGGUAGUCCGCCCCUUCUCCAUUUUGGGAUCGUAAAAUGGCCAACAUCUCCUGAAAACGAUCUUUAUUUAUUUCAUACCCUGCCAAUAUAAGAUAAUAGCGAAUAUUUUAUACCACUUCUACCAAUAAAACUAAUUCAAAUUGACAAACGAAAUAAUACAGUUAUAAACUAAAUACCCAUGUUGGUCACUUGUCGUCGUUUCCUCUUAGAUGGAUAUUACCUGUAGUAGUUCUAAGCAACGUGUCUUAGGCAAUAUCUAUGGUGUGUGCGCUGCCACAAGCUUCCCUCUCGAUCAAAUGCAGCUAGUAUACCGACGCCCGGAUCUGAAAUAACACAGAUAUCAGGUUGGGGGCAGACAUGCCUCCUUAACCUAGAGAGAAAGAAAUCCCAGUCAUCAGACAACUCCCCCGGUGUUAUUGCAAAUAAAAUUGGAAGAAUUCUCCUACCGCCGUCCUGUGCCACUGCAACCAAUAGCCGAUGAGUAUACCUACCGAACAUGAAGGUACCGUCAAUUUGUACCAACGGCUUGUAGUAUGGAAAUGCGUCUCGGCAUUGCUUAAAGGUCCAAAAUAGGCAUUUGAACACUUGGCAUCCACGCAGCAAUCGGUCGUUGUAGUACGCAUGUUCCAUUUCAAGGUCUGUGAUGGCACCUGGGACGUAUCUCUCUAGCACCUGACACCACUGCCAUAUUUCAUUAUAUGAGGCGUCCCACCCACUAUGCAUAUUCUCCAACACCUUUUUCUUAGCUAUCCAAGCCUUACGGUAAGAGGACGUGUACCCCAUUUGGCUACGGAUAUUGGCAAUUAUCACUGGCACUGAAAUCCUCGGAUCUACUUUUAUCGUGGGCAGUAUCAAGCUAGCUAACAUAGCUGAAUCCAUUUUGGGAUGAUCUUGUGAAACACCUACAGAGGGAGUACAUUAAAUAAUGCAACAUUGCAAAAUAAAAUUAUUAUUCAGAUACAUUCAAUCAUGUACCUACAGCAAAUGUAUGUGGACCUUUGUACUUUUUUAUCUCCCACAACCCUGUCCUUUUCCUUAACGAGGCGACGAUUUUCCAUGAACAUAUGUCGUCUUGCAUCGCACACUUCGCCUCAAACUUAUCAGAUUUUAAUUUAACAACGUGGUAAUUAACGUCGUUUUUGAUGCUAUGCUGUUUCAAAGCACCAAUAAAACUAUCCUUGUUGGUAAACUGAUUACCAACUUCAAGUUCACCGAAAUCUACCCCCGAACUUGUACGAUCGCGCAACCGGUGUGGUAGAUCUGGAAACUCUAACGUAUCAUCUGCUGAAAAAUCGACAUUAUGCAUGUGGGCUGAAGGUGAGUAUGCUCUGAAUCGUGGAUUUUCUUCAUCAUCUGAACUCCUUUCAGCAUCUUCACCUUCUGUUUGAAUAGGCUCCGAUUCAGAAAAUAAUCUCACUUCUGUACCAUCCAGCCCGGGCUCUCGAGGUGGAUCUACAUCAAAGUCAUCUCCUAACCCACAAUCAUCUACAGCAUACGACGUCCCCCCACCGGUUAACGUCGUAGGUAGUACGUCAUCCCUUCUUCUGGGUAUUCGAUAACGUCCUCGAUUGGAUAUAGAUUGCCAUCCACUAGAACUUGAUGCAGUUCCCCAGUACGUAUUUCCAGCAUCAAACGUCGAGCCACCGACGUACAUGUCCCAUCCAUCGACAGAGUGUCUUGCGGGGGAUGUGCAUUUGACACCGCUACCAAAUAUGGGCUGUUCUGUAUUUUGUAACCUGCUAACCGAGUGUCGGCCAGGGGUAGUGUAUACAUCUCGAACACCGGACGGAAGUACGUCAGUUGGCGACGUAAAUUGUACAUAUAACUCAAAAUAAGUUGCUCCACUAGCAAGAUGAGUCUGCACCAUUGCCUUCAAGCUACGAGCACCUUUUAUGUCGAACGAGUCAUAUGUCACCGGAUCAACACAAGAAAAAAAUUGAUACGUGAUUGACAGAACUUUCAUUGGCGUCGUUCUGAAGAUUUUACGCCUAAUUCUUUUACGAAGUUCUAUCAAAUCUAUGUUCUGGUUAAAUGACAGUCGCACCGUAUUCUUCGACAAAAAAACAACACCAUUCUCGGUGUGGCAAACCUCACCAUCGUAGUAAAUAACAGCACUAAUACGUUCACUCAUUUUGAAACUCUAACUUUCUUAGCCUCUCUAAAUUGUUUCUGUUAUGACUUAUGUAUUCUAAGAAUAUUUUCUGCCUAAUUUAUAGCUUCAGCCCAAACUUGCUACUGUAGCAAAAUCGCGUCCACGAGGGUGCGAUUUCACAAUUUUUUUCUCAAAUAGCAUCCUGGUAGAAGCGAUUUUAUACUAUUUACUCAGAAACGUUAACAAAAAAAUUAUUUCUUACAUGACCUACUGUAGCAAAAUCGCGUCUACGAGGGCGCGAUUUCAUAAUUUCUUCUCAAAUAACAUCCUCGUAGAAGUAAUUUUAUACUAUUUGCUCAGAAACGUCAAAAAAAAUUUAUUUCUUACAUGACCUACUGUAGCAAAAUCGCGUCCACGAGGGCGCGAUUUCACAAUUUCUUCUCAAAUAGCAUCCUGGUAGAAGCGAUUUUAUACAAUUUGACCAGAAACGUCAACUCGAAAUAAUUUAUUCCGGGACCUAAAAACCCUAAAAAGCCUGAACCCUAAACCCUAAAAGCCAAAAAAACCAAACGUGAAAAAUACGUCAAAAUCGCGUCCCCAGGAACGUGCUACGUGGUAGGACAUCGCGUCCACGUCAACGCGACCUACUAACGAGGAAGGAAAUCGCGCUGAUGUGGACGCGAUGUCUUGCAAUGUACCCUGACAUCGCACUGACGUGGACGCAAUUUCUCGGAAAAUGGACCAUUCCGGUAAAUAAUCAAAAAUUCAACCCAUUUCGGUAAAUUUAAAAAAAACGGUUUUUUGGUAAAUUAGCCAAAAUUCACAAGCCCACCAAAAAACAAAAACAUAACCCAACAGUAGCAAAAAAAAAUCUUAAAACAUGUACCAAAACAAACAAAUUAAAAAAACUAAACAGAAAAUUAAAAUAAAUUUCCAGUCUGAUCACAGUUGGAAUCCAAUCAGCAUAUCCGUAAUUAAUGCACCAAUUCCAGUCCCCAGAAAAGCGAUUUCCAAACCCAUCAACUAUCUCAUUUUCUUUUUUUCUUUCUACGCAAAGACCACCUAUCGAACAACCCUCAAUCAGGUUUUCUUUUUCUCCGCAGAUCCACCUCCGAUGUUCAUUGCUCAAGGACCCUUCUGAUUAGGUAUGCUCGCGAAUCUUCUUUCAUCGCCUCUCUAGCUAAGUUGUGAGCCAUAAGAUUUGCAGAUAUGUAUGUAUGUUGAAAGGCUAUUUGGUGAAAAGAUUGCUUUUGCUGCUGAAUGUUUUAUAUUAUACCCCCAAUCACCAAUUUAUCAGUCUUAUCUGAUUUACUUUUUUUUAUUAUUGAUACUGAGUCUCCUUCGAUGAUAACUAAUAUGAACCCCAUCUGUUUUCCCAUAAACACUGCUUUGAGGCACGCUAGGGCCCCUACUGCAAACGAAAAGGCCACCUCUCCGUGAACCACUGUUUUGAAGGCGAAGACCUCUCCUGAGGCAUUUCUAACCACCACCCCUGAGACUCAUUUUAUCCGAGAUUUAUCAAAAGCGACGUCGAAAUUAAGAUUGACAAUGGAACCAACUAAUAGGCACCAACCCAUAGACUCGUACCUCAUGGUAAAAUCUCGAACCUCACACCCAUAAGGUUCCUUAAUAUAUUUGUUUAUCCAUGCAGUAACUUCUGGGCCCGUACUUUUUUUUCUCUCGUGUAAUCCUUUGUUUUUGCCCGUCUAAAUCGCCUAAAAAGGGCAACAAAAUACUCAAUAUUGAAUGAUGGAACUAUUCUUGAACACCCAAGUAAGCCACUCCCAAUGUAACAAAAUCAAAUUUGUUAAUACCCAUUCCAGAUUCAAAUUAAUCCAAACUUCUCGCAUCAUAGGGCAUUCUCUGAAGAUAUGAUCGAUGUUUUCAACAGUUGCUCUAUAUCUGGGACAUACUACCACUGAUAGGAAUCUCUUACACCGAAGAUUAACAAAGUGGGGAAUAAAAUUCCAAGAAAUUUUCCACAUUAGGAUUUUAAUUUUCCAUGGAAUGUGAAUAUUCCAUAAUUUUUUGUAAAAUAAAUUAGCCUUUAGCCUGUAAAUAAUUAGGAAGAAAGCCAUUUAAAAGUUUGUAAGCACUUCGCACAGAGAAUUCUUUUGAGGCCUCCCCUUUCCAUACUAUGAAGUCCACAUGAGGUUCCAUUGCUAAGGGAAUUCGAACAAUUCUAUUUGCCUCUUCUCUGAAGAAGGUAGACAAAAUUAAGUCAAACUUUCAUUCUCUCUUUUGUUCAUCAAUAAGAUCCAUUACUUUACCUGAGUUCACACUGUCAUUCCUAAUUGAUUCUGCCUUAUAACUUACAGAUCCAGGGAGCCACGCAUCAGUAGCAAUUAAAAUAUUCUAACUCGUUUCCACCCUCCAACAAAUCCCAGUCUUUAGCAAUCUUUUAAUUUCCCAUACACUCUUCCAGAUAUAUGAAGGUAGUUGUCCUAACUCAAAAUUAAGAAAAUCUAUAUUUGGAAAGUACUUAGCCUUUAGAACUUUCGUUAAUAAUGAAUCUAAAUAAUUAAGAAUACGCUAACCUUGUUUAGCUAAUAACGCAACAUUAAAUUGGAUAAACUAUGGAAUCCCAUACCCCUAUUCUCCUUAAGAUCGCAAAGUCGUUCCCAACUGCACCAAUAAACCCCUUUUCGACCUUGUCCUUUUUACCACCAAAACUGAGCCAUUAUGCUACCCAAUUCCAUACACAAAGACUUUGGAAGUAAAGAACAGGUCAUAGUGUAAGUGGGUAUCGCCUGUAAAUCAACUUUAAUAAACACUUCCUUAACUCAUUGAGAAAGGAACCUCACAUUCCAAUUCUCAAUCUGUUGCCUCAUGCAAUCAUUUAAGAGCUGAAAAGAAACUUUUUUAUUUUUCCCCACAACAUUCGGCAAACCAAGAUAUCUUUCCAUAUUAUUUGAAUUUCUCACCCCAAGAAUAUUAGAAACAACUCGCCUAGACUCUUCGGAAGUGUUGCUACUAUAAAAAACUAUUGAUUUGUCGUAAUUGACGCAUUGCCCCUAGCAUAUUUUAUAUUCCCUUAGGAUUGAUUUCAAAACUUGUACACCCCUCUCGCUAGCUUCUCCAAACAAUAUACUAUCAUCAGCAAACAAUAAAUGAGAAACCGACAGACCCUCUCUACUUGUCUUUGCUCCCUUAAUCGACCCUCCCUCGAGGCCAUCUUCAUAAGUGUUGAAAGGCCCUCACUACAAAUUAAAAAUAAGAAGGUACUAAUGUCAUGGGGCUAGAUCUUUCAUCUCGCGAUCUAUGCGGCCUUAGGCGAUCCGUUUGCUCAAAACUCGCCUAAGUCAGCCUUUACACCCAAAAAUGAGGAUUCCUUUAGAAUUCCUCAAAGGCACCAAUUUGUAUAUCUGAAGAGAUUAUGCCAAAAGAAGCUACAAAUGAACAACAAAAAGCCAAAGAAAGAAUGCACACAAAGUGUUUGAGUAAAUGUUCAAAGAAUUCUAUUACUCUUAAGAAUUCAACAUACAAUGGAUGAUUUACAAGUGGGAGAGAUGCUCUCUAUUUAUAGUUGAGCUCCUCCAAAAUCGAUGGUCCAGAUUAAAAUACAUUGAUGGACGAGAUCAGUCUAUCCCUUAAUUUUGGGAAUUUACAAGAUUACAUCAUAUCAUAUCAAAUCUAUAAGAUAUGAUUUCCCUACUUACUAAAAAUAGCCUAUGUUGCCAUAUCUUCAUUAUCGGGCCAACCAGGCUUUAAUAUGACAGGUUUCUCUAAUAGUUCUUAGAAUCAGGCCAGUUCUCAUUGGCUAAAUAUUCCCAAUCUAAUCGAUCAACCUCAAUGAGGCGCAUUUUGUGCCAUGGUCACGGGAUUUGCACUUUGGCCCGUGACAUUCUCCCCCACCCAUUUUCGAAAUGCCCUCGUUGUGACUUCUGAAUGACAUUGACUUGAUUCACCUUGGAACUCUCUCGUUGCCUUGGCUUCUUCCUGACUUGUUUCGCGAUUGGGUUGUUCCUUCUUUCGAAACAUUUUUCUCGGCUUCCAUUGUCUCUUAACUUGAACUGUUGCACUCGUUGGUACAUCCCGUUGGCAAGAAGUCUCCGCUCUAACUUGCCCCAAUUUUGACUUGUUACUAUUGGAAUCCCCUUGAUUCUCACAUCUUGGCUUUGUAUCGCCCAUAGUCCAUCGGCCUCCUUGCUUAAGAACUUUGAAAGGGCCCCUACGACCUUGCCAAGCCAACAAGUUAGAAUUCAAAACACUAUCAGAGUGUUCGCAAUGUACCUUACUCUCAGUAUUUACUCGUUUUGAAUGCUUUUACAUCGCUUCUUUCCCUUCGAAGUCCAAUACACAACUCACCCUUCCCAAAGGUGGCGGCUCCACAAUCAACUUCACAAGCAUCAUAUCGUUCUCAUGCUCCAUUAACUUUUUCAAAUGGGCUUUCGUAGUAUUUCGUUCUAUCGAGUUAAUGUUUCUCCCAUGUGAAACAUCUUUAACUAGUUGGAUUGAUGACAACACCUUGGUCCCAACCUUCAUAUCUCGAUGCACCAGUACAACAAUCUUUGAUAAUGGACCAAUGCAAAUAUGAAUUUGAUCGGCCCAUGGAUAAAGAACUGUCUAAAUCUUGUCAAGAAAGUUUAAGCCAAAUACAUAAUCAUAAUCAUCUAAUUGGAUUACCUCAAAGUUUUUCUUGCCCUUCCAUUCGCCGAUUUGUAGCUCCACAUUACGAACUAUUCUCACAGUUGGGGCCUCUUCAAAAUUUACCAUCUUAAUCUUUCUAUUUGAUUUCUUAAUUGAGAGACCAAGUUUCUCCACAGCCUUUUUCGAUAUGAACAAGUCUGAUGCUCCCGUAUUGACAAGAACACUCCACUUCUGACUGGUAAUGUUGAUGUCUACAAACAUCAACCCUUCUCCACCAUUCAUUUUCUUAAGAAUGAGCACCAUCGAAUUGACCCUCGAUGUCUUUUUCUCAAAAGGUUUCACCUCUUCCUUCGACUCAUCUUUUUUUUAUAGCGAAAAUCAUCGAUUUCUUUAGACAUUUUUGCGCCAUGUGUAGUCCUUAACAAAGGAAGCAUUUUAUCAUCUUCUCAUUGUCCAUUGGGUUGUUGGAUCUCAGCUUCGCAUCUCGUGGUUUCCCAUUACCACUUGUGCUAUCGGUACUAUUACCAUCAUCACUAUGUCCCUCUUCAUCUUUCUCAUGGUUUCUCUCACCAUUGGGCUUAGAUGACUCAAACUUGUUUUUCGUUGGACCAAGCUCAACAAAGGACUCUGCUUCGGCCAUGGCUACAGUAAGUUCGGUGAUUCCCUGCCUACGUAACUCAUGCUUUGCCUACGCCUUUAACCCAUCCUUGAACCAAUAGAACGCUUCUUUCUCGCUCAAGUUAGAGAUUUGAAGUAUCAACUUGCUAAAUGCCCGAACAUAUUCCCGAACAGUGUCUUGUUACGUAAGAUGAUGCAACUUAGCCCGAGCCUCAUUCUCAACAUAUUGUGUGUAAAACUGCUUCUUUAACUCUCUUUGGAAUUACUCUCAAGUCUCAAUUGCGUUCCCACAAUGUUUCUCAUCCGUGGACCUACAACGUGACCACAAGAGAGCCACAUCAGUAAAAUAGAUUGAAGCAGUAUUUACCUUAAUGAUAUCAUCCUCGAUGCUCAUCGCUCGGAAGCAUUGCUCCAUUUCCUACAAGAAAUUGUCCACAUCCCUUGCGGACCUUGUAUCCUUGAACUUCUCCGGUUUGGGAACAUCCAUUGCUUGUUGCUUCGGCCUUGAAGACAACAUCUCAUUAUUCAAAGCAGUUUUAUAAAUUGUGAGCUCCCCCUUAAGCUCUUCAAUUUUCUUCUUCAUGGCUAACACCAUAUCCUCGAGAGUCUUAUCCCUCUCUGCUAGCUUUUUUGUAGUAGAAUUGACUAAUUCAUUCAUCUUUUCCAUAUUGACACUGAGAGAAUCUAGCACAAAUUCUCUGAGUUGCUCUUCCAUUAAGUCAAACCCAUCUGUGCAUCCUUCGACCAACUCUAGCGUUUCCUUUAUGUUCCCUACGGACUCCUCGAUCAACUCAAGCAUUGGCUUAUUCUGAUCAACAACUUCUUUCAACAUUUCAACAGUACCUUCGAACCAAUAGCUCUGAUACCGCUUGUCACGAGGCUAGAUCUUUCGUCUUGCGAUCCGUAUAGCCUUAGGCGAUCCGUUUGCUCAAAACUCACCUAAUUCAACCUUUACACCCAAAAGGGAGGAUUCCUUUAGAAUUCCUCUAAGGCACCAAUUCGUAUAGCGGAAGCGGUUGUGCCAAAAGAAGCUACAAAUGAACAACAGAAAGCCAAGGAAAUAAUGCACACAAAGUGUUUGAGUAAAUGCUCAAAUAAUUCUAUUACUAUUAAGAAAUUAACAUACAAUGGAUGAUUUACAAGUGAGGGGGAGGCUCUCUAUUUAUAGUUGAGCUCCCCAAACCAGAUGGUCCAGAUCAAAUUACAUCGACGGACGAGAUUAGCCUAUCUCUUAAUUUUAGUGAUUUACAAGAUUACAUCAUAUCAUAUCAAAUCUAUAAUAUAUGAUUCCUCUACUUACUAAAAAUAGCCUAUGUUGUCAUAUCUUCAUUAUCGGGCCAACCAGGCUUCUCUAAUAAUUCUUGGAAUCGGGCCAGUUCUUGUGGGCUAAAUGUUCCCCAUCUAAUCGGUCGACCUCUAUGGGGAGCAUUUUGUAAUAUGGUCGCGGGCUUUGCACUUUGGCCCGUGACACUAAGAGGAUCCCCUUGUCUAAUUCCUCUCACCGGUUUAAAAGUUCGUUAUGUAAAUAAAUAUUUUAAAUAUGUUUACAUGUGUUUAAAAAUAUUUUGUUCAAAACUAUUUAAUUUUUUUAAUUUAUAGAUGUUGUUUUAUAUUUAUUUUUUGUAUUUUCAAAAGUAUUUCAUAUUAGUUUAAAACAUUAUUUAAUUUGAAAUGUAAUAUGCUUAUAAAUUAUGUUAAUUUAUAAAUUUUAAUAAUAUUUUUAAUUUGUUUAUAAAUUACAAUUUAGAUUUUUUUUGUUAUUAUAACAUAUUUAAAUAAAUCUAAUAAUAUUUUUAAUUUCAAAUUUUGAAAAUUGAAAAUGUUAAAAUUUCAACAUUAAAGACUUAAUUAAGUGCAAAAACAAUUGUUUGUAGUUAAAAAUUUUGAAGAAUUAUAUUAAAGAGAAAGCUAUUGUUUAAAAAAAAACCUAUUUUAGAGCGAUUGAAAUCAUGCUUGAAAAAAAAUUAAUAUAUUUACUUAGUUUUUUUAAGGGUGGGUUUGGAUGGGAGGUGUAUUUACCUACGGUUAGUAUAAAAACAGCGGUGGCAGUGAGAAUACAUACUGUAGCGAUAUUGUAACGUAGGAUAAAAAAUAAGUUAAACGUAUUACACUGCACCUAGACCUGUCCAUGGGCCGGGCGGCCCGGCCCGGCCCGACGGCCCGCCCGAAAUAUGGGAGGGUUCGGGUAAAAAUAUAGGCCCGAAAUAUGGGCUUGGGCAAAAAAAUGAGGCCUGUUUAAAAAAUGGGCUGGGCUCGGGCUCAACUUUAAAUUUUUUCCGGGCCCGGCCCGGCCCAUGGACAGCUCUAACUGCACCCCACAGCCCAUCCAAGUCGUAUUAUAUUUUUGUUUAGUUAACUAUAACGAUAUAAGUAAUUAUAUUCUGUAAUAUUUGCAUUUUUAAUGUGGUACACUAUGUUUAAUUGGCUACAUAUUAUUUAAAUAGAAAUAUGUUUUUUAUUUGACAAAAAAAAUUGAGUAAAAGUGAAUUAUACAAAGUUAGAUGUCACAAAUAAGUAAUGUUAUUUGAAUCGGAUAAAAUUGAUUAGAUCAUGAAUCGGUUGGCAUAUCGUUUGAAAAGAUGAAUUAGAUAACUAGCGAACCAUUCAAAACUAGUUGAAUCGAGUUAAAAAAUGGAUGAAAUUAGUGAUUGAACCGGUUUUCUCUAUUAUUAUUUUCUAAUUUUGAUAUUUUAUUUAAUUAAACUAAGUGAAUCGGUUGAACCAAAAACUAAUCGUCUAACUAAUUCGACCGCACAUCCGAAUGUGAAAUCUUUGAUUAAAAAAGGUACUCAUAUAAAUAUAUAUGAUUUGACAAUAAAUGUUUAAGUUAUUUUAUAUUUUCAUUAGAACUAAUAAGUAACUGUACAGUAUAAAAAUGGAGAUUGUAUGAAUUUUGAAUUAUCAUUUACUUAUGAUAGUGCUGGGGAACUACGAUGAACACGAUGAAAAUAUGAUCUUAGGACAAAGAAAUUAAGAAAUAAAUUUUACUAACCCAUUUAAUUUAUAAAAUAUUUAGAUUAAUGAAAAUUAUUUUUUUCCAGAUUUCAUAUAUAUAUGUUUUAGAAUUUUAUGAAGUUUUAAAUUUUUUACAUAAUUCUAAUCUUAUAAAUAUUUUUUUAUAAUUUCAAAAAGUAAAUAAUGAAUUUUCACACUUUUAUAUUUUUAGAAAUUUUUAUAAGUUUUUCAAAAUUAUUAUUAAAAAAUUAUAAAAAUACCACAUUGAAUAUCUCAAUUAUAGUUCAAGGUUCAAAUUAAAUAUUAACCCUUGAGUUAACAUGUUACGUCAUUUUUUCAUUGAGGCUGUAACAAUUAUUAACAGAAAUAUUAUAAGUCGAUAACGUUAUUGACUAAAAUAUUACUUUUCAUGAUUCGGUAAUAAAAAGGAAAUUAUACAAAAGUUAAGUGAGUAUUUUUGUAAAUUACAAAAUUAAUAGAAAAUAAAAAAAGUUUCACCACGAAUUCCGUUAUGUACUAUACAGUAUAUUUUUUCUUGCAUUUUAAAAUCACAUGGAGAUUGGGGACUCAUAAUUUCAUAACCAUAAAUAUAUGAUUGGCCCAUAGAGAGUCAAAAUGCAGUUGUCAAACUUGAUACUCUACAUCUUUUUAAAAAUUACAUAAAAAAUAUCUUUUUAAAAAUUACAUAAUAAUUUAUUUGAUCCUCCUAUUUUAUAAAAAAAAUUAUUUUAACUUUGUAUUUAAUUUUCACAUUUUUUAGUUUUUAUAUUUUUAUUUUUUUCAAAUCACUCAAAAUAAAUAAAAAUUUUAAUAUUUGUUUACUUUGCUGAUAUGGCAUACAUUAAAUUUUAUUUAAAAGUUUAAAAAUAUAAAUUUAUGGAAACUUUAAAAAAUAUGAAAUUACUAAACUUAUUUAAAAAGCAAAGCCUAAAAACUAUACAUAAGUAUAAAAUUUAUUUAAUAAUAAAAUUAUAAUAAUACUCAAUAAUUUUUAGAAUUUUUAAAAUUUUAAAUUAAUUGUUGACGUGGCAUAUAUAUGGAUUGUCACAUUAACAAAAUUAAUAAAUGUUAAUCAAUGGUCGAAGGUUUGAUCCUUGCCUUAGGUAUGGAGUAACUAUAAAACUCGUGGCUAACAUCUAUCUUCUUAAUGAGCCUAUAAAAUGCGGAUGAUUAGUUACUAGACUCACUUCAGUAGAUAUCUUCAGAAACUAAAAAAAGAGUUAACAAAUGUUAAUUUUUUCAUUUAUUUCAAUUUUUUUUUAACAAAAAUCACUAGUCCACUUGCAUCUUUUUCACUAGUUUUUGACAAAAAUUAAAUAAAAAUUAAAAUAUUUUUUUAAAACUUAAAAGUUAAGGUAAAUCAUUAUACCUUUAAAAAAUUAUGCAUAUGAUGUUGUUUCAAAGAUGCUUCGAAAAUUCAUUUUAUUAUUUACAAUAAUAUUAAAAACUGUUCAUAUAGUGAUAACUAAAAAACUAAAUUUAGUAGAAAAUUAUUAUUAAUUUAAAUUUAGAUAUGGCUUAUCUGAAUUUGUAAAUUAUUGUUGUUGACACACACACACAUAUAUAUAUACAUUUUACUAUUUCUGAUUUAUCAUAUAAAAACAUUUUAAAAAGUUAAGAAUAAUUGGAAAUAAUAGUCCAACUAUUGGAUGGUGGCCGAGCAAAGGGGACUAUUUAAAAUGGAAAAUUUUUCAUUUAGAUUUUUUUAUAAUUUUUUAAAUUUUAAAUUAAUAAUAGUAAAAUUGUACUUUGGCCCUUCAAAAAAUAAUAAAAAUUUAAUUUAAUCAUUUAAAAAUUAUAAAUAUAUAGUCUAUUAAAAUGAUGAAAUUCUAUUUUUAUUAUCGUAAAAAUAUAUAAUUUAAUUCCGGCCCUCCAAAAAAAAUUUUAUGGCUCCACCACUGUCCAUCAUCUUCCAUCUCUAUACUCUCUCCACUAUUUUCAAUUCAGGUGCCUUCGUCCUUUUUAAUUUUACACAUAUAUUUUGUAUGUAUUUUUGUUGUAUUUUCAAUUUCUAAGGGCAUAUUUGAUUUAGGGUUUAUUGUAUUAGUGGGUGUGAUGGACCAAUAAAUGUAACACCCCUAACCCAUAUCCAACGCCGGAAUAGGGUUACGAAGCAUUACCGGACUUAUAACUCAAUCAAUCAAACAUUUCAUGUACAUUUCUCAUUCAAUUCAAAAAUCAUUCAUAUUCAUACGGUCCCAAUUACGAGCCUUUGAGGCCCAAAAUAGGCAUUAAAAGUGGUUCGGGACUAAACCGAGUACUCAAGAAAUUUUUAGAAAAACAUUGCAAUUUUUCAGAGUGUAUGGGACACACGCCCGUGUGGCCAGGCCAUGUGGGCAUUCGAAAUGGGGACAACGGUCGUGUCCCAGUCCGUGUCUGACCUCGUGUAACUCACUGACUUGGGUCACACGGCCAAGUCACACGCCCGUGUGAAGCUACUGACUUGAUUUCUAAGGAAGUUACAGGGGACACAUGGCCGUGUCACCUGGCCGUGUGUGACACACGGCUGAGACACACACUUGUGUCUCUGCCCGUGUGGACAAAAAUAGGUCAUUUUCCAAGCCAUAUUUCUCACCCAAAUUGGUACCAUCCUACACACAUCAAUAUGCAUACAACUAUGGCAUAAAUAGGCAUUCAAAACCAACCAAUGUCAAGUUUAUAACAUGUAAUAAUAUCACCUACCAUCAUGAUACUUAUAGGCACCUUAAAUGGCCACUCAUAAUCAUGCAAACUAUGUAUCCAAAUGUACCUAAUUGGUCAAACACAUAUAUGAAACCUUUGUGCCUAAAACUUAGCAUGUAUGUCACUUAUAAAUCUCAAUCAUUUGAUACCCGAAAUACUAACUCAAAAUAAAGACAUUCAUAUAAUUUUCAUACAUCAUAUACUAUAAGGCUAUUUACAUAUAUACAUAACCAAAUUCAAGCCAAAUUAAAUGGCUACAACACAACAAAACAUAUAGGCUUCUAAUAGCCAAAAGACCUAUACAUGCCAUUUAACCCAAAUAUAUAUAUAUAUAUAUAUAUAUAUAUAGUACUAAACGUAACUAAUAGUUGUUGUAUAGUGUGAUGCAGUNNNNNNNNNNNNNNNNNNNNNNNNNNNNNNNNNNNNNNNNNNNNNNNNNNNNNNNNNNNNNNNNNNNNNNNNNNNNNNNNNNNNNNNNNNNNNNNNNNNNUAAGCAAUUAAGCUUAGUAAGUUCGUAUAACACAGAAUUAAACUUACCAUUUAACCACAAUUUUAAGUAAGUAACUCACAACAUAACUCAAUUCAAUUUGGCCAAAGCCUAUAACAUAACCAUUCACCAAGUUAGCCAUGUAUACAUUCACCAAGUUAGCCAUGUAUACAUUCACCAAGUUAGCCAUGUAUACACAUAAAAAUCGAGAAUCAUGUAUGAAUUCAACAAUUAUUAAAAUUCUAUGCAUAUGUAACAUCUAUAUCGUAUAUCCAUAUAUCAUAUAUAUAAACCAUCUUCAUGUAAAUACAUGUACUAGUUCGUAUCAAACUUGUAUAAUCUUGUAAUAACACUAUGCUUGUUGAACUGCUUAGAAUAUCGUUAGAUACGCGGGUAGUACAAGCGAUGUGUACUGAACUCUAAGUCCGUCAAUUCCUGUACAUGUAUGCUUUUACGAGCCAUAAUCGGUAAACUCCUUCGAGCUGAAAUAUGGUAAGCUCAUACGAGCUGAGAAUCGGUAAGCUCUCACGAGCUACAAAUCGGUAAGCUCAUACAAGCUGUGGUGACUUUGUAACACAUGCAGGAUCUCAACCAAAAUCAGUAACUCUAAUGAAAUGUCAUUUGUAUCCUAUGAAUUUCUAAGGUUCAAACGGGGCUCGGUAUUCUUCAUACUUCAUCGGUUAUGCGUUCGAUAAUUAUACAUUGAAAUUACACAAUCCACAUACAUAUAUUUCAAUUAAAGUAUAUAACUACACAAUUUAAUUACAUGAACUUACCUCAAACUCAAACGGAGAAUACGAUCGUUUAGUCCACGAUUUUAUCUUUUCCCCGAUUUAGUUUCAAAUGUUGCUUUUCUUGAUCUAUAUAAUCAGAUUUAACUCAUUUAAUCAUAUUUCUAAUCAAUUCAAUCCAAAUUUCAUGUUAUGGAAAAUUUACCAUUUUGCUUCUAAACAUUUAACUUCAUUACAAUUUAGUCCCUAGGCUCGUAAAAUGAAAUUCAUGAAAUUUCACUACACCCAAGCCUAGCCGAAUAUCCUAUGUGCUUAUAGUAGCCCAUACAUUUCACCAUUUUACACAUUUACCACACAAUUUACACAUUUCUCAAUUUAACCCCUAAUUGACAAUUUCAUUAAAAAUCACUUAACAAAAGUUGUUUAAUUCCCAACAAAGAUUCAUUUUCUUCCAUUAAACUUCAAAACCCUAACAUAUUCAUCAAUGGAAAGUCUCAAACUAUUCAAUAUUUUUGCAAAUUAGUCCCCUAGUUAGCUAGGUUAAGCUAUAACGAUCCCGAAAACAUAAAAAUCAACAAAAAUGGGCUUAGGAAUCACUUACAUGCAAGGAAUUUUCUUUGCAAAUUUUCAAGAUUUUCAAAGGUUCCUCUUUGCUAUAAUUUUUGGUGGAAGAAAACUCAAAGAUGAUGGCCUAUUUUGUUUCAUUUGAUUUAAUUUAGCUUUUAUUACCUAAUUACAAUUUUACCCUUACCUAACUUUAAAAAUUACACAAUUACCAUGUCAUGCACAUCCACUAUCACCUUUAAUGGUCCAAUUAUCAUAUAAGGACCUCCACUAUAAAUUUCUAUAGCUAUUUAACACCUUUAGCUAAUAGAACACAACUUUCGCACUUUACGCGAUUUAGUUAUUUUUCACAAAUUGAGCAUACAAACGGUAAAAUUUCUUAACGAAAUUUUUAUGAAAUCAUACUAUCAUGCUGUAGACCGCAAAAUAAUAUUAAAAUAAUUUUUUUUGACUUUAGAUUUGUGGUCCCAAAACUACUAUUUCAGUUUCACUGAAAACGGGCCGUUACAAAAUGCCUAUAUCCAAACUGAAAAUUUAGGAAAGUUAGUGAACUAUUGUGUAGUUUACCAUAUUAUUUAUAAAACAUUACUUUAUUCUGUAUAAAUAAUGGGUUAAUAUGUAGUUUGUCCCCUGAAGUUGUCCAAAAGUACUAAUCUAGUACCUAAACUUUUUUUUAUACUUAGUUAGCACCUGAACUUAUAUUUUGUUACUCAGGUUGGUACUUCUACACUAACAUCAUUAGUUUUUGCUAAUGUGGCACUGAUGGCCAAUCUUAUAGUGACACAUGGUAGCCUCUUAAUAUAACACACAACGAGCAUAAAUUAAAAAAAAAGUAUAUUUAUUUGGGCAUUGCUUGCUGCCAGUUGCCUAAACAUACACCUAUGACCAAACCGGCCAGAACCAACCCAAACUACUCAAACCACCCUCCGUCUAAUUAAACAUACAUGGGGAGUACACUUUACCCUUAUCUUUUUCUAUUCUUUUAAAUUGCACAUUGAGGGCAAUGUGGGUUAAAUAGGGGGGCAUGCCAUGCUACUUCUUCUUUGCAUAUGCUAAUUCGUAUACUAAGAUUAUUCCUUAAUUUGUUUUGAAAAUGCUCUUCCAAUUCUUAUGCUUAGUUUAUUUAAAUAAAUUAGGUAAUUCAUGAAUAACUAUCGUUUGAUUUGAUCAACAAGUAUUUUGUAGAUUUGAAUAUGUUGUGGCUAAGUCAAUACUUUAUAAAGAUUGGUGGCUCUUUAAACUUGCCUAAUAAAAUUACUCAUUUAAAUAAAUAAUAAAUAAAAAUUUGUUAAUGGCUUCGUUAAGAGUGAAGAUUCGAAAAUGUGACCAAAUUGAGUAACUAGAAUGAGGUGUUUGGGUUGUCAUCUCAUUUCGCGUAAAAAGAUUUGAGUAACGAAUCGAAACUUGUAACACUCUGCUAACCGAGCUGCCUUAAGAAAAGAGAAAUAAACUAAUUAGGGAUAUGUCAAAUUAAGUAACAAGGGUAAGGGGCUUGGGUUGUCAUCUCAUUUCACGUAAAAAGAUUUGACUAUGUCUCGAAUUUGUUAAAAAAUGAAAAAAGAGAAAAAAAAUGUCAAAUCGAGUAACCGUGGUGAGGUACUUGGGUUGUCAUCUCAUUUCGCGUAAAAAGAUUUGACUAUGUCUCAAAUAUGUUAAAAAUAUAUAUAUUGAGUACAAUUGUCUCACAAGUUUGAUUAAGUCUAAAUUUAGUAAAGUAGUUGAAUUUGACAUAAUGUUUGAAAUUUUAUAAAGUACUUAUUAAUUGAACAUAACAUUUAUUUAUUUAUUUUUCACCUAAUUGUUUGCAUUAUGCUUGACUGAGGAAGGAGGUUUGAUUUCGAACAAGACUAUCAAAUGAUUUUUAGUAGACAUUAUACUUGAGGACGAGCAUCGACUAAGUAGGGGGAAUUUGAUAACAAGUUAAAAUUGUACUUUUAAUGUAUUUAUUUUUGGCUAGUUUUUGAACAAAAUGCUACUAAACUUGUGUUUUUCUUAUCAGGGAUGAAAUUAGAGUGUCGAAAUUCAAAAUCAAACAAAAUGGGCUAAAUUGGAACGAAAAGCAAAGAUGAGGGCCAAAUUGAAGAAUUAGUAGUUGACUGGUUAAAAUCAGAUUUUUGAAUUUGUCAAGAUUCUAUAAAUAGUCUAAGUUUGAUUUUUAGUUGAUAUUUUUUAGGAGCAAUCUUACUAAGUUUAGCAUGAGGAAUGUGUAUAAAUACUUAGUGUUGGUGACCUUUGAGGGACACAUUUGAAUACACAUUUGGGUUGGAAAUAAAAUAAUUCAUUUUGGCAUUCUACCAUUCUUUUUUCCAUUUCAAUACUUUGGCUAUAUUGCUUCUCAAGUCCCUUCCCCUUUCCAUUCACCACCAUUUCUAUUAAAAGUCAUUUCCAUACGGCAACUAGCAUGAUUAAUUUCAUGCUCAACUAAUUCCCUUUUAGCUUUGGCCCGGUUAUCGUUCUGAAAAGACAAUCGUAAGAUAUGAACUCGCAUUAAAAAAACUUUAACACGACAUUCACUAUCUCUCCGGUUAUCGUAAGAUACUACAAAUUUGUCAAGUCAAUUCCAUUUCAAUUUAAAAAGCGCGCGUUGGAUUGGAGUUGUUUGGCAUACAGUUGGGAAGUCAAGUCGAACAUACUGCAUUCGAAUUCCUACGAACAAAUUGACGUGUUCAGGUGGAAAAAGUAAGUUGGAUUCCAUCAAAGGAGACAAUGAUCAGAUUUAAAUAACUCACGCAAUUGAAGCUGUUGAUUUGAGUUAGGUUCUUCAGAAUGCAAGGCUGUCGAAGUUUUGAAUUGCGAACGCGUGUUUCUCAGUUAGAUAAUUGGUAAUGGUUGGUUUGCAGGUCGUAUUGGAAUCAACCACGAAAUGAAGAAUUGGCGGUUGAGAUGUUCUUGAUUGCUAUAACCAACUUAUCGCUUGGAAGUGAAAAUCCAGUUUUCAAGGAUUGGUUCAAGUUCGAAGUGUACCGAGGCUGAGGCUAAGCUUAUAUAUAUAUAUAUUUAAUUUACCGAUUUAAUUUAAUUAAAUUAAUUUCAUUUUGCAAACAUAAUUCUGUUUUUAUUUUAUUUUGUUCUCUUUAUCAAUUAAAUUCCCCCAUUUUUCAUUUAUAUUACAUCCUCGCACAUUCAAGUCAAGGGUACGACAACUGCCUAGACUUAGAAAUCUGGUAACCAAAAGCAGGAAAAUUAGGAAUCACAAUCCCUGUGGGACCGGUCCUACUACUCUAUACUGCUAUUUAUUAUUAUUUUGUUGUAAGAAUUUAUAUUUGGUAGUUUUGACGACCAUCAAAUUUAUAUAUAUUUAUAUUUUUUUACCACAUGACUUUGUGCUUGGUUAUCAGAUUAUUUUUAAUGUCAAAAAAUAAACUUAAAAAUAGAAUCAAGACUAUUUAAGUAUCAAAUUGAAAAGUGAUUGAUAUCUUAAGUACUAAAUUGAGAAAAAAAUUAAAUAGAAAAUAGAUAUAAUCCUAUUUCAAAUUACCGUAAACUAAAAUAACCGUGUAAACUAGCUAUCUUCGUUGUUGUUUUUUCCUCACAGUUUCUUUGAUAAAAUAAAUUUUCUUUCCAUUUUUUUGUUAUUCUUUCUUUCCUUUGUCGUCUUCAAUGAAAUAAAAGAGAGCAAAAUUUCCUUAAACCCUAACCCUUCUUCACCUAAAACCCUAAAAACCAUGAACAAUGACAACGAUCCAAUAGCAAUGGAAGCCCAAUCUGAACCUUCCAAAAAUGCCCAAUCUCUUCAAACCCUAGCUUCAGGUCCUCUCUCGUCUUCGCUUUCCUCACUGGCUUCCUCUUCCCGAACCCUCCCUUCCAAUCAAGACUUUCAUUUCUUUAACAACUUCGACGAUUUCAGACUCCCCAUCGAUCGAAUUGCUAAAACAUCCGAUUCUUUGCUCCAAUUCAUUGGUUCGUCGUCUAAAACCUGGGACCCUAACAAUGCGAUCCAUUUCCCUAAUAACAUUGACAGUAUAACCGAUGAUGAAGCUUAUCGUUGGCUCGUUGAUAUGAACGACGAUAUCCUGGAACAAUUCGACGUUUCCGUGGACGAAUUUCAAGAGAAAGAAGAGAAAACGGGUCGCCUUUUCGGGUCGGAUCCGGACAAUAACGGGUUUAAAUUGGUUCAGGGGAAGAAAAAGAAGAAAGGGGAUAGUGGGCUAAUGAGUGACUCGGUUUGCGAGUCACUGAGUACGAAGGAAGGUGGCUCUUCCAAUUCUUAUUCUGGAGCCAAGGUGAAGAAAGGGGCAUUGACAAUGGUGACGACGGGGAAAGCGAAGGUUCCGUUUCAUGUACCGACAAUACGGAAGCCGCAAGAAGAGUACAAUAUUCUUGUGAACAAUUCGAAUCAGCCUUUUGAACAUGUUUGGUUGCAAAGGAGUGAGGAUGGGUUGCGUUUUGUUCAUCCACUGGUUGGUUAUUUUAUAUACGUUUUCGCCUUUCUUUAAUAUUUCUGUUUUUGUUUGAAUAGCUUAGUGGGGGGCAUUGGCAGUGGUGCGUUUUGUUCAUGUUUGGUUGAAUAGUUUUUUUAUUGGAUAUAUUUGAUGCAUUUAUUUUUAUCUAUGAGUUGUAAUAGGUUUUUUUUUAGAAUUAUUAAAAUAAUUCUUGAAGGUUUUCAUAGCUCUGAAAAGAUUCUCAUGGAGACAAGAAGGAUGAAUAAGGAGAAUAUAACUGUCUUUUAAAGUUCGUCUGAAGUUAAUGAACCUUGCAUGGUUGGAAUAGAAGAAAAAGAAAGAGUUUCAGUAAAAUAGACCAUUGAGGUGUUACUGUUAUUUGGUUUGUUGGAAGGCAUUCUUUUAAUCAAGGCCAUCUUUCUUAUUUUCUUUAUUGGUGCUAAUGGUGUUACAAAAAGUAACUAGAUGAUGGAAAAGCUGCAUUUGUUUUUAAGAACGUCUCUUAAUGAAUAAGAAGAAUGUAACUGUCUUUUAAAGUUCUUCUGAAGUUAAUGAACCUUGCAUGAUUGAAAUAGAAGAAGAAAAAAGGAGUUUCAGUAAAAUAGACCAUUGAGGUGUUACUGUUUUUUGGUU